UUUGUACUACUCGCUCCAUAUAAAUUGUGGUGGGACACAAUUUACUGUCCCUGGAAAGAAAGAUACACUAUAUGAAGCUGACACAUUUCUAGAUGGACCUUCAUCAUUGUACCAGAGCACAACAAAUUGGGCAGUAAGCAGCACCGGUUCCUUCAUUGAUGAUGACCGCCCUAAGGACACCUUUAUAUGGCGUAAUGAAACUACACUCUCUAUGGCCAAUCCUCUACUGUACAUGAACGCACGCCUUUCUCCCAUCUCUCUAACUUAUUUUGGGUUUUGUCUGGGAAAUGGAGACUACACUGUAAAGCUCCAUUUUGCAGAGAUAAUGUUUAGAAAUGGCAAAACAUAUAAAAGCUUGGGAAGGCGCAUAUUCAAUAUUUACAUUCAGGUAAGUAUCGCAUCCACUUCCAUGUAUACCAGUGAAUUAUUCUAAUUUUCAGCUAGCAUUGUUUAUAUUUUGGUCGAUUUGAAUGUUAACUUUCACAUUUAUGUUCAUGAAAUGUUAAGCAACUAAAUUAGUAUAUAUACAUAAAUAUAUUGAAGGGAAUCCUAGUGAAGAAGGACUUCAAUAUCAUGGAUGAAGCUCGUGUGUUUGGUGAUGUAGUCAUAAUGAACUUUACUGCUCCUGUAACUAAUAUACAUUGGAGAUUCGUUUAUAUUGGGCCGGGAAAGGGACGACAGGCAUCCCUGUUAGAGGAGUCUAUGGUCCUCUUAUUUCAGCUAUUUCAGUAGACCCAAGUAAGUUUUCAAUGAUCUGACCUUUGUCUUAUUACUAUGCGUCGACCAUAUGCAUUGAUAUAUCUACUAAAUUAAGAGAUCCGACUUCAGCUCUGCAAGGUUCUUCAAUAUUUCCUUUCCCUUGUAUUUUCACAAAAAUGCUUCUGUGCUUUUCUCCUGUUUUACAUAGUUUGAGCCAAGACUUGAAAUACUCUUUUAAAUUUUCUUAUCACAUAAUAUGCUGAAUUUUCUAGGCGACGGUAUGUGCUUUUAAAUACAACAAAAUUCAACUUGAGGAUUGUUUGUUGAGGAAAAACUUAAGAGUACAGAAUUCUAACACAAGUGUUGGAGACACAAAACAAGUGAACAAAUUACUUGUAUUACACUCACAAAAUAUUGCAACACACAAACUCUCAAAGACACUCUUUAGAGGCAAUGACCUCACUCAUUUUCUAAAGACAAACUCUAGAUCACUCAUACUCCUCACAAGACUACUCUGACUUCUCACUCUCACUUGGUUGCCCGCUUCUUCUUGGUUGGUUGGUUUAUUUCACAACAUCACACACCUAUUUAUAGGCAUGUAUGCCGACUUCACUAGCACUUUCUAGUGCAUGUUCAUGCACACACUGCACCGACAUAUGACUUUUCAUAAUAGCCACAUAUUGUAUAAGCUGCUAGAACUUUCUAGCACAUGAUUAUAUACACACACCCACUGACUUAAUAGGAUAAUGCUAGAAUUAUCUAGCAUAUUGAUACGCCUGCAUGAUGCACCGUCUUUAGUGCUAGAAUUUUCUGGAUUUGUGUAGAAUGGGCUGGGGUUGGACUGUUUUAACAUUUUUAACUAUUUACAUGAAAAUAAUCCAGUUCACUUAAGGGAAACAUAUAAUAUUUACAACCAUCCGAAGAAAGUUUGUUCGAUGGAUUACUUCAUAUACUAUCUACUUAUUUAAGGAUGCCCCAAGGACCGGGUUCAAUCUUCUGUUUCUGUGUGCAUUAGAUAGCUGGUUGAAUAAUCCACUCUCAUAUCAAUUACAUUUACAUUUACUCUAAUUUAAGCUAUAUUCUUUCUUCCGACAGACUUUGAUCCCCCGCCAAAACCUGGUGGAAGUGGCGUGCCUACAGGUGGUGUGGUUGGAAUUGUGGUCGGAGGAGUCUUCAUUAUACUACUGAUAUUUGGUAUUCUUUGUAAGAGAGGUCUCCCAGGACAACAAAAGACAUUGGAGGAUGGUAAUAAUUUGCAGUUUAUUCUGUUAUACUGGUUUUUCUUUUUGUUUCUCCAUUACUUUUUCUUAUUGAACUUUUUUCGUAACUAAGAACAAUAUUUAUGCUAUUUUGCAUGGUUCUCAUGCAUAUUGACGUGCAUACACAAAGACAGUAAUUAUUUAGAUAUUGAGCUUUUUGGCCCUUUGAUGUUGCUAUAAUAUAUUUAUCGUCCAAACUCAUGAUGCGGAUUGCAGAGUGUCUGCCUAUAGAUCCAAUUACUAGUUAAAUUCUAGAAGCACAAAAUAUUAAGAACUAAGAAUACUAUCGUUCUGAAAGUUUUCUUCGACACAAUUUCUUAUGAGUUUUACUUGUGAUACAGAUUUGAAGGGUGUGGGCUUGCAAACCGGUAAAUUUACCUUAAAGCAACUCAAAGAUGCCACAAGCAACUUUAACAAAGCCAAUAAGAUUGGUGAAGGUGGUUUUGGUUCAGUUUAUAAGGUAUUCUUCGGAGCUGAUAUUUAUUUAUUUAUUACAUUUUUUUCUAAUUUGAUAUUGUCUGUUCAAAUGAAAGUUAAUUUGCUUUAUAUAGUGAGGCGAAUUUGACUAUCUUUCUCAAAUGCAGGGCGUUCUAGCAGAUAACACCGUAAUAGCUGUUAAGCAGCUUUCUUCCAAAUCAAAGCAAGGGAAUCGUGAAUUUGUUAAUGAGAUUGGCAUGAUUUCUGCUCUGCAACACCCUCAUCUUGUCAAGCUCCACGGAUGUUGUGUUGAAGGAAAUCAACUAUUGCUUGUCUAUGAGUACCUGGAAAAUAAUAGCGUCGCUCAUGCUUUGUUUAGUAAAUAUCAAUCUCGCUUGCCAAAAGUUCAUUUCAUUCAUACAAUGGGCAUAAAAGAUCUUAUGCACUAAAAAUGUCCUUUACAACUAACUUUGUUUAAUUUGGCAAAUUGAAGGGGCAAAAGAAAGUCAUUUGCAGUUGGAUUGGCCAACAAGGCACAAGAUUUGUAUUGGUACAGCAAGAGGUUUGGCUUAUCUUCAUGAAGAAUCAAGAUUGAAGGUCGUUCAUAGAGACAUCAAGGCUACUAAUGUUCUGCUUGAUAAAAAUCUUAAACCGAAAAUAUCUGACUUUGGAUUGGCCAAGCUUAAUGAAGAGGAUAAUACACACAUUAGCACCCGUAUUGCUGGAACUUAGUCAGUCCCUACACUUUUAUUUAUCUUCUUAUUCUCUUGUUUUGAUCUUCUUCAACCCUUAAAAAAGAAGAUAGAGCAACGGAAAGUCUCUAACUUACAUAAUUUCCAACCUAACCAAAUCCUUGUUCAAGAAAUUUCAAGGGCAGAUUUGUUCUUUCAAUAUAGUUGGGUUAAUGAUUUGAUUUCAUGAUAUUGCAGUGGAUACAUGGCGCCCGAAUAUGCAAUGCGGGGUUAUCUGACUGAUAAAGCAGAUGUCUAUAGUUUUGGUAUUCUUGUAUUGGAAAUUGUUAGCGGGAGAAACAACACAACUUACCGGAAAAAGGAAGAAAGCUUUUAUCUUCUUGAUUGGGUAGCAUGAAUCUACUACUUCCUAAUUUCACUUCAAAUUUUCUUAAUAUGCCUUAUACGUAUGAAAGUACAUUUGAAUCGAUGAAGUUUAAUCCAAAGACAGAAUUCAUAUUGCCUUUGAUGCUUCCAUUUUUUGUAGGCACGACUUCUAAAAGAUCAGGGGGAUUUGAUGGACCUAGUUGAUCCAAGGUUGGGAUCAGACUUUAAUAAAGAGGAGAUGAUUGUUGCAAUCAAUGUGGCUCUCCUUUGUUGCAAUGUUACUUCGACAGCUAGGCCUACCAUGUCUUCGGUUGUGAGCAUGCUUGAAGGAAAGGUUGUUGUUCAUGAGUUGGUCUCGGAUCCAAAUGCCAAGAGUAUUGAGAUUGAUGCAAUGAGGAAACAUUUUCAAUCUAGUUUUGGAAGGGGCACGGGAGAGAAACAUAUAGAAAUGGAGUCAACUGAAGGGCCAUGGACUGCUUCGUCUGCGUCUGCUCACGAUCUGUAUCCCGUCCAUCCUGAUUCAGAUUACUGGAAGAACAGAAGCGAUAUAACUUGAGCUGCACAGUUAUCAGUUUGACUCAACCUUGGCACACUCAAACACAUCAAAUAAUAAAUCAUUUGUAUUUCCUCUAUAACUAUUUGUUGACGUGAGUCAACCAUAUAGUUUAGGAAUGUGAUCAUGUGAUUGAUUCCUUGUAUAAUUCGGAUUCUUAUUUCCUAUUUUAUGGGACCUCUUGAACAACUAUUUAUUUACCUCCUAGAGAGAAGGAUACGUACAAUUACACCUUAACUUUUAUGUCGGUAUCAGAGGAUGCUUCGGCCCGUCUCUUUCCAAAAACCCUUAAAAACCCCCUCAAGGCAUGCAACUUGCAUCAAGAAUUAUUGCUGGUGUUUGUCACGAACCGAGAAAUCCAACGUCUGUGGCUUUGGAAUAAACAAAGCUACAAAGUCAAAAAAACAUAUCAAAAUAAACCUACAAAUCAGUCCCUGCAAUGACUGAAGACAGAAAAACAAAAACCGGUGAGAUAAUUCCCAUGCAAACUAUGUCUAUUCAAAGUGAGUCUACCAAAAUCAGCGGCCUUCCAUUCAGAUUUAGAUUGAGCGACUCGAAUUUCAAAGUUUAGUCGAAGAUGAUGGAGGUCCAUGCCUCUGGCCUUGGCAAACUGGGGUAUUUGACAGGAAAAACCCCUGUUGUUGCUGAAGACUCGCCUGGAUAUACAAAGUGGGUCAAUGAUCACUGCUAUAGUACGAGGAUGGUUGUUGAAAACCAUGAAGCCCCACCUAUCGAGUCUCUUUAUUGACUUGCCGACAGCCAAAGAUGUGUGGGAAAGUGUAACCCAGAUGUUUUACGACAAUUCAGACGAGUUCCAAUAUUGUGAACUCAGGUGUAGGGCUACGCGAACUAAACAAGACGGUCGUCCAGUAAAUUUGUACUUCACUGAACUCAAAGGAGUAUCGCAAGAUCUUGAUAAAAGGCGCCCUAUCAAGAUGAUAUGCAAAGCAGACCUGCAAAGCCGUAGGGAGGAGCUUUCAAAGGACAGGGUUUACGACUUUGUUGCGGGGUUAGAUCAUGGUUUUGAUCAAGUCAGGAGUGAAAUCCUAAGGAUGAAACCUAUCCCUGGGAUUGAAGAAUGUUUUUAUUUGGUUAGACGUGAAGGCCAGAGACAAACCCCUAUGCUUGAAACAAAAUCUAAAACCACAAGCUCUUCUAUGGUGAUGAUCACCAAGUCCCCAUCAUCAUCAUCCUUUCGUUUAACAUCCGCGGGAACAUCUAGCCCAAAUCGCACCCAAGAAGAUAUUUGACACGCCCCGAUCCCGAUAUUCCUCGAAUACCAAGAUAGGCACGUGCUGGCCGACACCCAAGGGUGACGAAAGCCAUUAAUUGAAUGCAAAUGCUGAGAAUAAGGAAUAGAUAAGGUUUAUAAAUAUAAAAGAAUAAAGAAUAUGCAUUUAAGGAACGUGUUCAGAGCACACAUCUAAUCGAGAAUAUUAGAAGAAUUAACAUAAACAAUUUGAAUGAACACAGAACGGGGUCCUACACCUAGAGGACUCGAAGAUACCGAUGCGGAAGUGUCUGGAUGCCGGGAUUGUACGCCUCGAUUCUAAGUCCUGAAGGGGGCGCAAAACAAACAUGAGUGGACCAAGUUGAUAUAUAUAUAAUAAAACAGUUAUCAACGUACUAACCCCCAGGUUUAUGAAAACAUAUAUAUAAUGAUAAACAUAGGUUUUCCGAAUUCUAGCAUGAUGUGCAGUAUCUCAAAUCAUAAUUCAUAUAUAAUAAUCACUAGUGAAUUGUCCGAUAACCCCCAGGCCCCAUGCCGGCUCCCCGUCUCUGAGCAGACAGUCAGAGGAAAAUACACUUCAGGCCCUAUGCCGGCUCCCCGUCCCUAUGCUAAAUAGCCAGAGGAAACACACUCCAAGCCCUAUGCCAACACCAAACCGUCGCCCGGGACGGACCGGAAUCUAUCCCUACGUCCCAUAGCAGAAAGGACCACUAGGUAAGUACAAAACCAUUGAACAUAUAUAUAUAUUAAAAAACAACUUCAUAGUAUAAAGUCAUCCAUCAUCUAUACUAUAAAGAGGUGUUCGAAACAUGUUCUACAUAUCAUAUCGUCAUCCAUCGGAUAUUCUAUAAGAACAUGGGUUAUAGGAAAAAUAGUAAUAAUUCAAACUAGCCUUAGUAAGCAUGUUAUCUCAAAACGUUUCAUAAAACGUAAUCAUUAAAUCAUGUCUUUCAUGUAUGCAUUUCUACUAUUAAAACAUGCUUUUGAAGGGGUCCACUCACAGUACUUAGCCGCCGAAGAGUCACGCAAACUAACGAACAAGAAAACGUCACCAAUAAUUGCCCCUAAGCACAUAAAGGGUCCAAUUAAUAAAACUCUAUUUUAACAAUUGAAUUGGGAAAACGGACUUCAAAAACGGGUCCAGGACGUCGAAAUUAGCCUAGGAGAGAUCCUGGACGAAAGCCAGAAUGGGCUUGGGGUUUGGGUUUUAAUUAAGCUAAAGGGACUUGGGAAAAGGGCUGAAAGCCCACUUUACAAUUGGCCCUAAGGCCUUACUUCCUAAAACAGAAAAUAAAUAAAAACCUUAAAAAGGUUUCUUGGGUUUGACUAAUGGGCUACGGGCCCUAAAUUCCUAAUGGCCCGAAGGCCUUUAAGGGUCCUAAAACAAUUACAAUUAAAUAAAAUAAUUAAAAGUAAAAUAGGCUAGGGUUUUGGGCUUGGCUCCCCAAACCACACGGGCCUAAGGCCCGCUUAGCAUGGAACCGGCCUGGGAGGCCUGUCUCGCCGGAGCACCACCACCGGAGCUUCACAGCUCCGGCCGACUUCCACACACAACCCUAGACUUCGAUCUAGGUACCAAAACGAAGAGCAAGACGAGGGGAGUAUUUCUAUACCUUCCUUUCGUCGUGGAAUGGACGGAGAUGGCCGGAAAAACCCCCGAGGUCGCCGGAGUUGGGUGUGCUUACACCCGGCUUCGAUUUCGUCCUAUAACCUCCAAAAAUCACGAAUUAACUCCAAUUAAACCUCAAUCUCGCAAGAAUCAAGGACGAAAAGAGAGAAUUAGGGGCUUACCUAACCGGAGAUUGAAAAAUCUCGCCGGAGCUCCUUUUCCGGUUCUCUGGGGUCGCGGGAACGAGAGGGAGAGAGAGAGAGAGCAGGACGCGGUGAUGAAGGGUGAUGGGCUUCCUCGCGCGGGGAGAUGGGUGCGUGCAUGUGUGCGCGGUGCAGAGAAGAGGGAGAGAAGUGAGAGAUGAGAGAGAGCCGAGAGGGAGAGACAGGAAGAAAGAAAAGAAAAACAGAAAAGAAGAAGGAGAAAUUGUUUGGGGUGCUGCCAAGUGGCAGAUUUAGAAAGAAAGGGAUCCAUUUUCAGAUUGGGUAGAUAAAAUGGGACAAAAUUGAUAUAAUUAAAAUGUUUUGGGGUAAUUACAUACAUAUAUUUUUAUAAUUAGAGGGCGGGUGUUACAAUAUUGACAAAGAUAAGCUUCACUGCAACCACUGCAAUGGAACAAGGCACACCGAAGAAACUUGUUUUGAAAUACACACAUACCCAGAAUGGUACUGGGAAAAAAUGAAGCAAUUGAAGGCCAAAAGGAGGAAGUCGGGCCAGGCUGAACUGGUCGAGAGACAGGACCUGGAUCCAACGGGAUUAAAGGCCGAAAUGAAGCAAUUAAUGAGCAAAUGAAUAUCUAAACUGGCCUUAACAAUUUUCAGCAAUAAAAAACAUGUCCCUUUAUCGAAGUUGCAUAAAUUACAGAACCUUGGGAUUAAGGAGGAAUAAAAAGCCCAAAUUCCAAUCAAGAAAAAAAAAAUUGUAUGUAAAUUUAAGCUUUACCUGUAGAUUGGCAGCAGCAAAAGCAUACUGGAUCCAACGGGAGCGAGAACUGGAUGCCCAGCCCUUGACACGUUAUCGAGUGAGUUUAGGGAUCUGGGUUUUGUGUUUGCCGUUGAAUUUUGGAAUGAUCUGGAGAAAUUUGGGUUUUAGGGUUCUAAGGAUUUGAGUGAACCGAAACUGAUUUGGAUGAGCAACUUUUGGUUUCGAUUCGCGGUGGAGCAAGGAUGAAGAGGUGGAGGAGGUAGGAACGAAAGGGUGAGAAAAUUUGGAUAGGCGGGAUUCGGUUUCGUUUCGAAUCAGGACAAGACCACCGAGAAACCUCAUUAGCACUCCACGUGUGCAAAAGGGUUUUUCGUCUUUUUACUGUACCAACUUGAAAUACACAAAGGCAAAUUGAAGAUGGGUAUUUUCGUCUUUACACCGUCGCUUAUGAACAAUGUUUUUUCCAUGGCGCUUUAGUAUAUAUAACUAGCAAAGAAUGUUCAAGAGCAAUGCUGCGGGAUUGAAAAUCAUACAAAAACUUUGUAUCUAGUACUAUUUAUAUACAAAGGAUAAUACUUUAUGUGUAUUACAUACUAUUUACAUACAAAAGAUUUGAUAGUCCUAUUAAAAAUCACACAAAAUCUACAAUCUGACUGAGUUACAUACUAUUUCCAUACAAAAUCUACAAUCUGAUUGAAAUACAUACACUUAAUAUGUGCGUACCCCUCUUGACCUUGAACUCCCCCUACAUAGUUUACAAAAUUUACAGAUUAAAUUAAAUAUAAAAUCCAACUUAUUAAUUAAUUAUCAAAAUCGGAAAAAAAAAAUUAAAAGGGUCAAAAGAGAGAAUAGGAGAGGAGUCAAAUACUAAAAAAUAAAAAGAAAAAAACGAAAAUAAAAUCAAUAAUAAGAUUACAUAAGCACAUUCAAUUUGAUGAUUUGGAAAUUAAAGCAAAGGCCUUUGACCUUCUACGUAGGCCUGGUGUAGACAUUGAAAUUUCGGUGGCAUAAAUGUUAGCCAUUGCAGUAAGAUUACAUUUGUAAACAUUGAAAUUUUGGUGAAAUAAAUGUUGACCAUUGUAUUAAAAUUACAACCUUCAUUCACUUCACCUACAUCAUACACUAAGUUCACCUACAACAUCCACCAAGUUUCACCUACAAACAUCCACCAAGUUUCACCUACAACAUCCACCAAAAUUCACCUACAACAUCCACCAAAACAAAUGGAUGGUGGUGAUUCGUUCCCAAAGCCUAUAAAUAGGCUCAUCCAUCAAAGAAUCAAUAAACCAAUUCACAAAUACAUUUCUCUACUCCCAAAAUGGAAGAGAAUACUCCCCACACAUCCAAAAUCCUUGAAGCUUUGAAACUCUAAAGCUUUCAAGCAUCCAACCUCCCAAAUUCAAGCAAAUCCCGAAGGAUCAAGAAAGCCCUCUUCGUUCUUCGUCAAAUCCUCCUUCAAGAUCAAGCCCUAACGGCCCUUGAAGAAAUUUCUCCUUCAAGAUCAAGCCCCAACGGCCCUUGAAGAACUUCCACCAAUUCAAGAUCAAGUCUCGACGGCCCUUGAAGAAAGUGUUCAACAAAUCCACACAACUGUUCAUCCUAAGAUCAAGCCCCGACGCCCCUUUUUGGAUCAACAACAUCACCAAAUCCACAUAAAAUGUUCAUCCUAAGAUCAAGCCCCAACGGCCAUUUGGAUCAACAACAUCAACAAAUCCACACAACUGUUCAUCCUAAGAUCAAGCCCCAACGGCCCUUUGGAUCAACAACAUCAAUAAAUCCACACAACUGUUCAUCCCAAGAUCAAGCCCCGACGGCCCUUGGAUCAACAAUCAUCCAUCUUCAAGAUCAAGCCCCGACGGCCCUUGGAUCAACCAUCCACCAAUUCAAAAUCAAGCCCCGACGGCCCUUGAAGAAAGCACCAUCGUUCAUCAUCCGUUCAUCCAAGAUCAAGCCCCGACGGCCCUUGGAUCAACAACAUCAACAAAUCCACACAUCCAACCGUUCUUCAAGAUCAAGCCCAAAAGCCCUUGAAGAUCCGUUCAUCACCGUUAUUCAAGAUCAAACCUUAACGGCCCUUGAAGAAACACUCAUCCUCAAGAUCAAGCCCCAAUGGCUCUUUGAAGAUCCGCUCAAAUCCACCUUCAAAGAUCAAGCCCACGGCCCCUUGAAGAAACUUCCAACAGUUCAUCCAAGAUCAAGCCUCGACGGCCCUUGGAUCAACGAAACAUCCAUAAAUCAACACCUUACGGAGAUCGAAUCAGAAGAUCAAAAUUGAGAGAGAUUGUAACCCAAAUCAAAAUCACAAAAUAUUAUUUUGUGCACGUUGUUCUUGUCUUUUUCGUUUCAGGAAUUUUCCGUGUUCACAAAUUGGCACGCCCGGUGGGAUAAUCUCUACCUCUCAUCUCUUUCUCCGUUCAAGGAAUCCAAAUCCACCUUCAAAGAUCAAGCCCACGGCCCCUUGAAGAAACUUCCAACAGUUCAUCCAAGAUCAAGCCUCGACGGCCCUUGGAUCAACGAAACAUCCAUAAAUCAACACCUUACGGAGAUCGAAUCAGAGGAUCAAAAUUGAGAGAGAUUGUAACCCAAAUCAAAAUCACAAAAUAUUAUUUUGUGCACGUUGUUCUUGUCUUUUUCGUUUCAGGAAUUUUCCGUGUUCACAAAUUGGCACGCCCGGUGGGAUAAUCUCUACCUCUCAUCUCUUUCUCCGUUCAAGGAAUCCAAACACACCUCAAAGUCAAUAGCAUCAAGCAAGGGACAAGCCGUUCUCGCAAUCACUGAGGGAAUGAUCCUAAGCACUUCUGCCGCAAAUGGACAAUCCAUUAGCGCCACAACCGCUCCUCAACAUGCCACUUCAAAGUUGGUGCCGCUAAAAGAGCAAAUGGAGCAUCAAAGGUGUGAGUCUGUCAUCAACCUGACCUCGCUGGGGGCACCGAAGCAUGCUGCUGAGGCACACAAGAUGACAUCCCAAAACAACCAACGACGUUCUUCGUCAGCAUCUUGGAUGUCUAAAGGAAAGUCACGUCUAGUGGUUGCACAAGUCAUGACCAUCAGCGUUACCUCCAUCGAAGAACAACUGGCUCAAAUGAAUGAAGCAAUCGCAAGGCUAACCCGAACUGUGGAAGAAACAGACUUGCAAAUCGCUGCACUCGUCAGUCGACUGGAGCCACAGGACGGCGAGAACCCUAACCCAGAAGAUGAGUCUACGGUAGAGAGAAUCGAUGUGAAGCUGGAGCCAGACCAAGAAGCGGCACUCAUGGGAUCUCUUUCUAUCCAGCAGUUGCAAGAGAUGAUUGCCAGCACCGUCAAGGCACAGUUCGAAGGGAGCUCAAAUACCUCUAGGUUGUACUAAAAGCCUUAUUCAAAGAAGAUUGAUGCCCUAAAGAUGCCGAGGGGAUAUCAACCACCAAAGUUCAUGCAGUUUGAUGGAAAAGGAAACCCAAAGCAGCACGUUGCACAUUUCGUCGAAACUUGCAACAAUGCGGGGACGGAGGGAGACUACCUUGCCAAGCAGUUUGUGCGCUCGCUAAAAUGAAAAGCCUUUGAAUGGUACACGGACCUAGAGCCUGAGUCCAUCAACAGCUGGGAACAGUUGGAAAGGGAAUUCCUCAACCGCUUCUACAGCACCCGCCGCACUGUGAGCAUGCUAGAGCUAACGAGCACAAAGCAGUGGAAGGACGAGCCAGUCUAUUUACUACUCCAGCAUAUCAUUCAUGGAAGAUAUGGCGGACACUCUUCAAGCCUUCCUGUUAUCCUCGUGUUAUAAAGAACAGUAGCUCAUCGGGUACAGCUACUUCAAUCGUGAGGCAUGAUGCAUCUCCAAGGUCAGAUUCUCAAUUAUUAAGUUGUUUAUAUUGAUAAUUGAUUUUUUGUGUAGCCGGUGGCCGAUAUUCGACUUUAAUUACAUAUCGAUUCAAUGGCAUUCAUAGAACCCGAUCUAAUAUGUGCGGACCGAAUACUUGCCUUACCCCGCCACAAAGCUGCCGCUCUAUUCCCGAACGAUUAUGGAAAGUUGUGUGAGCAUCGCCCAUAAUUGGGUAAGAAAAUGUACACCUGCAAGUCGCAACCGUGCAGAACGUACAUGAUACAGUACGAUUAUACGACAAAGAGAGUGCUUCGAGAACACAAAAGGUUGAGUGUGUGCGAAGGAAAGUGUCCUCCGUGGAUAUACCAUACUCUCAACGAUUUAUCAGAGACUACAUGACCAGUCAACACAUUUCUGUACCUCGUUCAAAUGAUGACAAGACUCUGCGUACUACUAGCAUCUGAACUAACUUGUUAUGUUAUUAUAUGAUUUGAAGUUUUCUUAGCCGUGUCUUAGGCAUGGAAAGAUCGCAUGUUCUUGGUUUCCUGCUCUCAAAUGCUGAGAUACUCAUGAGAAGCUUCCAUACUUUCUCAAGGUGUUUGUGAGAGAAGGUGUUGUUAUGCCGUGGACCUACUUAUUUACCUGGUACUCCAAAUUCAGUUUUCGCGCUACCAGAAUCUUCUGCUGAAAAGGAGUCGUGAUAUCCUGUUCUCUGAACAUAUCACGUUUUCCUAGAGCGUUAUGUGACGAAGCAAACGAGCAUACUUGCAAAUCCAAGAAUGGGGAAUUCCAUUUGGUUAUCAGAAACUAAGAUGUUCCGCCUUAUCAAUCAGACAGAAAGUAAUGGUUCAUCCUCCAAGCUUCAGUGGAGAUUCCCCCGCCCAUACUGUUAACUCUCAAGCCCUGCGACAAUGGACUGUCAGCGGCAUGUGCUUUAAGCCUUUUAAGACAAUACUUUCCCGUAUUCAGAAGUCCGGGCUGUUGAGUUGGGAGUUUACAGAUGAUCUAUUUACAUUUUGAAAGAGUCUAUUGCAUGAAUGCGAUAUUGCAGGUGUUGAGUGAGAGCCAAAAAACGAAGCAAAGCGGAAGGAUCGAAAGCUUUUGGGGAUCUCGCUUGAGUAUAAGACUAGUUCUUGCAAGUUAAGCCGAGAGAGUAUUCACUGAUUGGUGUCCGGUGUACGUGAGAUUGCUAGCCGAACUAACGCAAGGGUAUGGUGUAUCCACUUUGAGUUCAUUGGUAGAUAGGUGUGGUUUGUUUGCUGCAUUGCUUCAACUAUUUUUUUCUUAUGGGUACUUCUCCAAGGAGAGGAUUUCGUGAAGCCUAAUGCUUCUGCGCCAAGGCUUCAUGAGCAAGCCUGCGAAGAAGAUUUCAAAUCAUUUGUUGCUGUUCUUUUCCUUUCAUUAUUUAAUGAAGGAAUGUAGCAUCCAUAUGGGGGACUGUCCUACAGUAUCAGAAGCUGCCAAAUGCCUUGUCCUCCUCCUAGUAGGCCCGUUCCGGUUUGUAGCAUAGUCAUUCAAUCAGGUCAUCCACUGGUUGAGGGCACGCCUCUCACUCUGGACUUAGCUGAUUAUCCUCAGCCCUUUAACAAGUGUUGCAGUUCUUUGUCGAGCACGAAGCCGAGAAAAGAAUCCGAGACUAUUCUCGAACGUUUGUUUCUGAUCUUGAUCCAUUAGGCAAGUUUAGCUGCUGUAGAAGAGUUUCUUUGGGCUCUCGGGAUCACCAGCCGCGAGGGGAAUCUGGUUCAGAGCCUGCCUGCCCUCUGCUGGAAUAACUCGGGGAAUCUGGAACUCACACCGCACAGGUGCUCGUGCUUCAUCUCUGGUCUACUUCAAAUCUGCUUCACCACUCGUUCGCCAUUCAACCGAUCCAGAAACAUCUGUGAAUAUAGGAGAUACAGCUAGGAGGGAACCACACAAAGGAGUAGCAAGAGCACAAGACUCAUCAAAGGAAGGGUAAGCUGUUUGAAGCCUUCUCAGGAUGAAGCAAGAGGACCUCAAACAGAAAUGCAGCUACGUAGACGGGCACUCUUUUGAUAAAAGAUGUUCAAACUGAAGCCACAAAUGGGGACACUACUCUGAGGUUGUUACUGAUACCAAAGUGACAUGUAAUUAUUAUUAUUAUUAUUAAUUUGUGAAUAUGCGUGUUUGGGUUAUUUUGUUCAUGCUAACAAAGACACUUCUAGUAGUACUUUUUCACUAAGCAAUCUUCUUUCUUGCAUAUCUGUAUGGGUUUUGAUAUGGCAUUGGGGUUCCCGAUAGGAUUCAGUUUACAUUCCCCAAGCUUAUUGUGUUGAUUAUCAAUUAAAAGAUUAAUUCUAACGCGACAGAGAAUCAUGGUUCAUUGUUUCUGAUGGGCUACUUUAUCGACAAGGGUUUAUUGGGUAUUUGGUGAACCAAACCUUGCUAAGGGCAACUUUAAGCGAGAUGGGUAUGUGGGGUAAGCAAGUGGACAUUAACUUUGGUGUCCCUAUAAUGAGUUAGUCCUCCACGCGUUUGCGCUCUUACAGCACUUUAUCUUUUUAAAUUUCUUUAUAUUGGUAAAGUUGGUUGGCAAUUCACUUCUUAGAUAUCUCAUCUCGGUAUGAGGUUUGUUUAAUACCACUAACAACCUCCUCCUUCUAGUGAGACGUAUUUUCUUUUUUCGAAAUUUUUUUUGGUUGAGUAAUCGCUGCCAUAGUCAUCCAAUCUGCCUUUCCAAUACAAUUUCUGUUGAACAGUCAUUGAUGUUGUCUUCUGUAGGAUGAGGAAUCUGAUAAUAUCGCCUGUGAGAUGGGAUGAAUUGUUUAGAAGAUGAUGAAAUAUCUCAGAUGACGAAGAUGUGACCUAUUAUGUAUGUUAUUGGAGUCUUUAAUUUUUAUGUCCUGAACAGGAGUAUUGGAUACUUUGAGUUUUUAUUGUUGCUAUUAUUGGGUACUUUUGGCAGGUUCUAAGAGAUGAUCUCUGGUCCCGCUUUGCAUGCCGGGAUAAAGUUACAACCUGCAUGUCAUAAAUUGGGAGAACUCAACUAAUGAGGAUGCUACAUUCUAAGCUUUCCAGCCAGCAACGUGAACAAUCUACUAACCCCAGCUUGUCUUCAGUAGCCAUCAGUCACUCCGACAAAAGGCUUGUGCUGUGAAAAUCUCAUCAUAGAAGCGCUCAUAAAGCAAUCCAGACGCAUGCUACAGUCGUAAGAGGCUGCCAGAUCUGCUGAGCGAUAGGCUAAUAGUAUUCUGCUUAAUUAGGUUCAAUAUAGACUUGCAUGUGAAUUUUGCUCUUGCCCCAUGGCUGGGCUUGGAUCUGCAGCAGGGGCAUUAGGGGAGGCAGAGAUAGAUCAAGGACGUCCUAUUUUUGUCAUUCUAGUGAUCCUCCUAAGUUGAUUUUUACUUUCUGGAGGGGACAGCUUAAUAGGCUCUGACAUCAUAUCGGCUAUUCAGAGGACAGCUUGUGCAGAUAGGUAGAUGAUGAAAGUAUGCUGGAGUGAUUUUGUAUCAGUAAGGUUGCAGGCUAUGGAGUGAUAUUUACACUAUCACUACCAGGGCCAGAACAUUCCAAAACUGCAGGCAUUCGUUUGUUGAGAAGGGCAUAACCAAGUAUCCAUACCCCAACACCUGCAUCACAUGAUCUGGACAGCUCAAAUUUCUGCGACUUAACAAAUAUUUCUUGCACCUUCACACUUGCAUUCGCAGAUUCCAUUCGAAUUCAAUUGCAUCGAAUGUCACUUGUCUAUGCGCUCCGUAGUAUAUAUAGAAUGCCAGGAGUCGAGAAGGCUUUUUGACAGCUUGGUGAUGGACUCAAUGUCUUAAGCAUAAACACAUACAAUAAUAUGCUACCACAUAGGCAUCUUACGUUCUCCCCCACAUAAUAGAUGCAAUCGGACUGGAGGCGGCUGAGCGCCAUAAACCUGCGUAGGUCAUCUUAGAGGGCUUGGAACUUUAGCACUACCUUCCAAUCCUCGCCUGAAGCUCAGAAUGCAACAGUUUCCGACAUUUUUGCGGAGGUAAAGUUUUGGAAUUGAUGACUUGAGUACAACUUGGUGCUAGAGUUUUUCCUUGAGGAAUUUAUGUAACGAACGCUAAAUCUACGUCGCAAAAUUGAGAUGAUCGCCGGCCAAAAAUUCAUAGCGACACAAUGCCCUUGUCAGUAGUCGUCCAGCCAGUGGGCGCGCGAAGUCUUCACUUCUUGAUCUUUGUGGUUACCAUGUCUUUACACCAUCACAUGAGAUCCUUAUCUUUCAUAUGUUCACCCUUUUGAGACUCGGAACAACGUAUGUCUCAUGAGUUCUCCCAUGCGCAUAUUAAGAGUAUGUCCCUCAGCCGGAACCGUCCCUGUACCUCUCCCUAUAUAUAUUCCGAGCACCAGCAGUGCUGACUGGUCCAUGCACAUUAACAAAAUUUCACAAAUUCUCCUCCCCGCAAUGAACCAGAAUGAGUCUAAACUGGGUGAGCAUAGGCACAAGAAGAAGUCUCACCUUGGGGCUAGCAAAGUCGACGAGUCUAUUUUACACACGAAACCGGAUUUUGGAUUCUGCCUGCCCAAGACAGUUAACUGAGCCAGAGAUGAUUGCAUUCCCCAUCUCCAGAAAAUCUCUGUCGCUGAAGUAAGCAGAUGAAUCUCUUUAUGAACUGGCGUGGGCCACUGAGCCUGAUGGGUCCAACUGCUCUUUAGGCUUUCAGUCAAUCCAGAGCCUAAACAACCUAUAAUGAACCACAAGCUCACUGGUGCGCAGCCCUACCAAGAGUAAACUAGUUGGCAAUUGCGAUAAGAACUGUGCAUAAUUCUUCAAAUGUACGCACAAAAUCAAUCGAAGUGCAAAUGAGGAAUGUUACUGUUAAAACUCUCAUUCAAGAUGGCUCACUCAAAUAUGCAAAUUACGGUCGACAAUAUGCCCUCAAAUGCUGAUCCCUCUUGUGUGUUGUCCCUUCUCCUGGAAUCCGAAAGCCGUUAGUUCGUAGCUCCUGUUAAUUGCCAGUUUUUCCAUACAGAAACAUUCAAGAAGUUCGAAGGUUCAAAGUCAAUAUACACUAAAUUAAGAAUUAGAGAAAAAAUAUAAAGUUUUAUUAGAAUGGAAAGUGCAAUUUCUAGUGUACAAAAAUUAGUAAUAAAUAAUGCACGUGAAAUAGUCACUAUUCGUAAGUUUACAUAUAGAAAAACAGACUAAAUGAAGAACAACCCUACAAUAACCAACCAGAAUUUGUUUAAAGUUUUGCUGGUCAGGCCCAGAUAGAAUAAGUUAAGAGAGAAAUAUAAAGUAGACGCUUUCUUAUUUUAUUUUUUUCUCAUGAUAAUCAAUUUACACCUAAUAAAUUUUAUUAAUGAUAAGUAGAUAUCUUAUAAGAAUAUAAAAUAAAUUUUCAUAUAUCAAAUAUUAACAAUUUUGAGAGGGAUGCUUAAAAAAGAAUUAAACCCAAUUUUCCAUCUCCUGAUCUAUCUUCCCUCCUUCAGGAAUGCGCUUCGACUUAACCACUCAUAUCCCUUGGCUAUCCGUGUCUCUCACAAAUGCAUAGUUGAAGACUUGAGCAAGAGUGAACAUCGUUAUAUAUGAAGCAUACACACUAACUCAGACAGAACUUCCUUCAGUGCUAGACGUGAGAAAUGAAACCCUCAUAUAAUAGUUAGAAUCCAAAAUUAUUACAUUAGGAGCUUUUCAAUUGACGCAGUACGAGCCUAGACGAUGCGGCCAUAUUGGUGCUGAACAAACCUCUGAAAUCAAUGCCCUUGAUUUUGAAGCCCGAAGCUCAAAACUUGGCGGAGUAGCGCAUCAGAUUCCUGCAAUUUCUGAGUGUUAAUACCUCUCGCGUUCUGUCUAUGAGAUUUGUUUAUCCCAACUUAGAUCACCUUGGCGAGCUUUAAUCUGCAGACUAUUAUUGAGUCUUUCCUGCGUUCGACCUCCUCGAAACCUAACUCGCUGGUGUGAAAUACUGCAAUGAUAUUCUUCAAACUGCGAUGCAGCCGCUGAAAUUGAUUCAAAACUUUUGGUACUUAGUUCUUCGGUGCAUUAAUAAUUUGGCUGUAGGGCUUUCAUUAUUUUAGGACUUUCUAUUCCUGCAUCAACGUACUAUCUUGGAGCUCAAUGGGAUGAAUCUCUCGAUAAUAUGGUCGCCUAUCUCUAGAUCCGGACUAUUGGUGUAAAAUACUGAUUUAAUCUCGGGUAAUUUCUAUAGGUUAGUUAGACACAAAUGGUCAAUUACACGUUGGCCAGGACCACGCGCUAGUACAAGCAUACAUUUCAUAAAUUCUCUAAGCCAUGCGUCGAUAGAGUCACCCCAGCACAGUGCAAGUAUCUUAAGGAUAUGAAUACUAAGUAGGCAAUAUGAAAGUGUGAAGCAAUGUGUGGGCCCAUAUGGUUAAUCUGAGAAUAGACAGACUCACCUCAGGUUCACCGAGUUUUCUAAAUCAAAAAUCGGGGUCGGUCGGUAUGUUGUCUUCUAGUAUACUAUUUUCUAAAGCGUUUGUUGAAAUAAAGACACUGACCGGUGAUAUAGCAGGAGCAAUUCAAGAUCUAAUGAAGUGCAGGAAUGAAAUUUUUAACAGAGGCUGACAACUCAGAGAGUGUGAGUCUUUCUUGUAUACAACGAAUACUGAGCGAUUCGACCUUUCUAUAUAAAUGUAUCAAGCCAUUCACGACGGGUGACUCAAAAAGAUGUCGUAAGACCGUCUGGAGCUCCGAGAAUUCGGAUGAUGAGGACAUAUUUCAAAUAAUACUCAAGAGGGCUAAGUCAGGAGAACACUUGAAAAGAAAGUUAUUCUGCACUUUUCCAUGCUAUAUCUGUGCCAACUGCAAGUUUAAACAUUCCCGCUUACAAUACGCGCCCAAAUCAGCUCUGAUGGAAAAAGUUACUUUGCGGGGCACGAAUGUUUGUAAAGAGCUCGCAUGGAAAUUCGCGCAGUGAGUUUAUCGAAGAAGCGAGCGUGUACUUAUUCAUCGCUACGUUCAGCACCUGGUCCAUCUCUGGGCGAAAACUCAUCUUACGGGUAUUUAAUCGAAAGUGAGGCAAUUUAUCAGAGGCGUUUAUGAAGCCUGUCUGUCACAAGCCCAAGUAAGUAAAUCUCAAGAACACGCACCUGGUCGUGCUCAGUCUUUGCAGGUACUGGCGUUCGCUGAGACACACGUGUCCUAACUACACUUUGCUUCAGCUCUUUUAGAUUACAUAUUUGGAGCUAAAAUUGCGUACUUCACUACGGACAGAGAGUUUGUCGGAGGAUUUUUCUGGAUAUGUAAAUAUAAUGAAGUAUAUAUUGAGUCUAAGCUUCCUACGCUCAUCUAUUGGCUGUUUACCGACAAACCGCGUGUGAAAGUAGAUAUAGUUCAGGUUUACCCAAUACCUGAUGUAUUAAAGUAAUGUUUUAUCUCUUUCUCUGUGUUACGUAAGCCUGUUGUCCAACCUCUCUACCCCUCCGUCCAAUAUGCAAUGUCUGAACAUACUAUUACUGCUUAAUCUUCAUAUCUACUCGAGAAUGACGCGCUUUUCUCUCUCCCUCAAAGACGUAUAAAGAACCUUCGUCGGAGUGAUGAUCAGUUCAGUCUUUGAAUCUUUAGUUGUCACUUUGGGUGUCCUCUGCUGCAAAAUACUAUUAUCGACUCACUCUCCUAGCGCACGAGAGGUAUCAUCAGUUGAGAUCAACCAGAGUAUGGUUUAAAUUGCUCUUUCUGAAUCGAGCCAUAAUUCUUACAAUCAUGUCUUUACUCCCUUUCCCAUUCUCUCUGUUUUCCGCUUUUUACUCUUACCCUGUACAAACUUCUCACAGGAUAGAGAGGUCAAAUACAUAUAUGCCAGGAAUACUCUCCCAGCUCUCCAAUAUACUUCGGACGACCAACAUUAUUUCCUGCGUCCACAUGAGUUGGACUAUCUGGACUGUUAUCGAGGUACAAGUCGGGCAAGAGGUGAAAAUUUGUGGAGUAGCAUGCAGACAGUUAAUGUGGAUACAAUCGUAGCAUGACUAUCACGCUAAAAUAAGUAGAAAUUACCACGAAGAAGAUAAUGCUUAUUAACUAUCUAGCGAACAAGCAUUGCCUCAAGCCAUAAGUGAGUGUUUUGAGCUGAGAUCUGUUGAUAUUCUAAUGACUGAAACUUCGCUCUACAUUCUGCUGAGAGGACGAGAGACGAGACCGAACAAUUUGGCAGUGACCUGUUGCACGAUGAAUCAGUCAUAUCAGUCAAAGAGGAGUUCUGAGGCGAAGAACUCAUGCAGGAAGAUGCUUAUGGCAAUGACCAACCAGCCUCGCCAGAAAUGGAGACUCCAUAGAGCGAGGAAAAUGGAUAACAUUCUUAAAGCUAUGGAGGACAUAGUGACAACAACAUAUCAUCGUUCUGUGCUCGAAAUCCUUCAAUGUGCGCGAGUGCGCUUCUCUGUUCAAAGAAUUUGCAAAAGUUGUUCUAGUUCUAUUGAUCAUCAGUGUAGCACAGUUCUUCUUGUGUUUAUAAAUUUGUAGGUUUGCGUCGAUGAUUAGAUAGCUCGGUUUGUGGAACCUCCAACGACUCUCAUGGGGUCGACUUGACUAGGCGUUGUUAAGGGCUGACAGCUUUCUCACCAACCCUUAAUCAAGCCUUAAGAUUUCAAGUCACCAACUGGCAAGAAGAGAGGCCCACGCAUCAAUUCUUGACAUAGAGCCAUCUUACCUUUGACGCACACAAGUCUGGUCUCAUUGACUUGGUGAAUUAAUGCAGAACCUCUGGUUGUAAUCUCACAGACACACUAAUCGGUUCACCGUUUCUUCGUGCCUUGUCUUGUGGCCCUUUCGAUUUAACCUCUCUCAGAAGAAUCAAUGCAUCAGACCCUGAAGAAGUUUCCGGCCAAAUUCAAGAUCAAGCCUCGACGGCCCUUGAGGAAAUCACAAGUCCGAUUCAAGAUCAAGCGUCCACCAUAUUUGAAUCAAAUCCAGUUCAAGAAUAAGCUGUGGAAAAUCAACAAUUGGAGGAAUCCAAAAAAUCCUCCAACCCAGUUCAAGAUCAAAGCUGUGGAAAGUCAACAAAGCGCAAAAACAAAUACGUGCCGAUUCAUCCACUACCAAAACCAAAGAUCAUCUACCACAUAAAGCUCCUUGUGGUCCAAUUUCAACCUUCAAGAUCAAGCCUCGACGGCCCUUGAAGAAAUUUCGAACAAAGUCCAAGAACAAGCCUCAACGGCCCUUGAAGAAAUCUCCAGCCCAAUUCAAGAUCAAGCCUCGAUGGCCCUUGGAUUGACAACUACAUUAACGGACUUCAAAACGCAUCUCCUACAUGUAACAAGCACAUGUAUACAACGCGCCUUGAAGUGGGGGCAUUUGUAGACAUUGAAAUUUCGGUGGCAUAAAUGUUAGCCAUUGCAUUAAGAUUACAUUUGUAAACAUUGAAAUUUUGGUGAAAUAAAUGUUGACCAUUGUAUUAAAAUUACAACCUUCAUUCACUUCACCUCACCUACAUCAUAGUUUCACUACAAGUUCCACAGUUUCACCUACAAACAUCCACCAAGUUUCACCUACAACAUCCACCAAAAUACAAUCACCUACAACAUCCACCAAAACAAAUGGAUGGUGGUGAUUCGUUCCCAAAGCCUAUAAAUAGGCUCAUCCAUCAAAGAAUCAAUAAACCAAUUCACAAAUACAUUUCUCUACUCCCAAAAUGGAAGAGAAUACUCCCCACACAUCCAAAAUCCUUGAAGCUUUGAAACUCUAAAGCUUUCAAGCAUCCAACCUCCCAAAUUCAAGCAAAUCCCGAAGGAUCAAGAAAGCCCUCUUCGUUCUUCGUCAAAUCCUCCUUCAAGAUCAAGCCCUAACGGCCCUUGAAGAAAUUUCUCCUUCAAGAUCAAGCCCCAACGGCCCUUGAAGAACUUCCACCAAUUCAAGAUCAAGUCUCGACGGCCCUUGAAGAAAGUGUUCAACAAAUCCACACAACUGUUCAUCCUAAGAUCAAGCCCCGACGCCCCUUUUGGAUCAACAACAUCACCAAAUCCACAUAAAUGUUCAUCCUAAGAUCAAGCCCCAACGGCCAUUUGGAUCAACAACAUCAACAAAUCCACACAACUGUUCAUCCUAAGAUCAAGCCCCAACGGCCCUUUGGAUCAACAACAUCAAUAAAUCCACACAACUGUUCAUCCCAAGAUCAAGCCCCGACGGCCCUUGGAUCAACAAUCAUCCAUCUUCAAGAUCAAGCCCCGACGGCCCUUGGAUCAACCAUCCACCAAUUCAAGAUCAAGCCCCGACGGCCCUUGAAGAAAGCACCAUCGUUCAUCAUCCGUUCAUCCAAGAUCAAGCCCCGACGGCCCUUGGAUCAACAACAUCAACAAAUCCACACAUCCAACCGUUCUUCAAGAUCAAGCCCAAAAGCCCUUGAAGAUCCGUUCAUCACCGUUAUUCAAGAUCAAACCUUAACGGCCCUUGAAGAAACACUCAUCCUCAAGAUCAAGCCCCAAUGGCUCUUUGAAGAUCCGCUCAAAUCCACCUUCAAAGAUCAAGCCCACGGCCCCUUGAAGAAACUUCCAACAGUUCAUCCAAGAUCAAGCCUCGACGGCCCUUGGAUCAACGAAACAUCCAUAAAUCAACACCUUACGGAGAUCGAAUCAGAUGAUCAAAAUUGAGAGAGAUUGUAACCCAAAUCAAAAUCACAAAAUAUUAUUUUGUGCACGUUGUUCUUGUCUUUUUCGUUUCAGGAAUUUUCCGUGUUCACACCUGGCAAUUCCUGACACGACCUGAUAAUCCGACACGACACGACACAAAAUUAACAGAUGUUCGGGUCGACACGAUAACGAAUCGGGUGUUAUCGGGUAACCCGAUAAGCAACUGUUAAGAUAACGGGUUAGUUCGAGUAUACAUGUGGAUAACACGAUAAGCACCUGUUAAUAAUUUUAUAACGCUAAAAAAUACUAUAAUAAUUAUAUAUAUUAAUUUAACAAUUUUAUACCCCUAAAAAGUUUAAAACUAUAAUAAUUAUAUAUAUAUAUAUUAAAUUAACUAUAAUAAUUAUAUAUACUAUAAUAAUUAUACCCCCAAAAUAUUAACUAAAAUAAUUAUAAUAAUUAUAUAUACUAUAAUAAUUAUACCCCCAAAAUAUUACUAUAAUAAUUAUAUAUAUAUAUAUAUAUAUUAAGUUUUAAAUUAAAUUUAUACCCCUAAAAACUAUAAUAAUUAUACGUACAAAAUAAAUAGAUUUAAAUCUACAUAAUAUAUAUAUAUAUACACACCAUUGAACUUGAUGGAAUACACGAAACUAAUUUCAACGAUCCAACCAUUAAACUUGUUUGUAUAUGCUUCGAGAUCGCAUCAGCAAAAAAUUGCAAAAAACAAACAUUUAGAGAUCAAGUAACGAGACAAAACUUUUCGACGGUUAUAAAACAAAAAAUUACGAUUUAACAGUUAUUUUAACUCCGAUUUUGAUAUUUUUUACAGCUACACUCGUUGACCAUAUAUGAAUACAAUGAAUGAAUUCGAUUUUCAAUUUAAAAUAUUUACACUAGUGGAUACUACAAAAUUUUAUGUUAUACUUAAUGAAAAUAUAAAUAAACUCUAAGUGUUAGUGAAUCUAUCGUUUUGAUGAGAUACAAACUCUAUGAAACUAAUUUUAACGAUCCAACCGUCAAACUUGUUUGUAUAUGCUUCGAGAUCACAUAUGCCAAAAAUCACAAAAAAAAAACAAUCAGAGAUUAAGUAAUGAGACAAAACGUUUCGACGGUUAUAAAACAAAAAAUCACGAUUUAACGGUUAUUUUAACUCCGAUUUUGAUGAUUUUUUACAACGACACUCCUUGACCCUAUACGAAUUCAAUGAAUGAAUUGGAUAUUCAAUUUAAAAUAUUUACACAAGUGGAUAUCACAAAAUCUUAUGUUAUACUUAAUGAAAGUAUAAAUAAAAUCUAACUGUUAGUGAAUCUAUCGUUUUGAUGAGAUAUGAAUUCUAUGAACCUAAUUUUAACAAUCCAACCGUCAAACUUGUUUAUAUAUGCUUCGAGAUCGCAUACGCCAAAAAUUACAAAAAACAAACAUUCAGAGAUCAAGAAAUGAGACAAAACAUUUCGACGGUUAUAAAACAAAAAAUCAUGAUUUAACGGUUAUUUUAACUCCAAUUUUGAUGAUUUUUUACGACUACACUCAUUGACCCUAUAUGAAUACAAUGAAUGAAUUUGAUCGUCAAUUUAAAAUAUUUACACAAGUGGAUACCACAAAAUCUUAUGAUACACUUAAUGAAAGUAUAAAUAAACUCUAAGUGUUAAUGAAUCUAUCGUUUUGAUGGGAUACGAAUUCUAUGAAACUAAUUUUAAAAAUCCAACCGUCAAACUUGUUUGUAUAUGCUUCAAGAUCGCAUACGCCAAAAAUCACAAAAAACAAACAUUCAGAGAUCAAGUAAUGAGACAAAACUUUUCGACGGUUAUAAAACAAAAAAUCAUGAUUUAACGGUUAUUUUAACUCCGAUUUUGAUGAUUUUUUACAACUACAAUCUUUGACCCUGUACGAAUACAAUGAAUGAAUUUGAUCGUCAAUUUAAAAUAUUUACACAAGUGGAUACCACAAAAUCUUAUGUUAUACUUAAUGAAAGUAUAAAUAAACUUUAAGUGUUAGUGAAUCUAUCGUUUUGAUAUGAUACGAAUUCUAUGAAACUAAUUUUAACGAUCCAACCGUCAAACUUGUUUGUAUAUGCUUCAAGAUCGCAUAUGCCAAAAAUCACAAAAAACAAACAUUUAGAAAUCAAGUAAUGAGACAAAACUUUUUCGACGGUUAUAAAACAAAAAAUCAUGAUUUAACGGUUAUUUUAACUCCGAUUUUGAUGAUUUUUUACAACUACACUCCUUGACCCUAUACGAAUACAAUGAAUGAAUUUGAUCGUCAAUUUAAAAUAUUUACACAAGUGGAUACCACAAAAUCUUAUGUUAUACUUAAUGAAAGUAUAAUUAAACUCUAAGUGUUAAUGAAUCUAUCGUUUUGAUGCGAUACGAAUUCUAUGAAACUAAUUUUAACGAACCAACCGUCAAACUUGUUUGAUAUGCUUCGAGAUCGCAUACGCCAAAAAUCACAAAAAACAAACAUUCAGAGAUCAAGAAUUGAGACAAAACUUUUCGACGAUUAUAAAACAAAAAAUCACGAUUUAACGGUUAUUUUAACUCCGAUUUUGAUGAUUUUUUCAACUACACUCCUUGACCCUAUACGAAUACAAUGAAUGAAUUUGAUCAUCAAUUUAAAAUAUUUACACAAGUGGAUACCACAAAAUCUUACGUUAUACUUAAUGAAAGUAUAAAUAAACCCUAAGUGUUAGUGAAUCUAUCGCUUUGAUGGGAUAUGAAUUCUAUGAAACUAAUUUUAACGAUCCAACCGUCAAACUUGUUUGUAUAUGCUUCGAGAUCGCAUAUGCCAAAAAUCACAAAAAACACACAUUCAAAGAUCAAGUAAUGAGACAAAACUUUUCGACGGUUAUAAAACAAAAAAUCACGAUUUAACGGUUAUUUUAACUCUGAUUUUGAUGAUUAUUUACAACUACACUCCUUGACCCUAUACAAAUACAAUGAAUGAAUUUGAUCUUCAAUUUAAAAUAUUUACACAUGUGGAUACCACAAAUCUUAUGUUAUACUUAAUGAAAGUAUAAAUAAACUCUAAGAGCAAGUCCACCCCUAAGGACUUUGCGCCAGCACCCAGCGUAUUUAUCCACCCAAGUGAACAGUAAUAGACCCCAAUGAACAGUAAUAGGCUAAAGCAGCUCCACCCCUAAAAAUGGACUGGCACCCAGCCCAUCUAAUAUUAUAUUAUUUUAUUCAUAUCAAUUAAUAUUUUAUCAUUUAAUUUAUUUUUUCUUCCUUUCUUUGUCCGGUCCUCACCCUUUUAUUCUCUCUCUCUCUCUCUCUCUCUCUCUCUCUCUCUCUCUCUCUCUCUCUCUCUUUUCCAGCUCACUCCCGUGAGCUCUCUCUCUCUCUCUCUCCUUUUUCUCCAUGUUUUCUUCUUCAAAUGAGCACCCAGCACCUGAAAUGGACCUCUUCCCCCAAAAAUGGGAGGUCGCCGUGGAGGUGCUCCACACCAACGGUUGGGAUCUCGCCGGAGCUCCACACAAACGCUCACAGGCACCUCGUUGUCGUCUCCUCACCGGAGCUCGCCAUGGAGGUGCUCCACACCCACGGAGUCGGAUCUCGCCGUGGAGGUGCUCCACACCAACGCUCCUCGAAAAAUGGACCUCCUCCUCCUCCGCAUUACCCGGCUGGCGUCAGCAUGAGUCAGAUGUACCGGGCAACACCUCAGUCAAUUUUGGACUGGGCUACAGACCAGCUUGCGCUGGGUGCCAGUCAAUUGGGUCGGGUGGAGGGGUUUCACAGGGUGCUGGGCAGUUUUUUCAGCUGGGUGCUGGGCAAAAUGCCCUCCGCUGGAACUGCUCUAAGUGUUAGUGAAUCUAUCGUUUUGAUGAGAUACGAAUUCUAUGAAACUAAUUUUAAUGAUCCAACCGUCAAACUUGUUUUUUAUUAGGCUCUUAUUUUCAUGUGUAGAUGUAGUACUUAAAUGACAAAUAUGUUUUAAUGUUUUGAAGUAAUAUUUAUGUGGUCAAACUUGUUUUUUAUUAGGCUCUUAUUUUCGUGUGUAGAUGUAGUACUUAAAUGACAAAUAUGUUUUAAUGUUUUGAAGUAAUAUUUAUGUGGUAAUGUGUGGUAUAUGCAAAUUUAAGAAAAAAAUAUAUUUUUCUUAACGGGUCAUAAAGGGUCGGGUCACUUUACCCAGGGUCGGGUCACUUUACCCGUUGGGUAAAGUGACCCGACCUGUUAAAGACCCGUUAAGAUAACAUGUGUGACACGACACGACCCGUUACGAUGACAGGUGUUAUACGAAAACGACACGAACACGACAGACACGACCCGUUUGCCAGGCCUACUUCUAUGACAUAUUAAAUACCUCCUUGAGCACAAAAAUAGAAAGAAAGGAGGCAUAACAUAUAAUAACUCUAGUUUGGGCUAAUUCAUUCACAUACUAAGUGUCAAAGAGGUUAAUAUAUAUAUAUAUAUAUAUAUAUAUAUAUAUAUAUAUAUAUAUAUAAUAUAUAUUUUUUUUUUUUUUUUUUUUGGUCGAAGAGGUUAAUAUUUUUAUUGGAACUAAGACUUCUGUUUUAAACAAAAGAAGAAAACACGCGGCAGACAGAAAAACAUAAAGUGGAGUACUUACAUCAGGCCAAGAAUCGAUAAUGAGCUCUGCAAUUCAUUGGCUAUAUCUCAUUCCACAUCAACUUGUUCCUUCUCAGUUGGCCGCUAAAACCAACCAUUCCAAUUUAAUUAUAAGAAAUCAAUAGGAAGGCUAGUAAUUUAUUGUCAAAGUUCACCGUAUAUAGAUUUCCUCAGAUAUAAUUCAUCGUAUAUAGAUUUCCUCAGAAAUACGAUAAAAUACAAUUACAUUAAAUCUAAGGGUUGAAUUGCAAACUCAAGCAUUUCCUUGUAAAUAAAAACUAAUAAUAGCUCAUGACAAAAAAUUUACAGAACACAUAAAGUAGAAACAUUAGUACCUAAUUAGACAUGAAAAUUACAGAAUAAGCCGGAUUAAGCCAUCUAAAAACAGAAUAAGCCACUCAGUACUACGAUGGUCUAGUGAUAUUUCUCUUCACUUUGAAGUGAGAUGUCGUAGGUUCGAAUAUCGUGGAUGGUGAAUUCGAUAUCAAAUUAGGCUGUCUAAUGUGUGACUUAGCCAAACUUCCCCUCCCUUGGUAUAAAAAUACGAUGUACUAAAAAAAAAAAAAAAAAAAAAAAACAGAAAAUUAAUACCACCAUAGCGAAAUACUACAGAAUAAUCUAAUUAUUUAUGCAUUUGGCAAGUUAAAAUAAUUAACUAAAAAACUUGGAGCAAAACAACACUUUAAUUCCAUGGUUGGUUUUAUAUAUGUGUUUGGGCCCAAAAUAAUAGUUUGGGUCGAGUUUAGUGACUCUUGGCGUAGUAACCAUUUAGGGUGUGUUUGUUGCACCAAACUAUCUCGAACUGGACUUAGCUCAUGGACUAACCUAGAUUGACUUAGACUAGAUUAAGCUGGACUAACUUAGUGAAGCGUUUGUUGCAGUGUCAGACUAAAAAGCUGGACUAACAAUAAAUUAUUAUUAUAUUCUAAUUUUUUUUAUUAAGAAUAUCAAAAUUAAUAGAUUAAAGAAAGAGGAUAUCUUCUUCGCCAAUUUCCUGGUGUUCCUCAACACCUUGGAAGUUACAAAAUUUCCAAUAACAAAAGGCUUAAACUUGAUCUUGAAGAUAAACCUCCGCUGCUAAAGACCCAAUUCCCAAAUAUUUUGAUUAUUACAAAUAAAAAGUACCCAUAACCCUAAAAAUACCCAAUCUUCAUCCUUCUCACCCUCAGAUUCCUAUACCCAUGGCCAUGUAUGCGACUGAAGAUAGACAUCGACCACUAAAGGCCGUCGUCGAAGAGUCGAGCUUAAUCAUCCAAAGAAAUCGCCAGAUUAUAUAAUCGAUUCGGUUUGAGAUUUGCAUCGAAUGCGACCGCUAAGAGGAACUCAUCAAUUAAUUUCCCAACGAGCUUGAUCUAGCAGAGAGAGGUAAAGACAAAGAUAGAUGAGGAAAGACGAAGAAGGAGGUAGCAAGUGAGGAAAGCGAAGAAGAAGGCAUAUCGUAGUCCUUGGCAAUCCCAUGGUUUAACACGAGACUAUUUUGGACAAUCUAACGAGGCUCGGAGUCCACACGAGUCCGGGCUAGUCUCAUUUAAGUUAGUCCCCAAGCAUACCAAACAUGAGACAAUAAUCCUAGCUAGUCCAGUCCCACUUAAGAAGGUGAAACAAACACACACUUAGAGUCCUAUCAUGGGCCGUCCAAUCAUCAUCGACCGUCUAGUUAAGGUUGGCCGAAUCCCAUUGCAAAGAGGAUUGGUUUAGAUAAAAAGUAUACUCUAAGAGACGAGCGAUAAUAGUGCUAUACAUACCAGGUUGCUCAAACUACUGGUCAAUAAAGGCCACGAAGAUGGACCCGUCGAUCGUUCCCGACAGCCCUCACUUAAGAAUAAUUUGCCACCAGUGAUACAAGCCGAGACAAUAUAUGGUUGGCUCAAAAUGAUUGACUUAAAGAAAAGGGGUGGAUCAACUAGUAGAUCAGACAUAUUUGACCAAGGAGCGGAAACAACAUCUAUUGAUAUGGUCGAGGUUUAGAGAAUGAUUGAUUCGGCCCUAAAAAAAGGGCCGAAGUUUCCGAAAUUCAUUCACCCAUAUCCAGCAUUCGUAGAAAAGUUUGAAUACCCCAAGAGGUUCAAAAUUCCGGAUUUCAACCUUUUCGCCGGAGAGUCAUCCUUAUAGUCGUUAUAACAUGUAGCUCAAUUCACUGCCCAACGUAGGGACGUUAACAAUGAUUUUCAUAAGCUUCGACUGUUCAAUUUCUCAUUAACCGGCUCAGCAUUCGCGUGGUAUAUAAACCUUUCACCUAAUUCCAUCCAAAGCUGGGAGGAAUUAGUUAAGAAAUUUCAUGAGCAGUUCUAUCGACCAGGGAUGGAUGUGUCAGUAUUUUCUCUGGCCAGGAUGGCUCAAGCUUCUGACGAGUCGCCAAUGGAAUACCUUACGAGGUUUAAGUCGGCCAAAAACUGGUGUCGAGUAUCUAUCCCAGAAGUCGAGUUCGUUAGGCUUGCCUUGAAUGACCUAUAUGUGGAAUACAAAAAGAAAUUUUUGAGGGAAAACUUCGAGAUAUGUACGAACUGGCUUAACAUGUUGAGCAAUAUGAUUAUUUGCUACGAGAAUAAAAUAUUUGAAGCCCCUAUCCUGAGGAACAAUCUACAAGAACCCUACGGUCAGUUAUGCAUCGGUCGAAGGCGAAGAAUCCCAAUAUGCCAGUAUUGACGCGGCCGAGAUAGUGAUUGACAAGCCAUACAUAUGCAAAGCAUUGGCUUAUGCUAAUUCCAAGGAUGCCAAAACCCGCUCGGCCUCUGAAGAAGCUACCAUCAAAACAUCGAAAGUUUAUACUGUUGACAUUACCAAGGCCGACGCCAUCUUCAAGUAGCUGUUGCUCGUGAAAAUUAUCAAGCUUCGGUAAGGGCAUAACAUUUUCAAGGCUGAAGAUUUGAAAGGAAAAACAUAUUGCAAGUACCAUGACUUGAACAAACAUACAACAAACAACUACGUCGUAUUUCGUGAUGUCAUCUAGAUCUGGAUCGACAAUGGUAAGCUCAAGUUCCCCGAGAAACAAAUGGGCGCUGACACCGAUCAUUUUCCUACGGUGACAGUAAACAUGGUAGAUGUUCAUCUACCGAGGGAUAAAGGAAAAUGAAAAGCCGAGUUCGUUCCAAUGCAAUUCAUCCCAAAGCAGAACUCUCAACCACGAUUGAAGAUUGAUUUAUUUUCAAACGAGUACCCCAAGAUUUGAUUGGACCAACUAUUAUCGAGUCAAUGUCGGACUCCAGCACUGAGGAAACCGACGAGCCGAUAAAUCUUAUGUAGUCGGUGUAAAACAAAUGUCAUCUUAACUGAGCCGAAGAAAAAGCUAUUUCGAACUAAAAGGUCACGACAGGCAUCCACAACUGCAACACCAUCCCAAAAGGUACUUGGGGUAGGACAACACUAGAAAGUUUUGAUAGGCUCGGCCCGCAGGUACAAGACAAGAUGCCAUCUUCGGCCAGACGACACCUUGAUUUCAACGUGCAGUUUUACAACGAGGAUUAUUAUACGUGUAACUCUGGUAAUUCAAGUUCACCUGCGAACCAGUGUAUCAUCAGACCUCCUGAGCCACGUGAUCAACACUGGUAUACUUAUAACUCCCCUACCAGUGUAUACAUUGCGUUGUCCAAAUCGUUAAAACGUCGGAGCCAAAGAAUAGAUUGUAUAGCCCGCCGACGAGCAACUUAGGAUACCUCGGUUACCAAGUGGAAGCCGAAGGAAACGACCAAUAAUAAAGAUGACCGAUAACCUCCUGCGAUCAUGAUCGAGUUGCUCCAAGGGAAGAAAGUGAUUGAUCGUGACUUUGAAACCACGAUCGAAGAAUCCAAAAAGUGAAUCAAACUCCUCAUUCAACCUGAGGAAAUAGAAGCUCGCCUCGAGCACUUCCGGAAUGAGAUUAAGAGCAAACUUCCCCUGCUAUCUACACAAGAACCGUUGAUCAGAGUUAGAUAGAAUCUCCACCCACCAUUUCUUAGUGAAACUUUAGAAUACAUGCGAGAGUUUCACAAGAAGCAUUCGGCAAAUGAUUUAUACGGCUUGCCGAAAGCAUGCCAAGAUACUCUUGAUCUUGUUCUAACUUGCCCCGAUGUUGAAUGAAUCAUCCAAAAGACCUCAGAUCCGGGGAUGAAAGCUAGGUUCCAACAUAUACGAGAGCCUUGAGUUUUCGACUUCGAGGUAGAUCCAUAUAUUGAUAUUGACGCUGCCGAACUUCCUCUUUCGAUGACCUUCAAUAUUUACGAUACUAUUUCAAAGUCUUUUCAGAUGUUUCUCUCUUCGACCUUACUGUCGAUGAAAAGGAAUGCGUAGCACAAUUAGAUGCUUACCUUGACACGAGAGAUACUCGCAUCACAUAUCAGGAGCAAACUCAUAUGUCGUCACAAGACCAAAACCCAGUUUUAACACUGAACGAACCUGAGGUCAACAUGCAGAAUGAGAAGACUCUAGUGAACAUACCGCAUGAGCAUACCCCGGCGUCAGCUGAAAAAAGCAAGCAAAUACUGCCCAUACGUAGGACACCUCACCCGAAAGUCCAGAAGAAGAAGAUCAUGACCCGAUAGGUCAUUCGGUCAUCGACAACAGGGAAAUCAGCAUGGUCUAUGUUUUACCUACCGAGUUCCAACCAACCACAUCCCAACCAAAUUUCCUGGACAGCAACGUGGUUGCCGAGGAAGCCACGCAAGUUGAUUUUAUGGUCGCCGAAGAGAUUUAGCAAGCAACAAAAGAAGAUAAACUUAAAACAGUUUUUGCCGAAUUGUUUCCUCACUUUUCAUCAGUUAAUCUCCAUCAUCUUAAGCCGUUAUAUGUUAUGGCUCAUAUUGAAGGAUAUCCGGUCUUCAAAAUUUUCAUCGACUAUGGAGCAACGGUCAACAUCAUGCCUGUUGUUAUCAUGAACACAUUACGUCGUUCCAACGACGAACUUAUUCCAUCAGGGGUCACCAUGAGCAGCUUCGUCGGUGACAAAUCCCAGACCAAAUGAGUGCUUCCGUUGGAGGUAAUUAUCGUAGGUCGUAAUCACAUGACUGUAAUUUUCAUAGUCGAUUCAAAGACAGGGUAUAAUGCAUUUCUUGAUCAUGACUGGAUCUAUCAAAUGAGCUGCAUCCCCUCGUUAUUAUACUAGGUCAUUAUCUUUUGAGACGGCAAAUCGAUCUUAGUUCAUCUAGCCGACAAUUAGCCAUUCGAAGCAAAUAUGAUUCAAGCUCGUUAUUAUGACGAUCACGUCGGCUACAUCACCCUGCAAGCGUUUGAUGAGGAAUGACGGUCGACUUAGAUCUCAGUUCAGAAAGCCAUCGAGGUAAGCGCCGAGAUUGUUCAUUAAGAUUCGGCGAAACUAGGGUUGGCCGACCUAGUUGCCGAUCCUGAUGUCUGGUACCAAACUAGAUAGAUGCUGGGCCAUGGUUUCAUCCAUCAUAGAACGACUACUGGCGCAUUGGUAUGCUAUUUCUAGGUAGCUAAAUUCGGGUGUGAACUUGGUAGAGUUUCUCGCCGAAGGAAACAACAGUCCAGUUUUAUCACUUGACAAGAUUCAAGCUGCCAUGGCCGAGCUCGAAGACAGUCGGGCCCAAGUCAAAGAACCUUUAGAGGAAGUAAAUGUCGAAACGGCCGAAAACCCACGGCCUUUGUUUAUUAGUGCUUUGUUACCCCAACCUAUGAAAACUGCACUUUGUAAUUUACUCAAGGAAUUUAAAGAUUGUUUUGCUUGAGUUACCAUAAGAUGCCUAGUUUAGACCGAACGUUCAUCUAGCACGAAUUACGCAUCAAACCUGGUUGUAAACCGUUCCUCCAACCCCUCCCCCCCCCCCCCGACGAUUCUCGACCGAAGUACAACUUGGCAUAAAAGAUGAACUCGUUCGACUUUUAAAAGCUGGGUUUAUCCGGACAACUCGAUACAUUGAAUGGCUGGCGACCAUCGUCCUAUUUUUACAGAAAAGUGGUGCUCUACAUAUUUGUAUCAAUUUUUGAAAUUUGAAUUUGGCAACCCCUAAAGACGAGUAUACAAUGCCAAUUUUAGAUUUGUUAAUCGAAGUAGUAGUACACCAUGAGAUAUUAUCCUUCAUGAAUGGUCAUGCUGGUUACAACCAGAUUUUCAUUGCUGAGGCCGACGUCUAUAAAAUUACUUUUCGUUGCCCAUGGGCACUCGGGACUUACGAAUGGGUCGUCAUGCCAUUUGACUUGAAAAACACUGGUGCCAUAUGCCAACGUGCUAUGAAUACGAUUUUUCAUGUUUUAAUUGGUACCAUCAUCGAAGUCUAUUUUGAUGAUGUUGUAGUUAAAUCAAAACAUCGCCGAACACAUUUAGAUGAUCUUCGGCAGGUUUUCCUUCAAAUGCGCCAACAUAACCUUAAAAUGAAUCCUGCCAAAUAAGCAUUUGGUGUAUCGGUCGGCAACUUUUUAGGUUUUCUUGUACAUCAUCGUGGCAUUGAAGUGGACACAAAUAAAGCUCGGGUGAUCAUCGAUGCUCCACCUCCGACAACAAAGAAACAAUAACAAUCACUACUCGAUAAAGUCAAUUUCCUCUGCCGUUUCAUUUCUAACUCGGCAGGGAAGAUGAAAGCUUUCUCCACGCUCUUGAAACUUAUAGAUUCGGACAAAUUCGAAUGGCGUGAGGAGCACCAAGAUGCUUUCACGAAGACAGCCAACGGAUUCCUCGGCGGCCAAAAUAUACAACUUGAGUGAUUUACCGCGCCGAGGUGGCACAAUGACAUGUGGGUUAGUGAGGGAGACCCUAAUUUGUUUACUUUUAUUAAUUAAAUUCGUUUUUAAUUUAAGUAGGUUAUAAACUCAAUCAUCUCAAUUUCUACUUUACAAUAAUUAAUUGGAAUUUGGUUUGUUUCGAAUUAUUUAAUAAUUCCUGUGGAGAACGACCUUGCGAGAUCCGUUUAUACUACAAUAACUUUGUCAUUCUUACAAGUAUUAUAGGAGUUUUUAGCCCGUUUACGUGUGUAGUAAAAUCCGUAUCACCUUUCUUCAGACAGACUUUGAUCCCCCGCCAAAACCUGUAAGUGACACAUCAACUGGUAGAAGUGGCGUGCCUAUAGGUACGGUGGUUGGAAUUGUGGUUGGGGGAGUCUUAAUUAUACUACUGAUAUUUGGUGUUCAUUGGAAGAGAGGCCUCUUGGGGCAACAAAAGACAUUGGAGGAUGGUAUUAAUUUGCAGUUUAUUCUGUUAUACUGGUUUUUCCUUUUUGUUUCUCCAUUACUUUUUCUCAUCGACCUUUUUUCGUAACUAAUUAAGUACAACAUUUAUGCUAUUUUGCAUGGUUCUCCUGCAUAUUGACGUGCACUACAAAGACAGUAAUUAUUUAGAUAUUGAGCUUUCCGGCACUUUGAUGUUGCUGUAAUAUAUUUAUCUUCCAAACUCAUGAUGCAAAGUGUCUGCCUUACUUGUUAAAUUCUAGAAUCAGGCACAAAAUAUUAAGAACUAAGAAUGCUGUCGUUCUGAAAGUUUUCUUAAGACACAAUUUCUUAUGAGUUUUACUUGUUAUAUAGAUUUGAAGGGUGUGGACCUGCAAACUGGUAAAUUUACCUUCAAGCAACUCAAAGAUGCCACAAGCAACUUUAAUAGAGGCAAUAACUAGGUCUGGCAAACGGAUCGUGUCAAUCGUGUUCGUGUAACAUCUGUUAUCUUAACGGGUCGUGUCGUGUCACACCUGUUAUUUUAACGGGUCCUCAACAGGUCGGGUCACAAAACGCUUACAUUUUGCAUAUCCUUGCACAUUUAAAGUGACCCGACCCGUUAUGACCCGUUAAGAAAAAUAUUUUUUUUUCUUAAAUUUGCACAUACCACACAUUGUCACAUAAAUAUUACUUCAAAACAUUAAAACACAUUUGUCGCUUAAGUACUACAUCUACACUCGAAAAUAAGAGCCUCAUAAAAAAUACAUCCAUACACUACUAAUUUAUUACAAAUAUUAAAUGUGCAAGGAUAUGCAAAAUGUAAGCGUUUUUGUUUUCAAGGUUGUGAAGCCUUUCUCAAAAGUUUAAACCUUGCCAAUGGAACUCAAAGCUUAAUGAAACUGACCCACUAGUGUGUUUAUUCGUACUUUCAUUAAGUAUAGCAUAAGAUUUUGUGGUAUCCACUAGUGUAAAUAUUUUAAAUUGAAUAUCGAAUUCAAUCAUUGUAUUCAUAUAGGGUCAAGAAGUGUAGUUGUAAAAAAUCAUCAAAAUCGGAGUUAAAAUAACCGUUAAAUUGUGAUUUUUCGUUUAUAACCGUUGAAAAGUUGUGUCCCGUUACUUAAUCUUUAAAUGUUUGUUUUUUACAAUUUUUGGCGUAUGUGAUCUCGAAGUAUAUACAAACAAGUAUGACGGUUAGAUUGUUGAAACUAGUUUCGUAGAAUGCGUAUCCCAUCAAAACAAUAGAUUCACUAACACUUAAAAGUUUAUUCUUACUUUCAUUAAGUAUAACAUAAGAUUUUGUGGUAUCCACUAGUGUAAAUAUUUUAAAUUGAAGAUCGAAUUCAUUCAUUGUAUUCAUACAGGGUCAAGGAGUGUAACUGUAAAAAAUCAUCAAAAUCGAAGUUAAAAUAACUGUUAAAUCGUGAUUUUUCGUUUAUAACCGUCGAAAAGUUUUGUCUCGUUACUUGAUCUCUAAAUGUUUGUUUUUUGCAAUUUUUGGCAUAUGCAAUCUCGAAGUAUAUACAAACAUUUUUUACGGUUGGAUCGUUGAAACUAGUUUCAUAGAAUGCGUAUCCUAUCAAAACAAUAGAUUCACUAACACUUAAGAGUUUAUUCAUACUUUCAUCAAGUAUAACAUAAGAUUUUGUGGUAUCCACUAGUGUAAAUAUUUUAAAUUGAAGAUCAAAUUCAUUAAUUGUAUUUAUAUAGGGUCAAGGAGUAUAUCAUUAAAAAAUCAUCAAAGUCGGAGUUAAAAUAACCGUUAAAUUGUGAUUUUUCGUUUAUAACCGUCGAAAAGUUUUGUCCCGUUACUUGAUCUUUGAAUGUUUCUUUUUUGCAAUUUUUGGCCUAUGCGAUCUCGAAGCAUAUACAAACAAGUUUGACGGUUGGAUCGUUGAAACUAGUUUCGCAAAAUGCGUAUCUCAUCAAAACAAUAGAUUCACUAACACUUGAGAGUUUAUUUAUAUUUUCGCUAAGUAUAACAUAAGAUUUUGUAGUAUCCACUAGUGUAAAUAUUUUAAAUUGAAGAUCGAUUUCAUUCAUUGUAUUCAUAUAGGGUCAAAGAGUGUAGCUGUAAAAAAUCAUCAAAAUCGGAGUUAAAAUAACCGUUAAAUCGUGAUUUUUCUUUUAUAACCGUCAAAAGGUUUUGUCCUGUUACAUGAUCUCUGAAUUUUUAUUUUUUUGCAAUUUUUGGCAUAUGCGAUCUUGAAGUAUAUACAAACAUGUUUGACGGUUGGAUCGUUGAAACUAGUUUCGUCGAAUGCGUAUCCCAUCAAAACAAUAGAUUCACUAACACUUAAGAGUUUAUUCAUACUUUCAUCAAGUAUAACAUAAGAUUUUAUGGUAUCCACUAGUGUAAAUAUUUUAAAUUGAAGAUCGAAUUCAUUCAUUGUAUUCAUAUAGGGUCAACGAGUGUAGAUGUAAAAAAUCAUUAAAAUUGGAGUUAAAAUAACCGUUAAAUCGUGAUUUUUCGUUUAUAACCGUCGAAAAGUUUUGUCCCGUUACUUGAUCUCUGAAUGUUUGUUUUUUUCAAUUUUUGGCGUAUGCGAUCUCGAAGCAUAUACAAACAAGUUUGACGGUUGGAUCGUUGAAACUAGUCUCGCAAAAUGCGUAUCUCAUCAAAACAAUAUAUUCACUAACAAUUAAGAGUUUAUUCAUAUUUUCAUUAAGUAUAAUAUAAGAUUUUGUGGUAUCCACUAGUGUAAAUAUUUUAAAUUGAAGAUUGAAUUCAUUCAUUGUAUUCAUAUAGGGUCAAGGAGUGUAGCUGUAAAAAAUUAUCAAAAUUGGAGUUAAAAUAACCGUUAAAUCAUGAUUUUUCGUUUAUAACCGUCGAAAAGUUUUGUCUCGUUACUUGAUCUCUAAAUGUUUGUUUUUUGCAAUUUUUGGCGUAUGUGAUCUCGAAGUAUAUACAAACAUGUUUGACGGUUGGAUCGUUGAAACUAGUUUUGUAGAAUGCGUAUCCUAUCAAAACAAUAUAUUCACUAACACUUAAGAGUUUAUUCAUACUUUCAUCAAGUAUAACAUAAGAUUUUGUGGUAUCCACUAGUGUAAAUAUUUUAAAUUGAAGAUCAAAUUCAUUCAUUGUAUUCAUAUACGGUCAAUGAGUGUAGCUGUAAAAAAUCAUCAAAAUCAGAGUUAAAAUAACCGUUAAAUCUUGAUUUUUCGUUUAUAACCGUCGGAAAGUUUUGUCUCGUUACUUGAUCUGUGAAUGUUUGUUUUUUUGUAAUUUUUUGCUGAUGCGAUCUCGAAGCAUAUACAAACAAGUUUGACGGUUGGAUCGUUGAAAUUAGUUUCGUAUAAUUCGUAUCCCAUGAAGUUCAGUGGUGUGUGUGUAUAUAUAUAUUUAUUUAUUUAUUAAGUAGAUUUAAAUCUAUUUAUUUUGUAUGUAUAAUUAUUAUAGUUUUUAGGGGUAUAAAAUUUAAUAUAUAUAUAUAUAUAUAUAUAUAUAUAUAUAUAUAUAUAUAUAUAGAACUAUUAUAGUUAAUAUUUUGGGGGUAUAAUUAUUAUAGUAUAUAUAAUUAUUAUAAUUAUUAUAGUUAAUUUAAUAUAUAUAUAUAAUUAUUAUAGUUUUUAGGGGUAUAAAAUUGUUAAAUUAAUAUAUAUAAUUAUUAUAGUAUUUUUUUUAGGGUUAUAAAUUAUUAAAUUAAUAUUCUGCUUAUCGUGUAUCGUGUUACCCACGUGUAUACCCGAACAACCCAUUAUCUUAACAGGUGCUUAUCGGGUUACCCGAUAACGACCCGCUUCGUUAUCGUGUCGACCCGAACACCUGUUAAUUUCGUGUCGUGUCGUGUCAGAUUAUCGGGUCGUGUCAGGAAUUGCCAGGCCUAGCAAUAACAUUGGUGAAUGUGGUUUUGAUUCUGUUUAUAAGGUAUUCUUUGGAGCAAAUAAUUUAUUUAUUGAUUAUAUAUUUUUUUCUAGUUUGACACUGUCCGUUCUAAUGAAAGUUAAUUUGCUCCAUAGUGAUGCGAAUUUGACUAUCUUUCUUAAAUGUAGGGCAUUCUAGCAGAUGGCACCGUAAUAACUAUUAAGCAGCUGUCUUCCAAAUCAAAGCAAGGGAAUCAUGAAUUUGUUAAUGAGAUUGGCAUGAUUUCUGCUCUGCAACACCCUCAUCUUGUCAAGCUCCACAUAUGUUGUAUUGAAAGAAAUCAAUUAUUGCUUGUCUAUAAGUACCUGGAAAAUUAUAGCAUCGCUCAUGCUUAUCUUCAGUAAAUAUUAGUCUUGUUUGCCAAAAGUUCAUUUCAUCAUAUAGUGGCAUAAAAGAUCUUAUGCACUAAAAAUAUGUCCCUUACAACUAACUUUGUUUAAUUUGGCAAAUUGAACGGGUGAAGAAAGUCAUUAGAAGUUGGAUUGGCCAACAAGGCACAAGAUUUGUAUUGUUACAGCAAGAGGUUUGGCUUAUCUUCAUGAGGAAUCAAGAUUGAAGGUCGUUCAUAGAGACAUCAAGGCUACUAAUGUUCUGCUUGAUAAAAAUCUUAACCAGAAAAUAUCUAACUUUGGAUUGGCCAAGCUUGAUAAAGAGGAUAAUACACACAUUAGCACCCGUAUUGCUAGAACUUAGUGAGUCCCUAAACUUUUAUUUAUCUUCUUAUUCUCUUGUUUUGAUCUUCUUCCACCCUUAAAAAAGAAGAUAGAGCAAUGGAAAGUCUAUAACUUACAUAAUUUUCAACCUAACCAAAUCUUUGUUGUUCAAGAAAUUUCAAGGGCAGAUUUGUUCUUUGAAUAUAGUUGUAUUACUAUGUAUCUCUCUAACUAUUGCAUUAAUCUUAAGUAUUCAAUUAGCAAUAUUUUUACUAAUUAUUUUAGCUAAAUCUGGGUUAAUGAUGUGAUUUCAUGAUUUGCAGUGGAUACAUGGCGCCCGAAUAUGCAAUACGGGGUUAUCUGACUGAUAAAGCAUAUGUCUAUAGUUUUGGUACUCUCGUAUUGGAAAUUGUUAGCGGGAGAAACAACACAACUUACUGGAAAAAGGAAGAAAGCUUUUAUCUUCUUGAUUGGGUAACAUGAAUCCACUACUUCCUAAUUUAACUUCAAAUUUUCUUAAUAUACCUUAUAUAUGUGAAAGUACAUUUGAAUCGGUGAAGUUUAAACCAAAGACAGAAUUUAUAUUGCUUUUGUUACAUCCAUUUUUUGUAGGCACGACUUCUAAAAGAGCAAGGGAAUUUGAUGGACCUAGUUGAUCCAAGGUUGGAAUCAGACUUUAACAAAGACGAGAUGACUGUUGCAAUCAAUGUGGCUCUCCUUUGUUGCAAUGUUACUUCGACAGCUAGGCCUACCAUGUCUUUGAUUGUGAGCAUGCUCGAAGGAAAGGCUGUUGUUCAGGAGUUGGUCUCGGAUCCAAAUGCUGAGAGUAUUGAGAUCGAUGCAAUGAGGAAACAUUUUCAAUCUAGUUUUGGAAGGGGCAUGGGCGAGAAACAGAUAGAAACAGAGUCAAUUGAAGGGCCAUGAACUGCUUCGUCUGCGUCUGCUCACGAUCUUUAUCUCGUCAAUCCUGAUUCAAAUUACUGGGGGAACAGAAGCGAGAGAACUUGAGCUGCACGGUUAUCAGUUCGACUUAACCUUAGCACACUCAAAACAUAUCAGCUAAUAAAUCAUCUGUAUUUCCUCUAUAACUAUUUUCUUUUUUUUGUUUGAUAAUAUAGUAGAAAGCAUAAUUGAAGAAGUUUCUACAGCAUGGUAAUUGUAAAAUCAGUUCUUUUCAGUAUUUUGUAGUAUGAUAAAAUGAUUUUCUUUUCGAAUAAUCGAAUAGAGUAAGUUGGUUGAACACUAUACUAUUUUGGCUAUGUGGUGGUUUGUGAAGAGAGGAGAUAAUGUACACCAAAUUCGAAAAGGAUGGGAAUAGAGUAAGUUGAUUAAGAGAAGGAACUUAAAUUUAGUAAAAUCGGAAAUCAUUUGUGGAGGAUUUUUCUAUAUCAAUAUAUUGUUAAUAUACAAGGUAAAGCAAGAUUCAGAGGAUAUGCAUGAAAAGAAAAAUGAUACCUGACGUAAAUCAUUGCCAAAAAGAUAAACAAAUUGCCAAGUUUUCUUAAAUUUAGUUUUGGAAGUUCUGAAAUUUACUUCAAUUGCAUUGAUUUUGAUUGUACUAGAAUACAGGUAUAUAUAAAUACAAGAAUUCCUACUACAUAGGUAAUUGGUACAAACUAAGUAAUCAGCCUGUGAUGCUUUACCUUAUUAAGAACGCCCAACUUGCCUAAUAGAGAUUUAAAAUGUUCAUUCCCCAAAGCUUUAGUGAAAAUGUCGGCAAGCUGUGACAUGUUGACAACUUUUCAUUCCAUGAUUUUAUUUCCGACAAAGUAACAAUCAAUCUCAAUACGUUCAUGAAAUACUGAAUUUGCGGCAAUGUGAAGAGCAGCGUGAUUAUCACAAAACAAAGUUGCAGCCCCCUUGUUGCCAAGUUAUAGACCACGAAAUAGAUUUUGUAACCAAGCCAACUCGCAAUAGGCUGCUGCCAUGGAUCUAUACUCUGCUUCGGCAGAGGACAAAGAAAUUGUCUUUUGACGUUUGUUGUUCCACGAAACAAGAGAGUCUCCAAGAAAAACUCAAGAAUCAGUGGCGGGUCGCAGAGUGGUUGGCCAUCCUAUCCUAUCCAAGUCACAAUAUGCAUUCAACUUCAAAUCAUUUUCUGAAGAAAACAUAAUACCUCGUCCGGGUGUCCGUUUUAAGUAUCUCAAAAUCCAUAAUGCAGCCUCAUAUCAUGGCUUCCGAGGUGCUUACAUGAAUCUACUCAACAAGUGGACCAAGUACAUGAUAUUUGGCUAGGUAAUAGUGAGAUAAAUUGGACGACCAAUCAAUCUCCUAUAUUUAACAUGAUCAUUGAGAAUUUCACCCUCAUUAGGAGAAAUUUUUCAUUGUAACGAGAACACACGUGGUAAACCACGUGUCAUUGUGUAAGUGGUGGAAAAUUUUAUUUUUUAAGCUAUUACCUUUUUAACACACAUAUGAUAUAUCCUACCAUUUAUACAGUAACACGUGGUGUACCACUUCGUAUGCCGGUCACUCUGAAAAAUCUCUCCCUCAUCAGAAAGCAAUUUGAGAUUUUGCUCCAUAGAGAAAGUGCAAGGUUGUGAUCCUAAAAGACCCACAUCAUUGAGAAUAUCCAACAAGCAUUUCCUUUGUGACAUAAAAAUCCCCCUUUUUUAACACGCCAUUUCUAUGCCCAAAAAGUAUUUUAAAUUACUAAGAUCUUUGCUAUAGAACUUGGUAUUUAAAAAAUGUUUUAGACUAUUAAUUGCAGUUGAAUCAUUUUCUAUAAUCAAAAUGUCGUCAACAUAAAUAAGGGGUGAAGUAAAUGACUUGCCUUUGUGUUUAGUGAAAAGCGAAUAAUUUGCUUUUGAUUGAACAUAACCGGCGAACCGAAUGGCUUGCGAAAACUUGAAAAAUCAUUGUCGAGAGACUUGCUUCAAACCAUAAAGUGAUUUAUUGAGGCAACAUAUCAGUUUCUCCCCCUAUCGGCGAAGAUUGAAAGGUGGGACCAUGUAUAUUUCCUCCAUGAGAUCACCAUGAAAGAAGGCAUUAUGAACAUCCUAUUGAUGUAAAGACCAUGAAUAGGCGGUGGCAAGAGCAAUAAGGCAGCGGAAUGUGACCAGUUUGACAGUAGGGGAAAGAUAUCAUGAUAAUCAAUACCCUUUGAGUGUACCUCUUAGCGACCAAAUGAGCUUUGUAACACUUAAUACCAUUGGAUUAGUACUUGACUUUGUAGACCCAUUUGCAACCAAUGAGUGAUACUCCAUAUGUUGUUAGCCUUGAGAGCUUGGAUUUUGUCAUCCAUGACUUGAUUCCAUUUAGGAUAUGUGCAAGCUUCUGCUUAUGUGGUUGGCUCCAUAUGGUAGAAAUACUAGCAAGAAAGGUAGAAUAUAGGGGCAACAAGUGGAUACCUGGUACUGGAACUGGAAGACGAGGGCGUAAUGGGGCAAUGUAAGAGAGGGACAAACAUAGUCACUGAGCUUCGCAGGUGGAGUUAUGAGGCGAUUACAUCCUCGUAAAGGGAUAUCAGAGAGCUAGUCAUCAGGCUGCAUGGUAGGGAGCUGAUCAUCAGGCUGCGUGUCAGGGAACUAAUCAUCAAGCUUCGUGAUAGGGGCAAGGUGCUCAUCAGGUGACUACAUGUUAGAAAGCUGAUCAUCAGGAGCAAUAUCAACAGAUGUCUCGACAUUUUGUAGGGCAUUGGUGGGGUCAUGCAGUUUAUGAGAUAGUGAGCAAGGCUCAAUGCAUGGAUUGAAUAUAGGUGUCUGAUAGCUAUUUGUAAGGGGAUUUAAUUCUUUUUGGCCAUGAUAGGGAAACAAAUCCUCGUAAAAAACAUCUCGACUCGUAAAAAUAUGUUUGGAUUGAAGAUCAUAUAAUUUGUAUAUUUUUGUCCUAAAAGGUACCCAAUGAAAAUUCAGGAGGGUGCCAUCAGAUAAGCCCACGGUAGGCAAUGGUGGUUUAAAUGUUGCUUGGGCCAAUGGAAGACCUGAAACGUGGUAUGUUGCACCACUGUCUAAUACCGACUCGUUAGAAACCCUACCUGCAGCGGUGACUGCGUGGGCUUUGCUUUCCAGGCCUACCUUAUGGCUCAUCAGCGAUAAAAGUUACUGGAACUGCUUUUGAAUAAGGUUGGGCAUCAUGUCAGCACACCCUGUGGAUUAAAUGUUGUUGACCAAUGAAACCCCCCUCUGGAACUGUUACCUUUAGUUUUCUUUUUGUGAUCGCCAUCACAGGUUUCUCUGGAUUUUCCAUGAAGACAAUGACUAGGCAGAUAAUCGUGAAGUAUUUCCAGCAGGUGUCAAAGGUGUGAUGGUCAUGGUCACAGUACAAACAGUGGAAAGGUUUACGUUCUAUCGAUCGUUCCUUGCCAUUAUUGGAUGAAGACUGCACCGCCAUGGCUGCGGGUUCAAUCAAGGCUUGCACAAUGGUUAUGCCUCAUUGCUUCUCUUCCUGAUAAAAGAGAGAAUAGAUCUUGCAAAUGAACAGAAGGGUUGCAUUGUUGAAUAUCUCACUUCUAACUCAUCAUUGCUAGCUCAUCAAAACAGUUGUAAAUGAUUGGAUGAUGUAAUAGUUAGUUGAAAAAGUUAGUUAGAGUUUGUUGCUCAAAGCUUAUGAGCUAGGUCCUAUAGGCUAUAUAGUCAACUAUAUAUAGCUGUCGUAAACAUGAUCUUUUGUCAUGAUCUUAUCAAACAUGAAGCACGUGAUUCUGUCUCAGGUUUCUUUUGGGUAAAUGAUAUGGCAGGGUCUUGAAGCUUGAUUCAAUUGUGGGAGGCAAGUUAUGGAAAAAUAUUGAUGUGCUCAUCUUUAACACUUGGCAUUGGUAGAAUCGUAGAUGACCCUCUCAAUCGUGAACAUAUCUUCAAUUUGGAGAAACAGUAAUGUGUUGGCAACCAGCAACAUCUUCAGUUUGGAUAAACAGCACUGGAGCUGUAGAAUCAGCCGAUCGAGGAUCACCUUCAGUUUGGAUAAAUAACAUUGUUUUGAGACCAACUGGUUAUCUAUCCAAGUUUUGGCCAUCAAAGAUUUCCGAAUCUUUGUUGGAAGAUGUCAUCUCAUUAGCCUUCUAGGUAAAGUGAGGUGUUACAAGGUUACGACAUUCGGCACACUGAAAGUCAAAUACUUAUUGAACUUCGCAGAACUAGUAGCCUUGUCUUCAGACUCCAGAACCCAAAGGUCAAUAUGUGUUCCAUCCUCGACUGCAGUCACAAGAUUCAGAAGUCAUUAGCGCGCCUAACACCACAUUAACAUUCAUUCACUCCCCGGCCAAGCUCGGCCAACGAGUUGGCACGCCUUACAUUCAACUAAAGGAUGUAGUUAGCUUAUUAGCUAUUCGGCCUAUACACCACGUAGGCUAAGUAGUUUUUAAGGUGAACACCAUGGCAUCAAUCAAAUUAAUAGUCUCUUAUUUUCUCUUUUUUUUUUUAAUUUUAAUUUUAGUGGCAGUGAGUGGCAUGAACCAAGGGCAAGAAGAUGUGUAGGGCAGAAUGAGCCUUUGCUUAGGUCGACCUAUCCAGGAGCUUUGCCACCAGCUCUGGGUGCGCUGAGGAAUGUGUUAAGCACAAUAAAAAAGCUCGUGACAUUGCAAGAUAUAACAAGCCUCUCACUCAUGCGUAAAGAUGGACAUCCUUCAAUCUAUGGACUGGGAGGCCAAUAACUGCAAGCAAGGAAUGGAUGACAAUGGUAGCAAUAGCUGCAACAGGCCAACAUAUAAAAAUAGGAUAUUACUAGAGAAACUAAAUUUUUUAAAUUAAAUUUCAAACCAAAUGAUUUGUCAACAAUAAGAAACAAGUACGUUAAUAGACACUUAAUUAAUAAUCCAAUCAUCUACAACCACAUCAUUUAGUUUGCAAAUUUGGUUUUAAAAAAUUUAGUUUUCCUAGCAUUACUCUAUCCAUAAAGAUAACAUCUAGGGAAACCCAAUCGGUGAAGUAUAGCAAACAACUAUUCACUAAGGAAUGAGGAUCCUCUUCGAAUCCAUUUUGUGAGGAUCUCAAGAAUCAUUCAAUCACGUCUGUUCAUCGUACAUCGUGUGGUAACAAUUAUUGUAAAUUUUUUUAUUUAAAAUUAAAUAUAAAUAAUACCUGAUGAAAACUGGUAAUGUACAAUGAACAGACAUGAUUUGAGGAUUGCCGAGAUUCUCACAAAAAUUAUCCGGAAAGGACCCCCAUUCUUCACUAAGGAAUAAACUAGAAAUUAUAAUAUUAAAAUGCAUAAUGGUUACCAAGCAAGCAAAUUUAUUGGGACUUGGAUUGUUUGCCUCCCCAUCCCAUACCCUCCAUAUGCCCUUAUAUUUCUAUGGUCAUGGUUAAACCACGUUAACAUUUUAUAUUUGCAUUGCUUUUUGUUUUAUUAUUUUUAUAAAAAAAAUUAAUAUAAAAUAUUGACGUGAUUUAACCGUGACCACAAAAUAUAGGAGGGCAUGAGAAAUGUAUAGAAUGGGGGAGGACAGACAAUCCAAGUCCAAUUUAUUGGCCUUGAAGUACCCAUGCCUGCAGAAGACAGAACCCAAAGUAACUCGGGAACUCAAACGUGGCCAAUUCAUCCAAGCAAAACAAUUAAAGCAUCCAAGGAGCCGAAACGACAUCCCAUUACAACCAUUAAACAUCAAGGAGAAUGGAAAACAUAUGAACUUUUUUUAUGAUGCUUUAUGAAUGAUGAAUUGAAAUAUAAACGGCUCAUACCUUUGAAAAAAAAGAAUUACAAAAUGAAAACCACAAAAAUUGUGUUAAAAUGUGUGUCAAAUAUAUGAGGAUGUGUAUAUAUAUGCACACCCACAUAUACACACACACACUUAAACGUGUAGCACUGGGUAUAGGUAGCAAAAGGCCACUUGUGAUGAGUGCUUGAUUCUAAAAUGUAGUAUUUCUCUCAAACAUUUGACUAUUACUUUAGUCAUGGAAUGCUGAUCAAAAUGCAAUUAAAUAGUAUCACUUAGAAUCAUAACUCUUGGCUUAUAGUAUGAAAAAAUAACAGAACAUUUGUAUAUUGCUUGCAAGUAAUUAGCUUCAGUUAGUCAACUCCAGCAACUUGAUUAAGAAAGCAUGUACAUAGAGCUGCGCAAUUACCAUGUCCACAUUUCCUGAUCAGGAAAUUUCCCAUGCUUGGCUUAGUUGAAAAUAGCAGAUAAGUCAAGAGUGUAUUUUAAAUUACUGUUACUUAAUUAUUCUAAAGUUCAUAAUCAAUAUUAAUUACUAGCAGCUUAUUAUAUACUGUUGUCAAAAUCGUGAGUUGGACUGUUGGUAAGGGUUUUUAAUUAGGGAACUUUAACGAAAAGCACCCGGUACUGUUCAUUUUAACGAAAAACCACAUUUUUACACUAAAAAGUCAAUUUUGGUACUAUUCACUUUACCUUUUAUUUUGUCCUUAUCAUUAAAACUCAAAGUUUUCAAGCUCUUUUCAUUAGUUUUCCUUUUUAAUUAAGCUGACUUUGGGCCCCAAAUAAUAAAGUGUCGACAUAAUACCUGUUACUUCAACAACAACGAAUAUGAAAAAAAAAAAACCCUUGAUUGUCAGUUGCUUGUUGUAAAUAUAAUUUUUUAUGUAAUCUUUCGUUUUCUUCCUGCUUACGUCCAUUGUCAGCUAAACAUCAGCUCUUUGUUUUUGUUGUUAAAAAACGGCUUUCUAAUAUUAUAGAAUUCCCACUUGAUCUAACAAUUGGGAUAAUUAUUCGAAAGAAAAAAAUACAAUUGAGAUAAUUAUAACAAAUCAUCUCAACUAUUUGCAGUUUUACUUUAAAAAAAAAAAAAUCUCACAUACGUCUCAAUCAUCCAUAAUGAUCAGAUGACUAAAAUUUCACAUCCGUCUCGAACAACCAUUUAUGUUAAAAUUGACUAAAAUGCAAAAUUCUCAUAUAUUAGAGUCUUUAAAUUGGAUCCUCACUACAGAAUGUCACUUGGUUGUGUAUGCGUAUCUUUAGCUGAAUCUGGCCGGCCACAGGUAUCGGUCAAAAAAACAGGUUUUCAAAAUCUGUUUUUUAUGAUAUUGUUCUACUAGAAUUUGUCUUUGAUUAGUAUUGUCCAUAGACUAUGUUCGAGAGAGCUCCCAAACUUGACCUCGGGAGGCGUUCAGUGUUUCGUGAUACAAUAAUAUAGUCCAUACAAAUUUUCUUGCUGAUUAUAUUCCACAGUAUGAUCCAAUACUUUUUGGUAAUUUAGGUCAUGAUUAUCAAUUCAAUAACUCCCACCUUAUACCUUUAAAGCCAAAAGUAACAUAAGGGGCAGAUCCGUGUUAUCACAUUUUUACACAACUUUUUAUUCUUAUUUUUCGUGAGAAUCAUUCUGUAAUGUAUUUCAAUAAUCCGAACGUCUAUCUUUUAGGUUUUUCUUCAAAUAUCAUGUAUACCAAGAAUCACCUAAAUAUGAAAUCAUAUGACUGUUGAAUGUCUUCACAGUUUUAUAUUUGUCUAAUUUUUUACAAGAAUCAUCCAUGAAUGAUUUUCUAAAAAAAUAGACGUUCAAAUCGUUAAAAGUACAUUACAAAUUUGACCCCACAAAACCUGUGUAAAAAAUUAUGUAAAAAAAAUAGUGCCACGGAUUCGCUAUAUAUAUAUAUAUAUAUAUAUCCAUACAUUUUUUUUACUUCUCACAUACCUCUUAUUAAUUUCUGUCCUUUGAUAUAUAUAUAAAAAAAAUCUUCUUCAAUUCAUCCAAUCCGAUGGCCGAAAAUUAAAAGUGUGUGAGAAGUAAAAAGAAGUGUGUAAAUAGCACACAUCAUCUAAAAAACCAUUAACGAACGGGCCUGUAAUUCCAAAUUUACAAGUUUUUACUCCCAAAAGAGACAGAGCUUAUUAAUUUUGAAUUUUUUUAAUUUUCUGAUUGACUUGGGGUUGGGGUAAGUACGGAAUAUAGCGCUUGAUCUGUUGAAAUGUCCCACAUCGACCGUAUCAAUGAAAAAAGAAGAGUUUAAAUACCCUAAUCUCACUUUAACUAAUACCGAGGUCUUCUGUAAUAAAACCACAUAUCUGACGGAUUGUGCAUAUGGUAAUUACCAAGUUGGGGACAAUAUCGGUGUUGUUGGAAGUGGGCCGUGUGGUUCGUCUCUUUGAUAAUUCUACAUGGUAUCAAAGCCAAGAAGCUGGCAUGUACCGUACUGCCACGUGAUUGGUGGGUCCCCUUGGCCCCGCGCGAUGAUGGUGGGUCCCUUGGUCCCGCGUGUAGAGUGAGUCCUCUUGACUCCACGUGGUUGUCGAUGUGUGGAUCUCCCACGUGUGACCUGGUAAUUGGGUCCCACAUGAGGGGGGUGUUGAAAUGUCCCACAUCGACCGUAUCAAUGACAAAAGAAGAGUUUAAAUAUCAUAAUCUCACUUCAACUAAUACCGAAGCCUUUUGUGAUAAAACCCCACAUCUGACGGAUUGUGCAGGUAGUAAUUACUAAAUUGAGGACAAUAUCGGUGUUGUUGGAAGUGGGUCGUGUGGCCCAUCUCUCUAAUAAUUCUACAUGAUCACGGCUGAAUAGUCAAUUGGGUCCCACGUGAGGGGAGUGUUGAAAUGUCCCACAUCGACCGUAUCAAUGACAAAAGAAAAGUUUAAAUAUCAUAAUCUCACUCCAACUAAUACCGAAGCUUUUUGUGAUAAAACUUCAUACCUGACAGAUUAUGCAGGUAGUAAUUACUAAAUUGAGAACAUUAUCGAUGUUGUUGAAAGUGAGCCGUAUGGUCCAUCUCUCUAAUAAUUCUACAUGAUCACGGCUGAAUAGUCAAUUGAUCGUAUCAUAUACCAACGAACCUUUGCUUUUGAUUGAGUAGUUGUGAAGAAGUCAAGGUCGUGUAAGAUUAAUUUUCAAACUACAAUUAUUUAGCCUUCUAUCAUUCUGUGCCAUUCAUUUGUUUUAGCUAAAUGUAGACAUGCACUUAAUUUCAUGCCCGACUUUUAAAAAUGAAUAUGACUUUUCUCUUUAAUUUGUCGUGUCACCGGUUUAAAAGCUCCGAUCUUCACAGUGUAGCUUAGAUUAUUAAUAAUAACAUCGAUUGUAAUAAAAAUAUAUAUAUAUUCUCAAAACACAAAAAGGGUUAUUAAUAAAAAUAUAUAUAUUCUCAAAACACAAAAAGGGUUAUUUUUUUCAUUUUCAGAUUAUGUUGGACACGGAAUAGGAUCCUCUGGAUUUGUGGGGAUCUGAAAGAUCAAUUAAAUCGGUGUAUUGAGCAAAUAAUACUAGUUACUUCAACAAAAAAAAAAAAACAGUUACAACUAAUUAUUUUUGAUCGUCAGUUGCUAGUUACAAAUAUAGCUAAUGUCCUGUGACCUCGUAAUAUUUUUAUGAAAAUUUUCAUUUUCUUUGUCAACUAAAAAAAUACUCUUUAUUUUUGUUGUUAAAAAACAACUUUCCAAUAUUAUAGAAUUCCCACUUGAUCUAACAAACGCAUCAAAAUGAUACCUGAAAUUGAAAAUUGAUCAAUGUCGUCUAUGAAUAUGGAGAUUGUUGUCGGUGGCUAAGUUCAAAGAAGAAGGAGAAGAUGAGGAUUAUUAGUUUGUUGUUUUUCUUCUUUUUACCUUUUAAAUUUUUUGAAACACUUUAUUUAAUCCAUAUGUUAUCAUAUUAUUGGAGUGCAGAGUCUUAUGUGUGUCACAUAAACACAUAAUAGAUUUUUUUAACAGAAAUAAGACAGAAGACGACAUUGAUUUGCAACACCCAUAUUCAGGGACGAUAUUAUUCAAUUUUCAGCUUCAGAUAUCAUCUUGAUGUGAUGGGUCAAUUUCAGAAACCACUUAUAACAAAAAUGUAAUAUAAUAUAAUAACGUAAGUUUAACAAGUCACUACCUGUGAAACCAGUCUUUUUAACAUGUUACUAAGGAGCCUAUCUAUUGUCAAACGAUAAGAUAAUUAUAUUAAAUUUAACUAAAUUACGGCAAGUGGAAUUCAAACUUGGUGCAUAAUAAAACACAGUGAUGUAACUAGCUUGGCUAAACUAAAAUCUUCUAUUUUAAAUUAAUUCUUUUACAAGUAAUUUAUGUAAAUGUAUCUUUAAUUAUAUAAAUAAUUAAAUAAAAAUAAAUAGAGUAAGUGGUUGGGAACAAGGUCUAAAAUAUCGAUAUUAUCCCGAUAUUUCCAUCGAAAUUUUCAUGUUUUUGGACUAUCGAUAUUUUCGAUAUCAUCAAUAUUUUAGACCUUGAUAGGAACUCUAUGUGGUACUAAGUCACUCAUGUAUCUUACCAUGCAAUGUAUAAAGUGUAAAAUAUUGUACUAAUUCAUUAUAUAUAAAUGAUUAUGGUGUGUUUAAACUUCUUUCAUUAAUUACUACAUAUUUUUACACUCACAAUGUUUGCCAGCUCGCUAUAUAAUUAACUUAAAUCAGUUAAAUCCAUCAUGCAAUGCAUUUCUUUCCAAUUUUUUGUGAUAAACUAAUAGAUAAUUGACUAAAUAAACAUCCUGCAAAGUUUUAAUAAAAAUUUCCAAGUUUUUCUUAUAAUUUCCGUGGUUUUUAUUCAAUUUUUAUCGAUAUCGAUAAUAUCCCGAUAUUUCCAUCGAAAUUUCCGUGUUUUUGGACUACCGAUAUUUCCGAUUUCAUCGAUAUUUUAGACCCUUCUUGGGAAUAAUAUAUAUUUUUUCCUUUCUUGUUUGGUCUUUGGUUUUAAGGAAAAUUAAUGAAAAUGACUUGAAAACUUUGAGUUUUAACAAUAAUGACAAACUAAAGGGUAAAGUGAAUAGUAUCAUGAUUGACUUUUUAGUAUAAAAAUAUGAUUUUUCGUUAAAAUGAACAGUACCACAAGCUUUUCGUUAAAAUUCCCUUAGUUUUAAGGGCAAGGUAACACAAGUCAUUGACUUCCGUUUGUGUCCUUCGAGGUCCACUCCUUCCCUCCCCUCAAGGGAAUAAAAACCUGUAAUUCAGACUCAUUCUCCUCACAAAUCCUUCUUUCUUCGCUACUCUAAAAAAAUUUCAUACAUACAAUCCAACAAAUUCCAAAACCUCUCAACAUAUUCCAUCCAGCUAGCUGCACAAACUGAUCCUUUUGUCUCUGGUUUUGUCUUCAAAUGUGAAAGACUUUGCCUAGAAAAAUGAUGAAUAUGUUCUUCCCUCGACUUCUUCCUCAUUCUCUUUUCUUUGUAGCUUGCUUUGUAACUUUUGCCUUUGGAGCUGCUCGAUUGCCAAAUGAUGAAGGUACGAGUAAUUCACCUCAAUAUCUCUAUGUCAAAUAUCUUCCUUAGUUUCCUCUGUUUCAUUCUAUAAAUGAUAGUUUUAAGUUCGUUUGAUAAUUUUUUUAAUUUUCAAUUCUUUUUGAGUUCUCAAAUUUUGGUUUGGUUUUUCCGAGAAGUGAAAACAGUUACCAAUGAACUAAAAAUUAAAAUGGUUAUCAAAUGAACCUUAGGUAAACAGAUAUUUGUGUGAACUUAGUAGAAAUUUUCAAUCAUAUAAGGUGCACUCUGUAGUUCUUGUCUAUGCAUCAAUUUUUUUUUUUUACUAUUUUGUUGAGCACGAUGUUAAUUUGUUGCCUUUUAUUUUGCGUAUAUGCAGUGCAAAUUUUGAAAGACAUAGCAAAGACACUGGGGAAGACGGACUGGGAUUUCAGUGGAGAUGCAGAUCCAUGCAGCGGCCAACUUCCAUGGGCUGAUCCAAGCGCACCCAAAGGAUUAGAGAAUGCCAUCAGCUGUAAUUGCUCCUACGAAAACUCCACCGUCUGCUAUAUUACCAGCAUGUAAACCUCUCUCACUCUCUCUCUCUCUCUCUCUCUCUCUCUCUCUCUCUCAAAAAUAAACAUGGCCGGCUCAGAACUCAGUGAGAUUUUUCAAUGUGAUGGUAUAUCACGUGACACGAUAUAAAUGGUGAGUAACUUGUAUUAAAAAAUUAACACAAUUUGAAACAUAAAACUUUUUUCACUUAUAUAACAACACGUAGUGUAUCUUCCGAAUAUAAUGAAAAAUUUGUUUUCAUCUCACAAGCUAAUACCAAAUAAUCUUAUCGGAAUUUUGUGAUUUAAAUUGAUGGGCAUUUAUUGGUCCACCCCCCGGGGCCCAAUCUAGGGAUAUUUUGAUAUUGCCGCCUCAUUUUUUAUUUCUUUUAAGAAUUUGAUUAAACAUUUUUUUAUACAAUUUUAUUAGAGGCACGUUUGGUUUUAUUAGUACAUUUGAUUUUAUGGACAUUUUGUUUUCUGGUACAUUUGGAAUUUAAACGUAACAAAAGUUGGUAUGUUUGUUUUUAAGUGUACCAUAACUUUUAAAUACAUUUUCUAUAUAACUAGUUAUACGUAAAAUUUUAAUAAGAUUAAAGAAGUUUUUUUAUGAAAAUAUUAAUGAAUUUUUUUAAUGAAAGAAGAGACUAAUUAAAUAUAAUAAAAAAAAUAAAAAGUUAUUUUUUUUAUAAUGAUAAUGAGGAAUUACUGAAAUUAAUAUUUUAAUGAAGCCAUGAAUUUAAAAUUCCUAGAUUGUAGGAAAUAGUUGUUAGAUAGUUUAAGUGAAUAUAUAUAUAUAUAUAUAUAUUAAAUAAAUAAAUAAAUAAAUGUUGAGUUGGAAAUUAAUCAAAACAUCUUAAUCAAAUUUUGUAAAAGAACAUAUGUUUAGUCUAAACAAGUUGAAAAAAAUGGAGGGAAUUCUUAAUUCUUUGUCUUCAAUUUAUUUGACACAUAAUAUGCACAUGAGAUUAUUGCGUUAGUAAACACCAAUUUAAGUACUUAAUGUGAUAAAGAGACAUAAGUUGGAAAAUAAACGUUUGGUUAUAUAGAAUUGUGAAUGAUUAACUUAUUUCUUAAGCGAUAAAAAAUUGCUCAUUAUAUUUUUCUUUUCUGGAUAAACAGUUUGUUCGUUGUGUUUUGAACGAGUUCCAUCUCAUGCAAUAUAUAGAAAUAUUACGAGAAAAAUAAAGAAAAAUUUGAGAAAAGAAUUAGCCAAUUAGGUGCUUCAUUAGUCGAAUAACUUGACUAAGCAAAAACAAUGUACAGAUUAGGCGCCUUUUGUUGUGAAAGGUUGAGAAUGAUAAGAUCAAAGUUUUUCAGUCUUUGUUAUAUCAAUCAUAUUAGAGAAGAAAAAAAAAAUAUAAGAAAGGUCUACGUCCACGUACCAUCCAGUCGACAUUAUAUAAUAUCUACAUGAAGACUUUGCAUUUUAGGUCAAUGAAUCUGAAUGAGCAGAAAUUUCUGUAAGUACUCGGUAUUCAAGCGAGUAAUUUAAGUGUUAUAAAUGAGCGAAGAAAUACAAAAAAAAAAAUAUUAUUAUUUGUAUUAAGAUAUGUGGUGUACUCUUUGAAAAAAUCUAUUCUCAAUGAGCACUUUCUAAUACUUUGUUAGGUUAGAUGUUAAAUUAGCUAGUGGCAUGAUUUGAACUCAUGUCGUCAUACAAAGCCUCAACACUUUUUCACCACUAUGGUAAAGAGUUACGAGUCACUUGCAUCCUACAGGGAAAAUUAACUAGCAUGUAGACUACUAUGCGAAAAAUAAGGGUUAAUCUCAGUUUACUACCUUGAAGUUUCGUGAUUUUCAACAUUUGAUACAUGAAGUUUUUUUCAUCACAGAGUCAUAUCUCAAGUAUUAAUUUUGGAACAGUAUCAUACAUUCAUUAAGUUGGCUGUUAAGUCACAGAGUCAUAUCUCAAGUAUUAAUUUUGAAACAAUAUCAUACAUUCGUUAAGUUGGUUGUUAAGUCAGCCGUUAACUGAUGACGUGACAUCCAUAUAGAUAAUAACUAAGCUCCACGUGUAAAUAUAGGCCAUAUAAAUAUUUAAAAAAUUAAAAAACUAAACAAAUAAAAAUAUGGCCUAUGGAUGCGGGCCUUCCCUUUCCUCCACCCGCACCAACUCUUUAUCUUCUUCUCUUCGACAGCCACCAGAGCUGAUCUGAAAAUCAGCACAACCUCGAAAUUUAAGCCCUAAUUCAACCUAAAUUUCAGAUAGAAGGGCUGGAUUAGUCCAUUAAUCUAAGCGUACGAUCCAAAAUCCAGUUCCCAAUUGUGUUCCUUUCCUCAAUAAACAGCCAGAGGGCUCAACGAAAUGAAGAAAUUACAAAGAGAUGUAUAGAAAACGCACCGUUUUGGAGGUAGGGGCCGUACUCGGUGGCAGAGAGGUGCAUCUUGAUAUAGUCGAGGGUCUCGCACUGGCAAAAGUUGUUGUAAUCAGCGGCGAGCGGUGACCCUGCACUAUGGCCUCCAAGUACCCGCCGUGAAUGUUGAAGAUCAUCGCUUCGAAUCCGUACACUUUCGCUGAAAUUUUGAAAAUUUACGCGAUCUGCCACUGCAUGAUCCGAAAAAUUGAACGUCUCGCGGGAGAGAGAGAGGAAGGGGACGAUCGGGGAACCAGAAACCCCCUUCUGCAGCGAAAUCAAUGGAAACCCUAGCGAUUUGCAGACGGAAGCUGAAAUCUGGAAAUUAACCGCGUGGGCGCCAAUGGAAACCCUAUGGGCUAUGGCUUUCUACUCUGGUUUGAAAUCUCCGCGAUGAAUGCCUCGUUGUUGUUGUCGACGGAGAAGAAAGAGAGAGAACCCAGGCCGUGGUGGUGCAGAUUUUCAGAUCAGCUUUGGUGGCUGUCGAAGAGAAGAAUAAACAAAACUUCAUAAUAAUAAACUGAGAUCGUUCCGAAAAAUAAAGAAAAAGUUGAGAAAAUAGCUUGACUAAGCAAAAGCAACGUACAGCUUAGGCGCCUUUUGUUGUGAAAGGUUGGGAAGGACAGGAUCAAAGUUUUUCAGUCUUUGUUAUACGAAUCACCUUGUAUAAUAUCUACGUGAAGACUUUUUUAGGUACUCGGUAUUCAAGUGAAUAAUUGAAGUGUUAUAAAUGAGUGAAGAAAUAUAAAAAAAAAUGUUAAUUUUCCAUUAUAUUAUGAUAUGUGAUGUGUUGCUUGAAAAAAAAAAGAGUAAUGUUAUUCAUACUAUAUUUUUGUACCAUAUUUUCAUACCAUCUUAGGUGGUAUUUGAUGUGGACAACCAUAUCAUUUGAAUUAAUCUGAUUUUUAAAUUUAGUUCAUUAUUUAAUAAACUAAUAAUUAAGAAAAACUAAUUAAUUAAAUAAUAAUUGUGGUAUACGAGGAGUUUUUCUCCUUCAUUUUCUUGGGUUUUGCAAAUUUUUCAAAUGAUGUGGCUGUCCACAUCAAAUGCCACAUAAGGUGAUAUAGAAAUGUGGUAUAAAAAUAUGGUAUGAAUAACAUUACUUGAAAAAAAAAUCUCUUCUUAAUAAGCGCUUUCUCCUAUAGAGAAUAGAUUUUGUUAGGUUAGGUGUUAAAUUAGCCAGCGAUCGGGUUUGAACCCACGUCGUUAUGUAAGAACUUAACUUUUCACCAUUGUAGUAAAUAACCACUUGCCUCCUACAGAGAAAAUUAACUAGGCAUGUAGACUAAGUGAGAAUAAUAACUAGGGCUGGUUCGGUAUGGGAUACCGAACCGAAAAUGACAUACCAAAUCCCGAACCGAAAAUUUUCGGGACUGGAAUAAGAGGACCGAUACCAACCGAAACUUCGGGAUUCCCAAAUUUCGGUAUUCCCAAAAAAAUUUCGGUAUUUCGGGAUUUCCCGAAACCGAACUUGCAUUGAAAUCCAAAUCAACUAAUUGAAAUCGAAAACAUUCGAACCUGCAUGAAAACCCCAAAAUGAAAUCAGAGAAGUGACAGUGAAUCAGUGAAGAUUGAUGGGAGAUAGAGAGACAGAGUGAAGAGAUAGUUCGUCCUCCUCCUGACCCGAGCCCCUAAUUCGAAACCCUAAUCCCCAAUUCGAAACCCUAAGCCCCAAUUCGAAACCCUAAUUUGAAACCCCACAUAGAGAAUCAAUGGAGAGAAUCGGAGGUGGGGAUGAAGCCGUGAUGUGUAGUGGUGGCCGGAGGGGAGAGAGUUCAUCGGAGUGAGACUGUGAGAGGGUGGUGGCUGCUAGGCUUCGAAUUCGAGAAGGAGAGACAGAGAGAAUCUGAGACUAAGUGAAGGGCCAAAGAUGAGAAAUGAGAGAGAGUAAGUAUGGAUGUGUCGGCUUGGGUUUGAAUUGAGUUGAAGGAAUGUUUUGGUGGCUUCGCCUUUCUGGGUUGCAAAGCAGAUGGAGAUAAUGAGAGAGAGAGAGAGAGCGAGAGCAGCAGACAGCACCCAUGUGCUUUGAUAAAACUUCAAACGCCAGGCACACAAUCAUAUCCUUAUCCCCACACUUAAGUUAUUUUAAUAAUAUAAAUAGGCCAUAUACAUAUAUUCCAACAUAUAUAUAACAAUAGGGUUUAAAGUUCGGUUCGGGAUGGGAAUACCGAACAAUUUUAAGUGUGAGACCGAAUCCCAUACCGAAAAAUUCGGGAUCGGUUUGGUUUUGGUACCAAAAUUUUCGGGAUUUUCGGUAUGGUUUCGGUAUGAUUUGGGAUUUUCGGUAUUUUUUUCCACCCCUAAUAAUAACUUACAUUGAACGAGUUAAAUAUCAUAAAAUUUUACACUUAAAAUUUAGUUCAUUAUUUAAUAAACUAAUAAUUAAGAAAAACUAGUUAAUUAAAUGAUAAUUGUAGUAUACGAGGAAUUUUUCUUCUUCCUUUUCUUGGGUUUUGCAAAAUUUUCAAAUGAUGUGGCUGUCCACAUCAAAUGCCACCUAAGGUGGUAUAGAAAUAUGGUAUAAAAACAUGGUAUGAAUAACAUUACUAGAAAAAAAAUCUCUUCUUAAUGAGCGCUUUCUCAUACAGAGAAUAGAUUUUGUUAGGUUAGGUGUUAAAUUACCCAGCGAUCGGGUUUGAACCCACGUCGUUAUGUAAGAGCUUAACUUUUCACCACUGUAGUAAAUAACCACUUGCCUCCUACAGAGAAAAUUAACUAAGUGAGAAUAAUAACUUACAUUGAACGAGUUAAAUAUCAUAAAAUUUUACGUUUAAUCAUAUUUUAAUACGUGUAAAUUUUUGUUAGCAUGAUAUAUAAUAUUAUAACAAAAAUAUUAAAAAUAAUAAAUUUGUUCGAUGUAAACUGAUCACAAGUGUGUGAGGAGAGAUGUUUUUCUUUCAAAAAAAAAGAUUAGCUGAUAGUUUCGUCAUGACAGGAGUCGAAAAAACUAGUAGAGAUAGCGAGGAGAGAUGUUGAUUAGAUGGUUGGAAUUCGGUUUUGUGGACCCCAUGUCUAUUCGAUAUAUGUAUCAAUCAAUUUUUCUUUUUCUUUUUUUUUUCUGUUAAAAAGUAUCAAUCAAUUUUUCAUUACAUAUCCCCUAACCUAACCCCAUGCCCAUGAAACCUCCAAAAUAAAGUAGGAAUUAUAAGGCUUAGUGUGGGCCUCAUCGAGUUGCCUAUUGGCAACUUGGCACGUCGUAUUCACUCAUUCAACCUUAUGUCGAGCAAGGUAGCUAGGCCGAUUGAUUUCAAUUGGAUUUGAGAGUUGUUAGUUUAAUAGCAAAGUCGAGCUCGUUUGUUUCUUUGUGAUUUUCUCACGCCCCGACCGUAGUUUUGGAGAGAUUUUUUAGUGUGCUAGGAGUACGAUCCGGUAUAUCAAGUAUUAUAAUACAAGUAGUUAUAUACUUGAAAUUUUUUUCCAACUGCUUAUAUUAUGACACUUAGUGAACCAGAUUUGUUUCCCCCGCACACAAAAUUUCUCCUACCUUUGGGGCGUAAAAAUUUUAAAGCUCUUAUUGUGUAUGUAAAACAAGUAAAUGUUGCUACCGUUUAGAGCUAUGAAAAGUGACUACCACUCGUCUUUUUCUCUUCAUGCACACUAUUGAUUUCUGGCCUUUGACGAAUCAAGGGGCAUGAAUAAAACCAAAUUAUGCAAUAAUCAUUUUCAUAAAGCUAUAAGUUAUUCUUGGCAUGCAAGUUGGAUUGAAAAUUUCGAUUUUAACCAAUUCUGUUCUUGUCGGUUUACGAACAAAAAAUAUGAAGCAAAUUGGAACGCAUCUUAAAAUUAGGCCGCCUUUGCCAUUGUUACACAGUUACUAAUUUGUGAUCCAUCAUUGGGUAUAAAGUCAAUAUAAUUCUGAUAUAUCUAGACACUAGUGGGGUUUCCAUUUUCCCAAAUCCUUUACCCUCUAGAUUUUUAAUUUUUCUUCAACCGGCAACCAAUUGGAAGUUUUUCUUGGUCUAAUAAGACCUUGUUGUGCCUUGACAUUCAAGAAAUGCAGAAAGACUAAUCCAUUUCUUUUAUUGAAUGACCAAUGAAACAUCAAUUACAACCUACCAUGGACCGCAAUUCAAGUUAAGCUUAUCUGCAAAAUCGAGUUCAUGGGAUGUGACAAAUUUGCUCAAUUAUGAUAGCAAUGUGUUUUUGAGCUGGCCAUGAGCCAGCAUAGAUGUUCUGUGGCAUGCUGAGUUGUUAGGACUUGGUAUUACAGCUGUGCUGUAUUUAGGCUUGAUUCUUGCAUACUUGAUCAACGUAUAAAAUUUCGCAGUCACCAUGAUUGUUGCGUACUUCUUAUACACGAACAACUUUGUAUCGGCCUAGUUAUUAGUUACAAAGUCGAUGAAAGAAUGAUUCACAAUAUGCUUGUAACAAAUACACACUUACCGUUUGUGUAAUUCUUCAAGUUCUAUUCUUUGUAAAGAACAUUGGACAUUUUCCUUCGGUUUUAAAGAAAACCAGUUCCUUCUUCCUAUUUAAUUCCCUGAUCAAAAGUAAGUAUUUUCUGUGAUAAAUUAGUGUUUUACCUGUUUGGUCCUAUUUGUGUGGCAGCUUUUCCUUUUAGUCACAGUAUAGAUGUGUAAUAGAUAUCUGUUAAUUUACAACUAAUCUUUGAAACCCUGUUUUCCGAUGAAACACAGAAUUCUAAAAUCCCAAGAUUUGCAAGGAACACUCCCACCAGAGCUGGUACAUCUCACCUAUCUUCAAGAAAUGUAAGCACAUUUUUACCCCUCCAAGUUUACAAUAUUUAAAGUAAAAAGAAAAUAACUAUGUGUCGUGUAAAUGGUUUAUUCUAAUUUCAUAUAUAGCUUACCUUUAUUUCUGUUGUCAAUGAGACAAUAACUGGUUUCCUUCUUUCUCCUUUAGCGACCUCACCCGCAACUACCUGAGUGGUACCAUCCCUCCAGAAUGGAGCUCUCUUCCACUAGUGAACAUGUACUAUCUUCUCUCACACUGCAUACAUUUUUGUGUUUGAUGCUCAUGUCAUGUUCUUGUUACUUUAUUUGGUCACUCCAAUGUUCUUCAGCCAUUUCUUUCUUAAACUAUGAAUCUAAUACAUUGGGUUUUGUUCAUGAUAAUGAGCUUCCGUGGUCAUGAGGUGUUUGAAUCAUAAAUAUUGAAUCGAACACAUGGGGUUCAUUGCCUUCGUAUUGAUGAACAUGUUAAUGUUAUUGAGUCUCUUGCUUGAUAAAAGUGAUCUUAAGAUUAUAGUUUUGAUGCAGAUCCCUUCUUGGAAAUCGUUUGACGGGUUCUAUCCCCAAAGAGCUUGGAGACAUCACCACCCUGAAGAGUUUGUGAGUGUUGAUUGAGCAUUUGUUUCUUGCUUACCUCAUUUGAUUAUGUGGAGAUCCUUAAUGAUGUUUUUUAAUCAAUGGAAUUGAAUUUGUUUGUAUAGGGACAUCAGUUUCAAUAAUUUUUCUGGACCUCUCCCUCAGGAGCUUGGAUCUUGGGCCAACAUAGAAAGAAUGUAAGAGUCCUAUUCAAAUUUUACCGUGUUAAAAAGUACUUGGUUUAUUUGGAAUUUUCUUUCUUAUAGACAAAUUCUGGAUGUUUUCACCAAUAAAUCAUCUACUUCUUUAUCAUUGAUAUAUUGUUAUAUCUGUUUCAUACUUAGGCUGCUUUCCUCAAACAACUUUAGUGGGGAGUUGCCAGAAACAUUUGCAAUGCUUACCAAAAUAAAGGACUUGUAAGCUUCUGUGGUUCUUUCUUCUUAAAGGUUUCCUGAGCACUUAUACAUUUUUUACUGCUUUCUGAUACUAAUUCGUAGUAUUUUCCCUUUUCCAAUCAUUAUGCAGUCGGGUUAGUGACAGUCACUUUUCCGAGCGGAUACCUGAUUUUAUUGAGAACUGGAUAAAUCUUGAAAAACUGUGAGUGUUUUUCUUUUGUGUGUCAUAUUUCUGCUAUAUGAUUCUGAAUAUUAUCUCUAAUUCAUAUGCUAUGACUCGUUGAAACAGAGUGAUUCAAGCUAGCGGUUUGACAGGGCCAAUUCCUUCUGGCAUUUCUCUUUUGACAAGCUUAACUGACUUGUUAGUAUAUCCCGUCUAUAUUUUUAAAUACAAAACGAUUAGCAAAAUGUGUAGUUUAUGUUCAUGGCUCAAUUUUAACAUGCAGGAGAAUCACUGACUUGAGUGGACCUGAAUCACCAAUUCCUUCACUUAAUAAGAUGAAAAACAUGAGGACACUGUGAGUUAAUGGUUCCAUGACACACAAUUUUUGUCUGUACCAGAAGUCUUCUGUAAACUCAAAGCUUUGGUGUCUGUUGCAGGAUGUUGAGGAGUUGCAACCUUAUUGGAAAGCUACCUCCAUAUCUUGCACAAAUGAACAAAUUGAAAACUUUGUAAGUUCAAAUGUCUUAGUCCCUAUUUUUUCCGUCUUCAAAUAAAAAAAAUUCUUCUAGAUGUGAUUCUACUAAUUCAAGAUUUAUUGAAGUGACUUAGACGAUGUUGGGUGGACUUUAUGUUUCUGUAUUUAUUAAGAGAACUUCUCUUUCAGAUGUCAUUUCCCUUUCUGCAGAGAGCACAUCUAAACUGCAUUUGCUAUUUGUUUGUGCAGAGACCUCAGCUUUAACAAGCUGACCGGAGAAAUUCCAAGCAGCUUCGGUAGUCUAGCAGAUGUGGUUUAUAUGUAAGCAAUUGGAAUGACCAAUCUAGUCUUUCUUACAUGGAAUUCAAGCAGACAUUCUUCAAUGGUUUUGUUACACCCCAGCCUGGCAAGCUGGAAGUAUUUCCAAUCACAGUUACUAUAAUUAUGAGUCACGGGUUAUACUGCAAUGAAAAUGAAAACGGCUCUUCUGCUCAGAAAUGAAAUGUUUAGUUUAUUCAUUAGAGUCAUUACUACUCGUGCAAUUAUCUGACAUAAGGUGAUCACCCUUAGAUGUGUCUUUCACAUGGAAGUACUGAUCUAAUGCACUCAGAGUUGGCAAACUCAAAUUUUCAAACCUUUACAAAGAACAAACACUAUUCUCUACUGAGUUUUUUCUGUAUUCAUUAUUUUUAGAUUCUUAACUGGAAACUUGCUGACUGGACCUGUACCUGCUUGGCCAAGAGUCAACGUGUAAGCUUCUCUUCCAAAUGCUACUCUUUAGCUACUAAGGAAAUUUAUGCUGUUUUUUUUACUAAGAUAGAUAUAAAACUAUUAUAUCAAUAUUGAGUUUUGGUUUCAAUAUUUGUUGUAUAUUUCAUUAUGAAGAUUACAAGAGAGUGAAGGCAACUCUUAUAGAGAGCCAAAAGAAAGCUACAAUAGAUUGUAGGAUAACUACACAAACACAAUCCCUAAAAUCUGCCCUAACAAAUGGAAAAGCAAAAACCAAAUUACAAGUAAAAAAGCUUUUACAAACAACUAAGAAAGGUUGAUGUAAGGUGAAUGACAAGGAAAGUGACUGGUGAAUGACAAGCUAUGGAAAGUGACUUUAGCCUAUGACUUAGCUAAAGUGAGGAUGACAACUCAUACAUACAACCCAUCCAUACAAUCCAUACAAACCGGUUUCAAUACACCCCCUCAAGCUGGAUCAAGGGGAUUGAUUGAUCCAAGCUUGCACAACAAACGCUGAAACUGAGUAGAGUCUAGUGCUUUUAUGAAUAAAUCAGCAAGUUGAUCGUGGCUGCAUGUGAACACGGUGUCUAUCACCUUGGAUUGAACUUGAGCACGAAUAUAAUGGCAGUCAACUUCAAUAUGUUUGGUCCUUUCAUGGAAUACUGGAUUGGAGGUAAUGUGCAUGGCAACUUGGUUAUCACAAUACAAGGAUAUAUGUGCCAUGCUUGUGAAUCCGAGCUCGGAAAGAAGACCUUUCAACCAUAUGAGUUCACAGGCUGUUGCUGUCAUAGCCCUAUACUCAGCUUCGGCGCUAGAUCGAGCAUUAAUAGUUUGUUUCUUGCUCUUCCAAGUGACAAGGUUCCCUCCAACAAAUAUGCAAAAACCUGUUGUGGAUUUUCGAUCAAGGGCAUUUUCAGCCCAGUCAGCAUCUGUGUGGGCCAAGAUGUGAUUUGAUCCAUUGUUCUUCAUAAUUAUCCCCCUUCCUACUGAGCCCUUGAGAUAUUGAAGUAUUCUCUUGACGAUUUCCCAGUGAACUAGAGUAGGAGAGUGCAUGAACUGACUGGCUAGGCUAACUGAAUAUGAGAUAUCAAGCCUAGUAAUGGUGAGAUAAAUAAGUUUCCCAACCAUUCACUGAUAAACACUAGGGUCCGAGAGAGGUUCACUUUUUUCAUGCCACUGAAGUUUUCUAGCUAGGGGUGUCCAAGCUGGUUUACAUUCCAUCAUGUUAGCUUCAUCUAGAAGAUCAAGAACAUACUUUCUUUGAUUUAAGAACAAUCCCUUUGAAGAGGUAGCCACCUCAAUUCCAAGAAAGUAUUUCAAGGGCCCCAAGUCUUUAAUGGCAAAUUUUUGGUGAAGUGAUUGCUUAAGCGUCUUUAUUUCACUUAUAUUGUCACCUGUAAUAAUUAGGUCAUCAACAUAUAUAAGCACAACCAAUUUUCCAGCAAUACCACUUCGAACAAACAAAGAAGAGUCAGCAUGACUCCUUUUGAACCCUGCAGCUUCAAGGACUGAACUAAGCAUCGAAUACCAAGCUCGAGGGGACUGUUUGAGACCAUAUAUGGCUUUGUGAAGUCUGCAGACCUUGUUGGGUUCAUUUUCUCUUGGAUGACCAGGAGGCAACUUCAUGUACACUUCUUCUUCAAGAUCCCCAUGAAAAAAAUGCAUUCUUCACAUCCAUUUGGAAUAAGGGCCAUGCAUUAUUGACUGUCACAGACAACAAUACCCUCACUAUGUUCAUUUUGGCAACAGGAGCAAAGGUCUCCUUAUAGUCAAUGCCAUAGUUUUGAGUAAAGCCUUGAGCUACUAACUGUGCCUUGUGUCUUUCAAUGCUUCCAUUGGAGUUGAAUUUGGUCUUAUAUAUCCACCUACUUUCCACGACCUUCUUGCCAUUUGGAAGAUCCACCACACUCCAUGUCUGCUUGUCAUUCAGAGCUUGAAGCUCUUUAGUCAUAGCAUCUUGCCACUCAGGCAUGCAUGUGGCUUCAUGAAAAUUCCUUGGUUUGAAAGUGUGGGACAAUUUGUUAAGGAAAGAAGUAUGAGAAGAUGAGAAUCUAUGAUAAGAAAUGGCUGCAGAGAUAGGAUGCCUUGCAGUGUAAGUAACAUACUCUUGUAACCUCAUUGGUGGAUGUCUAUCUCGUGUAGGAUUUCUUCUUGGUGUACUUAUAGCUUGCUGAUUUGGUUGAGCUUCUGAUGGUUCAGAUGAGCUUGGCACUGCAUCAAUUACACUCUCAGUGAGUUAAGAAUUAUCAGUGCUGAUAUGAGUAGGAGUGACUUCAUGAAUUUCUGCUGGAAUAGGUAGUGGAAAUAGGUCCAUAAGAUCUUCCAUAUUAGCAUUAGUCUUCAACCCUUUGUGGAAAUAAGGUGAAUAUUCAUCAAAUCACACAUCUCUAGAGACUGCCAGCUUUCCCGUGUUAGGGUUGUACACUUUGUAACCCUUUUGAGAAAUGGCGUAUCCCAUAAACACACAUUUGACAACUCGAGGGUCGAGUUUGUCAUGAUGGAGAUCUUGAAUGUGCACAUAACAAGUACAACCAAAAGUCCUGAGGUAAGACAAGUUUAUAGGCCUUCCUUUCAUGACUUCAAAAGGAGAUUUAGUAUUCAACACCCGAGUUGGCAGUCUAUUAAUGAUGUACGUGGCAGUGAGUAAGGCUUGAGACCAAAAUUUCUUAGUAAUAUUCAUUUGGAUCAUAAGUGAUCGAGUCUUCUAAUAAGUCUCAAUUCUUUCUCUCUGCCACACCAUUUUGUUGUGGUGUACCAACACAGCUAGUUUGAUGCAAAAUGCCAUGAUUGCUCAAGUAAUUAUUCGUGUUAUUGGAAAUGUACUCGGUACCAUUAUCUGAUCUUAACAUAUAUAACUUAGAUGAAAAUUGAUUGGUGAUUAGGUUGUGAAAGUCGUUAAAAGCAUCAAACAAAUCACUUUUAAGUUUUAAAAGAUACAACCAGGUUACUCUAUAAUAGUCAUCAAUAAAUGUAACAUAAUAUCUAUACCCAUCAAAGGAUUCUACACGAGAAGGACCCCAAAUAUCAGAGUGAACAAGCUCAAAAAGUUUACUAGUUCUAGAAUUAGAGGAAACAAAAGGAAGUCUAGUGGCUUUUGACAUUUGACAAGUUUCAUACUCUAGUGUGUUUUUACAAAAAAAGGGAAACAACUUGGUCAUCACAUGUUCUGAGGGAUGGGCAAGGCGUUGAUGCCAGAGUUGGUGUUCCUGAACUUGACUUAAGUUGACACCGAGCUUUUUGACAAAAUUGGACUCAUUUGAAAGAUAGUAGAGUCCAUUCAAGAAGAACCCUUCACCAAUCUUCUUCUAAGUAACUCGGUCCUGAAACACAACAUUGUGAGGGGAAAAUAUGGCAAGACAGUCUAAGGUUUUUGUAAUUUUUUCCUAUUGACAAGAGCUGAAAAGGAAAAGAAGGUACAUAGAGAACAGUGGAAUCAGUAUGCUCACUUAGCAAUCUAAUCUUUCCUUUCCCUAGAAUAGGUUCCCAUUUCCCAUUUGCAACAGAUACAUGCAUUGGAUCAAUAGUUCUUUGAAAAUCGUGGAGACUAGAGGGUUUAUUAGUUAUAUGAUCAGUGGCACCAGAGUCAAUAAUCCAAAAAUCAUGUGUAACAUUUGCAUUAAGAGCAGUGGAAAUGGCACUGAUAAUACCUGAAAUAUUUCCUUUCGAUGUGUUCUCCGAGUCAGCCAAGAAUCCAGCAAAUUUCCCUAGCAUUGCAGUAGGGUUUUCAAGUGUCAUUUCAUCAGGUUCAGUGCUUCCUUGCUUCUUUUGAAGAAAAGCAGCAAACUCGUUGAUCAAGGACACAUGAUUGUUGAGAAAUUGGCCAUCCCAUCAGUUAUGGAACAAGCUGAAUGAAAUGCUUUUGUAGUGACUCCACCCUUCCCAUCUUUGAUCAUCCUGCCUUCCCUAUCAAACUUAGGCUUUAACUCCGGAUGAAGAAUCCAACAUUUUUCUCUCAAAUGUCCCUUCAUGUUGCAAUAAUAACAUUUCCAGUCUGCUUUCUUGCCAAGUACCCUAUCACCAGUUGCUUUGUGAUUUGUCGUGAAAACCCUAGCUUCAGAAUUGGAUUUGGGCUCAACGUUCAUCACUCUUCGUCAAGUUUCCUCUCUCUGGACUGCAUGACACACACUGGUAAAUGAGGGCAGCUCUUGAGUCAUUAACAAGUGACUACGCAGGUCUUCAUACUUCGUUCCCAAGCUUGCUAAGAGUUGAAACACCUUGUCUUCAUCAGCCAUCUUCAGUAGCACAGCGGAAUCAGUCGUGUGUGGACGAUACAUAUUGAGUUCAUUCCACAUGGAUUUCAUACUUCCAAGGUGUUGAACAAAUGAGUGAUCACCUUGCUUUAAACUAGCCACACUCUUCUUCAGUUAAAAGAUGCAAACUGAGUUGUUUUGGCUGCCAUACAUGUCUUUGACAGACUCCCAUAGGAGAAGGGAAGACUCUGAGUAAUUGAAAAGCUCAGACAGUUUUGGCUCCAUAAAGUUAAGUAACCAGGACAUGACCAGUUAAUCAGUAGCAUGCCAUGCAUCGUAAGUUGGUGAAGUGGAUUAUGCGGGCUCAGAGCUUCCAUUGAUAAACCCUAGCUUCGAUCUUCCCCCUAGAGCAAGUGACACAGCUCUUGACCAAGGAAGGUAGUUGAACUCGUUCAGUAGCACCGAGCAGAGUCGUUGAUUUGGAUUGUUUUCAACCCCUUGGGUUAAGUUUAGGGAGGAGGAUGAGGCACUAUCGGCACUAGACACAUUUUCUUCUGCCAUCUCUUUCGAUGAUGAGCAAAUGAAGAAGUAAAAAAAAAAUGACCCUAUGGUUCCUGCUCUGAUACCAUGUUGAGUUUUGGUUUCAAUAUUUGUUAUAUAUUUCAUUAUGAAGAUUAGAAGAGAGUGAAGGCAACUCUUGUAGAGAGCCAAAAGAAAGCUACAAUAGAUUGUAGGAUAACUACACAAACACAAUCCCUAAAAUCUGCCCUAACAAGUGGAAAAGCAAAAACCAAAUUACAAGUAAAGAAGCUUUUACAAGCAACUAAGAAAUGUUGAUGUAAGGUGAAUGACAAGCUAUGGAAAGUGACUGGUGAAUGACAAGCUAUAGAAAGUGACUUUAGCCUAUGACUUAGCUAAAGUGAGGAUAACAACUCAUACAUACAACCCAUCCAUACAAUCCAUACAAAGUGUUGUUUCCUUUUGUACUGACAUACUACACCUGGAAAAGAAUUUUUUAGUGCUUCUUUGAUUCUGGUUUAUGAAACCUCAAUGAAUAUGAGGACUGGGGGGAAGAUGAUUAAUAAUGAAAAUGAAAGGAUGAAGAAAAUCACACAGAGAAUAUAGGUCCCCACUCAAGUCGUGCAAAGAGAAUAUUACCGUUAGCAAAGCACAGCUGGAUCCUUAGACAUCACAAAGUGAUCUUAGCCACACAUCUAACUAAUUUCUAGGAUCCUUAGACUUCACACAAGGCAUUAUUUGCCGUACAUCUUUGAACCUCACACUUGGCCAUAUUACAACUCUAAGUGAAUAUAGAAUUAAGCUCAUAACUUAUGUCACUAAUUCUAAUCAGCUCGAGACCUACAAUUCAACAGAAUUUGCAUCAUAGCUCUUUUUGUGCAGUGAUCUUUCGUAUAACAACCUCGCCAUAGAGGAUGCAAGUUGUCAACCACGAGGUGGCACGUAAGAAUGUCUUCAUUAGCUUGAAGUUAAUCUGUUUGUGUUAUGUGGAGAAAAGCUUAACUUUUCAUUUGUGUUAAUUUCUGCAGUAACUUGUUUGCAAGCUCGUCAAAAGGAAAUAGUUCGUAAGUUCAAAUUAAUCGUCUCAAAGCAUGCACCUAUAAAUUUACUUCGGUAUCCAAUGGUGUAUUCUUUACUAUUUUUUUUUCCAACUUCGUCUCAUUUAUGAUUGCUGACAUUUUUUGUACCCUGAAUUACUAUAUCCGGAGAAUCGUUUCAUGUUUCAAAACUUCAGAGUGUCCAAAAUGUAAGCCGAGUUUCUACACAAAUAAUUACCUUUAUUUUUUCGCUUCAUUCUUUUUUAGUUUUCCUCCUCAAUGCCUACUAAUCUCCAAUUUAUUUUUUCAUAGAUUUGUACUACUCUCUCCAUAUAAAUUGUGGUGGGAAACAAUUUACGGUCCCUGGAGGAAAAGAUACAGUAUAUGAUGAUGACACAUUUUCAGCUGGACCUUCAUCAUUUACCUGAGCAGAACAAAUUGGGCAUUAAGCAGCACCGGUUACUUCCCUGAUGAUGACCGCCCUUAUGACACCUUUAUAUGGACUAAUGAAACUAGACUCUCUAUGGCCAAUCCUCAACUGUACAUGAACGCACGCCUUUCUCCCAUCUCUCUAACUUAUUUUGGGUUUUGUCUGGGAAAUGGAAACUACACCGUAAACCUCCAUUUUGCAGAGAUAAUGUUUAGAAAUGGCAAAACAUAUAAAAGCUUGGGAAGGCGCAUAUUCGAUAUUUACAUUCAGGUAAGUAUCGCAUCCACUUCCAUGUAUACCAGUGAAUUAUUCUAAUUUUCAACAAGCAUUGUUUAUAUUUUGGUCGAUUUGAAUGUUAACUUUCACAUUUAUGAUCAUGAAAUGUUAAGCAACUAAAUUAGUGUGUGUGUGUGUGUGUGUGUGUGUAUUGCAGGGAAAACUAGUGAAGAAGGACUUCAAUAUCAUGGAUGAAGCUGGCGUGUUUGGUGAUGUAGUCAUAAAGAACUUUACUGCUCCUGUAACUAAUAAUACAUUGGAGAUUCGUUUCUAUUGGGCCGGAAGAGGGACGACAGGCAUCCCUUUUAGAGGAGUCUAUGGUCCUCUUAUUUCAGCUAUUUCAGUAGACCCAAGUAAGUUUUCACUGAUCUGAGCUUCGUCUAAUUACUAUGCGUCGACCAUAUGCAUUUAUAUAUCUACUAAAUUAAGAGAUCCGACUUCAGUUCUGCAAGGUUCUUCUUCUUCUUCAAUAUUUCCCUUCGCUUGUAUUUUCAGAAAAAUGCUUCUGUGUUUUUCUCCUGUUUUACAUAGUUUGAGCCAAGACUUGAAGAAAUACUCUCUUAAAUUUUCUUAUCACAUAAUAUGCUGUUUUUUUCUAGGUGACGGGUAUGCUCUUUCAAAUACAACAAAAUUCAACUUCGAGGAUUUUUAACUAUUUACAUGAAAUGUACCGUUUGGUACGUGGGACGGGACGGGAUGGAACGGGACGAGCCGUUCCGUCCCACGUUUGGUGCGCCUAAAAACUGUGGAACGGGUUGUCCCAUGGGACGAAAUUUGGCUGAUUUUUCGUUCCACCUCUUCCCCCUGGAACGACCCGUUCCACAUCCGUGUAACACAAAUUUAUAACAUUUUAUGACACAAUUUCUCCUUAUCUUUUUUAAUAUUUACAUCAUCUGUUCCGUCCUGUUCUGUCCCGUCCCGUCCUGUUCCAUCCCGUCCCGUCCCGUUCCAUCCCGUCUACGUACCAAACGGUACCUUAAGGAAACAUAUAAUAUUUACAACCAUCAAAAGAAAGUUUGUUCGAGGGAUUACUUCAUAUACUAUCUACUUAGUUAAGGAUGCCGCAAAGACAGGGUUUCAAUCUUCUGUUUGUGUGCAUUGGAUAGCUAGUUGAAUAAUCCACUCUCAUAUCAAUUACAUACAUUUACUCUAAUUUAAGCUAUAUUCUUUCUUCGGACAGACUUUGAUUCGCCGCCAAAACCUGUAAGUGACACAUCAACUGGUGGAAGUGGCGUGCCUGUAGGUGUCGUGGUUGGAAUUGUGGUUGGAGGAGUCUUCAUUAUACUACUGAUAUUUGGUAUUCUUUGGAAGAGAGACAACAAAAGACAUUGGAGGAUGGUAUUAAUUUGCAGUUUAUUAUGUUAUACUGGUUUUUCCUUUUUGUUCCUCCAUUACUUUCUCUCAUCGAGCUUUUUUCGUAACUAAGUACGAUAUUUAUGCUAUUUGCAUGGUUCUCAUGCAUAUUGACAUGCACCACAAAGACAGUAAUUAUUUAGAUAUGGAGCUUUCCGGCACUUUGAUGUUUCUGUAAUAUAUUUAUCGUCCAAACACCAUGAUGCAAAGUGUCUGCCUAUAGAUCUAGUUACUUGUUAAAUUCUAUAAUUAGGCACAAAAUAUUAAGAACUAAGAAUGUUAUCGUUCUGAAAGUUUUCUUAAGACACAAUUUCUUAUGAGUUUUAGUUGUUAUACAGAUUUGAAGGGUGUGGACCUGCAAACUGGUAAAUUUACCUUCAAGCAACUCAAAGAUGCCACUAUUGGCAUGUAACCCUUCAGCCGAAGACUUGGAGGCAAAGAAAGAAUUCAAACCUUAUUUUAAUGUUUGUUUCAUGUUUAAAUUUGAGCCAUUGAAUCAUAGUCCAUGUGGCUAGCCUUACUUGUAUCUAGCUUAAGUGAUAGAUUAUAACAAGUGGCAUCAUCUCAUAGGAUGAUAGCAAUUAAGGAAUGAGAUUAAGUGUGUUAUUGAUGAGUGUAUAAAGCCAAAAACCUUAUAUGUUUGUUGUGAGGGAAUAUUUUUCAAUCAAUCAGUGUAAUCAUCCUCCUAAAAAUUCUCUCUGCCAUUUUCGGCAUUACACAGACCUCUGCAAGAUUUCAUAGAAGCUUACCAAACAUUCCCAUACACUAACAGCCACAAGCAACUUUAACAAAGCUAUCAAGUCGUUGCAUCCGACUAUCCUUGCAUUCUCUGCUUUGAACAUUUUCACAUAAUCGCGAAACAACUCCUUUGGGUUCUUCUUGACGUUGAACAAAUGGUCGGACUUCUUUUUUAUCAAGCGAUAGGAUGAAUAUUCUUUGGUGAAAACCAAAAAAGUUCGUCAAAACUCCGGAUGGAUUGUGGUGGCAGGGUGUAGAACCAAUUUUGCGUCUCGCCUUGUAGAGUGAUGAUGAAUAUCUUGCACAUGAGAUCGUCGUUGUUUCGAUAGAGGAUCAUUGCGCUUCGGUAGUGCUUUAAGUGUCUCUCCGGGUCUUCAUCCCCUUUGAAAGAUGUGAAAUGUGGCAUGCUGAACUCGUGUGGAGGCUCUGCCUGCUCGAUCUCAUCCGUGAAGGGUGAUCUGCUUAUGUUGGUCAUGUUCCGUCGUAGUACCUCGUAGGUGACCUUGUUGCGUUGGAAAUUGCACAAUCACUUAGUCAAGAGUCUCUCUACUUCUUCCUGAAUUUGCCUUUGUUAGGGUAGUCGAACUCUCGGCUGCCCCUAGCUGUGACUUGCUGGUCUAAGCUGCUCUUCUAUGUGUUUGGCUCGUCUAUUCCGCGGAUGAGGUGUGUGUGGUGUGUUCCUAGCAAGCGAGCGAGUUCUUCUCAGGCUGUCGGUUGAACUUGAGCCGGAUUGAGUGACAAAGUCAAUGAAAGAAUGAUUCACAGUGUGCUUGCAUACUUCUUAUACACGAACAACUUUGUAUCGGCCUAGUUAUUAGUUACAAAGUCAAUGAAAGAAUGAUUCACAGUGUGCUUGUAACAAAUACACAUUUACCGUUUGUGUAAUUCCUCAUGUUUUAUUCUUUCUAAAGAACAUUGGACAUUUUCCUUCGGUUUUAGAGUAAGAAAACCAGUUCCUUCUUCCUAUUUAAUUCCCUGACCAAAAGUAAGUAUUUUCUGUGAUAAAUUAAUGUUUUACCUGUUUGGUCUCAUUUCUGUUGCAGCUUUUCCUUUUAGUCACAGUAUAGAUGCGUAAUGGAUAUCUGUUAAUUUCCAUAUAUGUUAUUAUUUAUUUUUACUUGUAAUGAAUAUCUAUUGUCACAACCCGUCCCGAAAUAUUUAUUUUCGACGGUGUGAAAUGACAGUUUUACCCUUGGACGUUGAGAUGUGUGGUGUGUGUCAUGCUUUUGGAUGUGGACCAAUAUGUUGAGUUCCUAAGUUUUUGGACUCAAUUAGAAGUUAGACUUUUGUUAGUUUGGUUAGGGACCAAGUGAGGACCACACACACACACAAAACACCCCGUGCAUUCUCUCUCGUCUCGGCCUUCCUAUCAUUUCCGUACAAAACGUACAGACGAACACCAAACUCACACUUCACGCACGGAUCGACGUUAACCAGGUAAUAUUCGAAUUCCUUGUAAGAUUUUGAGUUCACCCAUACCCUUUUUAGAUCGAGAAACCUUCGUUUUCUCGAGAAACCAGAACUGCCGAAUUCAUGCACUGUUCAUGCACUCAUAAAUGUGAGGUUUUUAGGAAUUUUUUAGGACAUAGUGAGCUUUGGAUCAUCCUCACGAAGCUUGGAGAAGAAAAACCAAGUGAAUUGGACGUCGGGAAGUGGAGAUCGACGAGUUCAAAGUUUGGCCGGAUUAUCGAAGGAUCUCCGGCGAAUUCUCGAGGGAUUUCAGGUCCCAAAAUUGGUAAGGUUUUAUUCCUUAUGUUGUAAGCUUCAUUUUGGUGAAGAUUUCGUGGAAUUUGGUGCAAAAAUGGGAGAGAUAUGAGGUUUUAUAUAUUUUCCAGUUUUCGGCAACGGCGACGGUCGCCGGAGGUCAAACGUAGGGGACGACGAGAUAUUCCAUCAAAAUUGAUGGAAUAUUCCUAACGGCCGUUAGGCCUCAGUUAGGGUUUGGCCGAGCGUGGGGGCGCGUAGGGCCGUGCCUCCGCCGGCGUGUGACGACGCGUGGGACGUCAGAAAAUUUUUCUAAAAAUAUGGGGAUGUUCAUGAGAUUGUGUAGUUCACGUUGGUAUAUUCAAACAUCCCAUUUGAGCAAUGUAUGAGAAGUUAUUAGCUAGUAUUGGUUAUGUGCUUUAAAUAACGUUUAUUUAGUUAUUUCACAUAUAGGUGAGACCUAUCUAGAGGACGAGCGCAGUCAAGGGCGACUCGGGGGCUACGACCCUUCGACAUACCAGUUAGUGGGCUUUUGGUUUUCAAUAUAUAUUUAUAUACUUGAUAUUUUCCCAGAAAAUGUGUUUAAAUGAAAGUAUGCUUUGAAAUGCCAUGCAUAUAGAUUUAUAUUCGGCAUAUGAAUUAGUAUAUGAUGCAUAAUAUGAAUUGGUACUGUGGAUGCUCAGGUAAGUACCAGGUGAGUUAUGUUUUGUUAUAUGAGAUAUUGAUAAUGUGAGACGUGAUUGAGAACUCAUAAACCUGCACCCCGGGUGAUUGUGAUUUAGCCAGAGAUAUGGCACAUGCCUGUAUAUAAUGUCACAUCCCGCACCAUAUGCUCACAUUGGAUCCAAUUUAGGUGCACAGUCUUGUCGUACAGACCAUUAGGUGAGUAGUGAUUUAUCGCACAGCUAUCAUGAGAGCGUAACAUUGAGCAUAAUUAUAUUACACUCAGUCUUGUCGUACAAACCAUUACAGUGGUUCCGACUCGUGUGCAGUGUAGUGCCGUAUAGGUCACUGACGAUGACUUCGGCUAGAUUGAUAAAUAAUAAAUUUAGUCGUACAGACCUCUGCAGGGGGUUCCGACUAAUAUGUUAUUUUCCAUGAAUUUAUUUUCACCUGAGUUACUUAUUCUGUUUUAUAUUUUGGCAUGGCAUACUUAUGAAUAGAUAUGUGAAGCAUGAUUUGAAUAUAUAUAUAUAUACACACACACACACAUAUAUAUAUUUAUAUUCUAUUUCUGGGAAAAUUAUACAUGUUUUACGGCGAUGGGUUAUAGUAUUUGAUAAAUGAAAUGGUUUUGAAGAACUUUGUUUUUGCCCACUCACGUUUUCUGUUUUGCGCCCCUCCAGGUUUUAGGUAAGCUUGCUCGUUGGUGGCUCACGAGGAUUAGUGGAGGUUCUGACAGACCAUAUCAAAUGUAGGACAUCUUUGGGUGUCGUUUAAUUAGUACUUGCUUUCUGGACUGAACUUAGGCUACUCUCACUCUGAUUGUGUAUUUACACAUAUACUAGCACUAGUCUUAACUAGUACUCUUACAAGUUGGUUUUCAAUUAUUCGUAUUCUCUAUUAUCAUUAUUGCUUCUGCACUGUGCACAUGACUACGUCACCCUCACGUGAUGGCCAGCAUACCCUGAUUCGGGUCGGGGUGUGUCAUCUACCCUUUUAAUUACAUUUUAUUUUCAAUAGUAUCUAAUGAGUAGAUUUUAUAUUAUAUAUUUUACCUUGAUCUUAGUUUAUUUUGGUUAUUAUUUUGGAAGAAUUUUGAUACUUUGAAUUGCAUUUGCAAUAUAGGAGUUUCAACUUCUUCUGGAGCAAAACGUGAUCAAAUGAAUGAAUUUUGGAGUGAUUCCAGCUGGAGGAUGUUCGUGAUUUUCUUAGCUUGAUCAUGUCAAAAUAUAAGAUUCUUCCACCAAUCGGUUAUUUUCUAGCGAUAGAAUAAAGGAGCACUGCGCGAUGCUGGAAAAAUGACGUUUUGGGCUUAAUUGCAAGUUUUGGAGUCUAAGAUAACUUAAUUUGGGUUCGGCCCCUUCUGGAGAUAUGUUCAGAACGUUCCGAUCUUUAAAACAAGCUGUCAUGGGCCGGAUUUGGAGGAGAUUUGAGGCUAAAACGUGGCUGGACAAUUCCCAGAUUCUCCUAGCUUAAUUAGGACUUUAUUUUCUAGUAUAUUUAUUAUUAUUUGGUUUCCUAGUUGGAUCCAAAGACUUUUAUUAGGGAUUAUUGCAGGUUUUAGGAGAGGAUAUAAGGUUUGACCGGCCUUAGUCCUUUACUUCUUCUUUCAUGCGACUUCGGAGAUAGGAAAUUGGCUAGGGUUCUUGAAGAUUUUUAGAGUUUAUUUAAGGUUUUUUCAAUCAUUUUCUUCAUAAUAAUAUUUUGUUUGAUUUUAAUUAUAAAUAUGCGUAACUAAUUUGUUUUGCUGGGGCGAAGUCUUGAAUCUUAGCAUGAAUAUGUAAUUUUUAUUUAAUUGAUAAUGAUUGAUCGUAUGUAUGCUUUGAAUUAUUGAUCACCAUUUUAAACUAUCUAAUUGUCUUGAUGACUAGCCACCAUUAUGAUGUUUAGACAAGUAAUUGGAUGCAAUUCGGUUAGAAUAUCACCAGAGGAUUGGGUAUUGCUUCUUGUGGUUAAUAAUUGUAAUUUCACCUAAGGCGAAUAUCACGCUCUUAGGGGUUGCAUGUUUUUCGGAGAGUUUCACAGAACUUAAUGAGUUUUGCAAGUUUAUAUUUGAUCUGAAUAUCACAGACGGAUUGCAUGUUAGAUAUACGUUCUUGCUUGAAAAUCACGAGGAGAAUAUGUAUCAGGAAAACCUAACCUUCAAAGUUGCAUAUGUAGAUCAUAAGUAAUUUGUCAAAAUACAUAGGAUUGUUAUGAUGAUGGCGGAACCCUAGUGUUUUUAUAAAUUGGUAUUUAAAAACUCUUUUCUAUUAUUUUUACAAUUUUGGUUUAUAGUUAAAAUUCAUUUAAUAUAAGUCAGGAUAUUUUAUAGGGAACUUUAACGAAAAGUUCCCAGUACUGUUCACUUUAACGAAAAACGUGCCUUGAUAAUCACAUGAUGUAUUUAAUGUAAUUAUAUAAUUGAUCAUUACAGUUGUGGAUAAUUACAAAAAAGUAUAAUAAAUAUACGCUGAGAUACACAUAGUCCUAAAUUAGUACUUAGUUCUGAAAACGCCAAUAAGAUAUAGAUCCAGAAAAUUGGACUUCUCGUCCUCGUCAUAUCACAUCAGCCUAUCAAGCCACCGUUACCAACACCUCCACAAUUUGCAGAGAAAUUCGCAAUGAAUGCUUAAACAAACAGAUCCAUCAAGGAUCUUACCAUGUAAGGUCGACCAACCGCAAAUAUGCAGAAAGAAGACAAAUCAAUUACAAAAUCCAGCGUUUCAGAAGGUAGAUCUGGAAAAUUUCUGACCAAACUUGCCUGAUCCAAAGCCCUAUAACCUAGGGAGAAAACAAAACCUCGCAAGAGGCAAUGAAGAACAAGCCUAGCACAAGAAGGCUAGGGAGCAAAAGCUCUCCACAUAAAUACGGGAGACAGGCCCUAUAGUCGUAGGACUCCUUGUCAAGAUUAGGCUUGGGUGAGUGGUUUUCAUAAGGGAUUGAAGCACAGUUGGUCAUGAACUUAUCAUAAACUGUUAUACGGAAGAUAUUAGAAAAUUGCUACAUGAGCAUCACAAAAGCAUGUGAGAGGCGAGAGUGAUUUUUAAACCCUUACUUGGUUUAAGUCAUUUUCAAAUCUUUUUCACAUGUCUUUACAAUGCUUAUAUGGUGUUUUUGUAAUCUCUCAUAUCUAGCAUUUUAUAAUUCAUUUUUUACUAAUUUGGUCUCAAGUUCACAGGGCUAGAAUUCUUCCCCCCAAACAUAGCUCAAAGGACUCACACCCUCCAAAUAAAGUAGACAACAAUACUACAAUUGACAUAAGUUUUUGUGUGGUAGUGAAUUAUUGUCACAUGCGCUCAUGCAGAUACUAAUAUGAAGAUAAAUUAUGGGAAGUGAAUUAUAUAUACUUCUUUUCGUUGCGCUCUCUUUUCAAUUUUUUUUUAUAUUUGAAUUGAAUUUAGAACAAUUCAGAAAACAAAGUAGCCCAAAAUGAUCUAUGUGAAAAUUAUUUCUAUAAACUCUACACACACACACACACACACACAAAACAAUUAAUGAUUGUUCCAUACCAACUUAUACAGUCAACCAACUGAUAAACUGGAAAAUAUGAUUAUAAUGAUAGCAUCCAAUUCCUAUCAAUGACUUUAGGGUAAAUUACAUAGUAGCUCUUCAGGUUUGAUGUCUACUACAACCUCAUACAAUAUCUUUGAAACAUUUCACUUUCAUAUCUCACGUACUAUUUUAUUUCAAAAUAAUACAUCCGUUACAUUUUCCAUCCAUUGAUCCGUUAAGUGCUGACGUGGCUGCCAAAUGUGUGCCACGUGGCAAAAAAAAUAAUUUUUUUUUAAAAAAAACCUUAAUCUUCUAAAUAAAAAAAAUCAAAAAGAGAAAAUUCAGAUCCCAUCAUCCCACCCCCUCCCCCAUACCUGAACCUUGAACAAAAAAAAAAAAAAAAAAAAAACCCAGAAAACCCAGUUCCCACUAACACACCUUCCCCCCAAAUCCCAUCAACACCCCCAUGUGAAACCUCGAUCCCAUAUCCCCCCCCCCCCCAAAAAAAAAAAUCAUCUUCCAUCAGUCAUCCGCACCCAUCCUCCACCUCCUCCCCUGCACCCAUCUCCACCUCAUCCGCACACCCAUAUUCCCAUCUUCUCCUGCCCCGCCCCCCCAACCCGAGCCCAACCUGCAACCCAGAAAGAAGAGGAAAAAAAAACCCAGCGCACCCACCCUCGCACUCAUCCUCUUCCCUCCUCUACACACCCUACUCCUUAAAUCCACACUCAUUGGGGAAGACGGGAUCUGGGUUGCAGGGAAAUGGCAAUAGGUUUUUUUUUUCGUUUCUUUUCUGGGUUGGAGGUAGUGGGUGCAGAGGAAGAGGUGGAGGAUGGGGUGCACGGUGGGUUUGGGGAAGACAAGAGGGGAAAGAAAGGGGUGGGUUGCAAGGAAAGGGGGUCGGGGAAGAUGAAGAUGGUUUUUUUUUUUCCACUCCUUUUCUUAAUCUUCUGGGUUGCAGGUUGGGUGGGUGGGGGUUGAAGGUUCAUCUUUUGUUUUUUGUUUUUUUUUUUUAUUUAGAAGAUUCAGGUAAAAAAAAAAAAAAAAAAAUUUGCCACGUGGCACAAAUGUGGUAGACACGUCAGCACUUAAUGGAUCAAUGGAUAGAAAAUGUAAUGGAUGUAUUAUUUUGAAAUAAAAUAGUAUGUGAGGUAUAAAAGUGAAAUGUUUUAAAGAUGUUGUAUGAGGUUGUAAUAGACCUCAAACCUAAGGGGUUACUAUGUAAUUUACCCAUAACUUUAUACUUGGAGAACUAAAUAUUAAUUUUAUAUACAAAUAAUUUUAGUAUUGUUUUUUUGUAGGACCAUAUAUAUUUUUAAUUAUAAAUGAAUUUUUUGCGAUAAUGAUUUAUGAAUGAUGAAUUGAAAUAUAGGUGGUUCAGAUCUUUGAAAAAAAAUUAUGAAACGAAAACUACAAAAAAUUGUGUCAAAAUAUGUACACACAAAUUUAAGGAUGUGUAGCACUAGGUAUACGUGGCAUUAGGUAUAUUUUUUAUUUUCAUAUUAAUAAAUUUCCUUCAUACCUCGAAAUUUUCUAUAAAAAAAAAAACAAAAAGAAAAAAAACGGCAGAAGGCCACUUGUGAUGAGUACUUUAGUCAUGGAAUGCUGAUCGAAGUGCUAUUAAAUUGUCACUUAGAAUCAUAACUCUUGGCUUAUAGUAUGAAAAAAAAAAUACAGAACAUUUGUAUAUUGCUUGCAAGCAAUUAGGUUCUGUUAGUCAACUCCAGCAACUUGAUUAGAAAGCAUGUAUAUAAAGCUGCGCAAUUACCAUGUCCACAUAUCCUGAUCAGGAAAUUUCCCCUGCUUGGCUUAGUUGAAAAUAGCAGAUAAGUCAAGAGCGUAUUUUAAAUUACUGUUGGUUAAUUAUUUUAAAUUUCACUAGCAUAUGGGUAUACACAAAGUGUGUGAGAAAAUUUUUUAUUUUUGUUUUUGAAAUAGAAGAGGGAGUGAUAGAGAACGUGGGAGUGAGAAUUUUUUUUAUUAUUUUUUUAUUUUUUAUAAUUAGAUAUAUGUUAGGAUUACAUGUAGGUGAGACUUUGAAAAAAAAAACAGCAAAAUUUGGUUGUAUGAAAUUACAUUUCUGCCCCAUAUUUCUUAUUCAUGUUCUAUUUUAAUUAGAGGGUUAAACUGGUAAUUUUAUAGGAUUUUGAUUGAAAAUGAAUGUUUUAUUAAUUAAUAGAGAUAAUCAAUAUUAAUUACCAGUGGGUGUACUUUAAAUUAUGCUUGAUUAAUUAUUGUAAAUUUCAUAAUCAUAGAAAACUAAUAGCUUAUUAUAUAUUGUUGUCAAAAUCGUGAGUUCGGCUGUUGGAAAGGAUUUUUAAUGGGUAAAUUACAUUUUACCUCCUCAGAUUUGGAUGCAAUUGCAACCUCAUACAACAUUUUAAAAACAUUUUAAUUUCAUACAUUUAGUUAUCAUUUCAUUUCAAUGUCAUACAACCGUUAAAAAUUCUGUUAAGUUAGCUGUUAAGUGAUGAUGUGGUAACAGUGGGUCUCCCAUGUUUGCUUAUGUGGUUAACAACUUCUGCCACAUGGACAAACAAUUAAUAUUUUAUUUAAAAAAUUACAAAAAAAACCCUUAAAAAAUGGCUAAAAAAAAGGGAUAACUUGAUAUAGAUCCAAUUUUGUGAGCCAUUAGUAGGAUUAGUCCACUUCAUUGAAAUAGGUUCAAUAAUUGAGAUUCUACGUAUGCUUAUUUGUGGUUUGUACCAUAUUUACCCCUUAGGCUUACAAAUUGUAGUAAAUACACAAAAUUUCUUAAUUAUGGGAUUAUUUGUGGUUUAACUAAUCCCUUAAUUGUAGGAUUAGUUAUAGCCAUGUAAUCACCUCAACCCCCAGUCCGUUUCAUCCCUCCUUUUUUACUUCUUCCAAACAAUUCCCUCUAUCAAUCUUCCUCUUUGUUGUCUCUUCUUUUCAUGGGUGAUAUUUUUGUGUUCUUCCCUCCAAAUUCGUUCCUUUAAUGGAGGUAUAUUACAUCAUAUUUAUAUUUCUAUGUUCCUCCAUGUAGGUUCCCAACAUUUUUCUUCCAAUACAAUAGGUAGUUUAUUUUUGUUUUGCAGGUAGAUUAUAUCUGCUUUAUAGGUAUAAAGCAUUUUUCUUCCUAUACAAUAGGUAGGUAGUUACUAGAUUAUAUCGGUUUUGUUUUCUUCAUAAAUAGUAGGUAGUUACUAUAUAAUAUUUUAGUUUGAGUAUUUAAAUAUUCAAAAUUUAAAAACUGAAUAAAUGAUAUAAAAAAAAUUAAAGAAUUUAAAUAUUUUUAUCUGAAGGGGCAAAAUAUAUAUCAAAAUAUGUAAUUGGAUAACUAGACUCAGUCCCAAAAACUACCUAUGUUUUUGGACCUAGAUCCAAAAGCCCAAAAAAAAAAAAAAACAACCUUCCACAGCCCCUCUCCACCCCACGCUGAAAAUGCAAAGCCCCAACCCUAGAUCUUCCAUCCCCUCCAAUACGUCGUCAACAUCUUCGUCCACCACUGCAAGCCCGCCGGCAACACCAACAUUGCCUCCAACCCCACCCACGUCGACUGACGCUGCAAAUCGGACGACAACAUCAUAUUCUUCCUCGCGCGACAAUAUGUUGGGGGUCGCGGUGGUUGAGGCAGAGAGCACAAAGUGGUGAACUCCCAAACUCCGGCUGACGAAUUUGGUGGCGGUAGUUCAGGCAGAGAGCGCAAGUGGACUGACAAUUUGAGACAUGGAUCAAAUUUAGGGGUUGGGUUGGAUUCGACAAAAUUUGGGGGUUGGAUUUGUCCAAAUCCUAAAUUUUCCCAAACCCAGGUCCAAGUUGCAGGGGUCGAAGCCGACGUCAAUGGCAACGACGGAUGAGGAAAUGGGGUUUGCAGGGGGAGAGGGAGAAUGUGAUUGGGGAUGGGGAUGGGGAUGGGGAAGGGGAAGACAUGGGUUUUAGGGUUUUUUUUUUAUUAAAUAAUUAUUUUAGUAUUUAAUAUUCUGAUUAAAUUAUUAUUUUUUAAAUGCAUAGAAAUUUUUUUGCCACGUGGCAUAAAUUUGGUAACCACGUCAGCACAAAUAUAGAUCCUAUAUUUGCCAUGUUAUCACUUAACAUAUUUUCUAACGAAUGUAUGAAAUUGAAAAAAAAUGAUAAGUAAAUGUAUGAAAUUGAAAUGUUUUAAAGAUGUUGUAUGAGGUUGCAAUCGACCCCAAACCUGACGAGGUAAAAUGUAAUUACCCUUUUUUUAAUUAAGUUGACAUGAGCUGCAAAUAAUAUGCGUUGACACUAUUUUGCCAAAAAUCGGUGUAUUGAGAAAAUAAUACCAAUUACUUCAAAAAAAUAAAAAAACAGUUACGACUAAUUAUUUUUUAUCGUCAGUUGCUAGUUACAAAUAUAACUAGAUCUUGUGCCCUUGUAAUAUUUUUAAGAAAAUUUUCAUUUAUUAUUUGACAAAAAAAAAUAAUUGUGAUAAUUAUAAUCCAUCCAUCUCAACUAUUUGCGGUUUUACUUUAAAAAUAUUAUUUCACAUACGUCUCGGUCAUCCAUUUAUGAUUACAUGACUAAAAUUUCACAUAUGUCUCAAUCAACUAUUUAUGUCACAGCCCGUCCCAGAAGAUUAUUCUCGAUGACUUGAAAUGACAAUUUUACCCUUGGACGUUAAAGUAUGUUGUGUGGUUUAAGUUGGAUUUUGGACCCAUUCAUUAAUUUCCUAAGUCUUUGGACCUAAUUGGAAGUAAGGAAAUUGUUUGUUUUGAUGGGUGACCCAAAAAUCUGGACCACACAUCCUUUCUCUCUCUCACUCUCCCGUGCUCUCUUCUCUCUCUCGGACUCACUCUCUCUUCCCUUUCCUCCGUACGGACAACCUUGAACCAAGCCAAAUCUUCAUAGAUCAAGGAAGAAAAUGGUACCAUUGUGUUCGUGAGGACCAUACGAGUUCAAAGGUACCCAUUUCAGGUAAGAACUCGUUCGAUAUCACGUUAAAAACUCAAACUCCGAGUUGAUCACUAUUCAUGAACUUUUGCAUGGUUAUGUUUUAGGACAAUCCAAGCUCAUAGCGAGCUCUAGGAGGUUCUCACGAAGCUCGGAGUGCUUCGUUGGCUCGGUUUUGACGUCGGGAUCACAAGGUUCGAAGGUGGCCGGUUUUGGUAGAAUUUUCCCGACGAGUUUUCGAGGGAUUUGAAGCUCCCAAGAGGUAUAACCUUCUUCCUUUCGUGAUUUAUGGCAUUCUGGUGAAAAUUGUGUGAAAAAUGGUGCAAAAAUGAGCGAGAAAAAGGCAGUUGCAGGUCUGCCCAGAAUCCGGCGCCGGUGACACUGUUCCAGCGUCUGGAAGUUGAAGAUGAUGCGCGUGGGGCCGUGCCCUCCCCGGCGCGUGAGGGCUCAUGAGCCACAGAAAAUUUAUUUUAAAAAUAUCACGAUGUUCGUGAGGUUGUGUAGGUCGCGUUGGUAUAUUCAAAUACCAAAAUUGAGCUUUGUAUGAGAAAUUAUUAGCUAGUUUUGUGUAUGUGCUUUAAAAUAACGUUUUUAUAGUUAAUUCGCAUAUAGGUGAGACUUAUCCCGAGGACGAGCGUAUCCACGGGCGACUCGAGGGUUACGACCCGUUGACAUACCAGUGAGUGGGCUUUUGGUUUUCAGUAUAUAUUUAUAUACUUGAUAUUUUCCCAGAAAAAUAUGUUUAAAUGAUAAUAUGCCAUAAAUGCCAUGCAUAUACAAUUAUGUUUCGUGUAUGAAUUGGUGUGUGAUACCUUAUAUAUAUAAAUGUGGUGCUAUGGAGGCACAGGUAAGUUCAGGUAAGUUAUGUUUGGUUAUGUGAAUCAUCGAUGAUGUGAUAUGUGAUUGAAUAAUGUUGAGCUCAUUAAACUACACCUAGGGUGAUUGUGAUUUAGCCAGUGAUAUGAAGUACAUGCCUGUUUAUUUACGUCACCUCCCGCAUUAUAUGCUCAUAUUGGAUCCAACUUAAGUGCAUAGUCUUGUCGUACAGACCUUAUUUAUGGUUCCGACUGUAGGUGACUAGCGAAUUAUUGCCCGGCUAUUAUAAGAGAGUAAAAUUGAGCAUAAUCAUAUUACACCCAAUCUUGUUGUACAGACCCCUUUUUAGUGGUUCCGACUUAUGUGCAGUAUAUUGCCGUAUAGGUCAUUGUAGUGACUCCGGCUAGAUUGACUUUUGAGUUAUGAAUUCAGCCGUACAGACUACCACAGGGGUUCCGACUAACAUAUCAUAUUUCUAUGAAAUCAUUCUUACCUGGAUUGUUUACUUUGUUAUAUUUUGGAAUGGCAUACAUAUGCUUAUGAUUAUGUGAAGUAUGAUUUGAAUUGAUAUAUUUUUCAUAUUCAUUUAUGUAUAUGCUUAUAUUCUGAUUCUGGGAAAAAUUAUACAUGUUUUACAGCGAGGGGUUAGACAUGUUGAUAAAUGAAAUGGUUUUGUAAAACAUUUGUUUUUGCCCACUCAUGUUUUCUGUUUUGCGCCCCUCCAGGUUUUAAGUAAGCUUGCUGUUGGUGGCUUGAGGACGUCGGCAGUUCUGACCUAUCUAAAUAAUAGUAGGACAUUCCUGGUACUGUAUAACUAGUACUUGUCCUACUGGACUGCACCUAGACUUUAUGCUCUGAUUAGGAGUGUUUACUUCUGUAACUAACUCCUAUCACUCCCUGUUUAGUAGUGCAUUCUAGUAAUGUGAUUCUUAAUUAUUAGUAUAUUUUCUUAUCAUUAUUGCUUCCGCACUGUGCACAUGGCUACGUCACUCUCACGUAAUGGCCAGCAUGCCUUGAUCUCGGUCGGGGUGUGUCAGUUUGGUAUCAGAGCAUAGGUUUAGCAGUCAUGUAUAAUUCUUGAAUGUUCUAAUCCUUGUGAUGUCUUAUGUCAGAAUUAUGUCGCCUCGUAGAGAGCCCCGUCAAUCAGCUGAACCUAGUUUCCCCAAUAUUGCUCAAUUAGGGGAAGCUAUAGUUUCUGCCAUUCAGACUGCAUUCCGUACUCCCAGAGGAUACCUCUCAAGACAGUUUAUAAUCUGAAGUUGACUCACUUCAUUGGAAAUGAAGGACAUGAGGGGGCGGAAAAAUGGUUGAAUCAUAUGGAGAAUACCUUUCAGGUGAUGCAGAGUCAAGGGAAUCUUCCUCCUGAUAGGUGGGUCGAGACGACUACCUGGUUUUUGGGGGAACAACCUGCAACCUAGUGGAGACAGGAGUCUUACCAGUUGACCCCAGCAGAGAUUGUGGACUAGGGAGUGUUUAAGGAGCUGUUUCGGAAAAGGUUCAUUCCUUAUGCGUAUAUCGAUCGUAAGAAACAUGAGUUUACUCAUCAGAAGCAAGGAAAGACGUCCGCUGAUGAGUAUUAUAGGAUGUUUGCUGAUCUGUCGAGAUAUGAUCCGGAGGUUGCUGCUAAUUCGGUAGAGAUGCUUCGCCGUUUCAGUUUGGGUACUAAGAAGAAAUGGCAUUCCAUAGCGACAUCGACUCACUGUGCUACAUACCAGGAGUUUUAUGAGAUUUUACUGAGAAUUGAGGACUCGGAAAGCAUGCCUAGUGAAAGUGAGGAUGAGGAAGGAAAGAAUGGGGGCCAGAAACGAGAUGAUAAGGGGAAAAGGCAAGCAUUUCAGGGACCCCGCAAGACCCAGAACUUUAAGAGGAGUGGUGGCAGUUCCAGCUCUUCUAGCGGAGGAUUGCGUACUAAUAUGCAAAGAAUAGAUGGUAGAUUUACUGGAGGCCCUAGGUUCUAGAGACAGAGAGAUUUUGGUGGUUCAGGUGGAUCUGGUGCUCUUUUAUGCCGCAAGUGUAAUAGUCAACGUUUUGGGGAGUGUAGGAGAGGCAGCAGUGGAUGUUUUACUUGUGGAUAGAUGGGUCAUAGGGCUGCCCAAUGCCCUCAGAGUCAGCAGAGACCCUAGUAGCCUUCUUUCCCACCACCUGCACCGUCCCAGCAAGCUUCAAGAUCUGGUGGUUAUGCUCAAACUAGACGAGGAGGUGCCUACCACUAUUAAGGUGACGCCGCUCCUUACACCUCAGGACAACAUCAGUAUUCUCAGGACCCUCAGUAUCAGAGUGGGUACCCUCAGUAUCAGGGAGGAUUUAUGUCUUAUUAGCCUCAUUCAAUCGGAGGAUAUCAGUGGUAGCAAGGGGGACAGCCCCAGCAGGGAGAGAUUGCUGCUAGUAGUGCAGGAUCUUCGAGGCAGUCGGGUCAGCAGAGGCAAUGAUGUGGUAUUCAUGCCAACAGAGGUAGUGGUGGACGACAGCAGAAUCAGGGGCGUAUCCACAACAUGUCACUGCAAGAUGCCCAGAAUAAUCUAGAUUUAAUCAUGGGUACGUUAAAUAUUCUUGGUCAUUUUGCUAGAGUAUUGAUUGAUUGUGGUGCUACACAUUCUGUUAUUUCUCAUACAUUUGCUCAAGUGACGCAACCUCAUCCUACACCUUUAGGAUAUAAUUUAGAAUUUUCUAUGCCUAGAGGGGAUAGAUGUUUUGUGGAUUGGGUAUAUCCGGGAUGUCCAGUGAUAGUAGAGGAUGUUGUUAUGCCGGCUAAUCUUAUGUCGUUGGAUAUUAUGGAUUUUGAUGUGAUUUUGGGCAUUGAUUGGUUGCACUAUAAUCGUGCCAAGAUAGAUUGUUAUGGGAAGACAGUCACAUUUCAUCGUAUCGGAUUACCUGAAGUUACAUUUGUAAGAGAGCCUAGUAGGGUGAGACAUGGUAUUAUUUCAACUAUGAAAGCAAAGAGAAUGUUGUCGAAAGGUUGUCAGGGAUAUUUGGCUCAUGUGGUGUUGAAUGAUGAUGCUCCUAGUAGUGUGGAAGAUGUUCGUGUGGUCAGAUAUUUUUCGUAUGUAUUCCCUAAGGAUUUGCCUGGAUUGCCGCCAGAUAGAGAGGUGGAGUUUGUUAUUGAUCUACUUCCAGGUACGAAUCCUAUAUCCUUAACUCUUUAUAAAAUGGCUCAUGCUGAAUUGAGGGAAUUGAAAGUACAGUUGCAAGAGUUAGUGGAUAAAGUUUUUAUUCACCCGAGUACUUCACAUUGGGGAGCUCCAGUUUUAUUCGUGAGGAAGAAAGAUGGAACUUUGAGGCUGUGCAUUGAUUACAGGCAAUUGAAUCGGGUAACCAUUAAAAACCGUUAUCCAUUGCCUCGUAUAGAUGAUUUAUUUGAUCAACUCAGAGGUGCCUGUGUAUUUUCUAAGAUUGACUUGAGGUCGGGAUACUAUCAGUUGAAGAUUAAAAAUGAAGAUGUCCCUAAAACCGCAUUCAGGACUCGAUAUGGUCAUUAUGAGUUUCUUGUGAUGUCAUUCGGGUUAACUAAUGCACCAGCAGCUUUUAUGGAUUUGAUGAAUCGAGUAUUCCAGCCAUAUUUGAACAGGUUUAUUAUUGUCUUCAUUGACGAUAUUCUGGUAUAUUCUAAGUCUAAGGCUGAGCAUGCUAGACAUCUAAAGUUGGUGUUGAGCAGUUUGAGGGAACACCAACUAUAUGCUAAGUUUAGCAAAUGUGAAUUUUGGUUGAAUCAAGUAUCAUUUUUGGGACAUGUCGUUUCUUCUCAAGACAUUCAAGUGGAUUCUCAGAAAGUGGCAGCUGUGGAGAAUUGGGAACAACCUCGAACCGUCACCGAGAUACGGAGUAUUCUUGGCCUAGCAGGCUAUUAUAAACGGUUCGUUAAGGAUUUUUCAGUGAUUGCUUUGCCAUUGACGGGGUUAACUCGAAAGGAUGUUAAGUUUGAGUGGGAUAAUAAGUGUGAGCAAAGUUUUCAGCAGUUGAAAUAUUAUCUCACUCAUGCACCUGUUCUAACACUUCCAGAUGAUAACGGUAAUUAUGAGGUCUAUAGUUAUGCUUCUCUUAAUGGUUUGGGUUGUGUAUUGAUGCAACAUGAUAGGGUAAUUGCUUAUGUUUCGAGACAGUUGAAACCUCAUGAGAAGAAUUACCCUACACAUGAUUUGGAGUUAGCAGCUAUCAUCUUUGCCUUGAAGAUUUGGAGACAUUAUCUUUAUGGUGAGAAAUGCAAGAUCUUCACAAAUCAUAAGAGUCUUCAGUAUUUGUUUACUCAGAGAGAUCUUAAUCUUCGACAGCGGAGGUGGAUUGAGUUACUUAGUGACUAUGAUUGCACGAUUGAGUAUCAUCCUGGUCAUGUAAAUGCUGUGGUGAAUGCACUUAGUUGGAAAACUCCAGUCAGACUUAAUGCCAUUUAUGAUUGCCACGUUCCUCUUCUAGCAGAUUUGAGAUCCACUGGAGUGGAGUUAGGAGUGGAAGAUCGAGAAGAAGCCUUGCUUACUAAUUUUCAGGUUAGGCCAAUUUUAAUUGACCGUGUGCUUGAAGCUCAGAUGUAUGAUGAGGAGACCCAGGAAAUAAUUCAAGCAAGAAAUCAAAGAAAAAAUAAAGAUUUCGGGAUUCGAGAAUAUGAUGGUAUGCUUAUGCAGGAAAGCAGAAUGUAUGUGCCAAAUAAUGCAGAGUUAAAGAAAGAAAUUUUGGAUGAAGCACACAUUUCAGCAUAUGCGAUGCAUCCAGAAGGCACUAAGAUGUAUCAUGCCAUUAGACCAUUUUAUUAUUGGCCAGGUAUGAAAAGAGAAAUUGCCGAAUAUGUGAGUAGGUAUGCCAUUUGCCAAUAGGUUAAAGUUGAAAGGAAGAAGCCGUUUAGGUUGAUGCAACCACUUCCCGUUCCACAGUGGAAAUGAGAAAAUAUUACUAUGAAUUUUGUGUACAAGCUUCCUCGUACACAGAAUGGAUAUGACGGCAUUUGGGUGGUAGUUGAUCGGCUUACGAAGUCAGCACAUUUUAUUCCAGUGAGGGAGAAGUAUUCGUUAAGCCGAUUAGCUAAGUUAUUUACAUCGCAGAUUGUGAAGUAUCAUGGUGUGCCAGUUAAUAUUAUCUCAAAUCGGGAUCUCAGAUUUACUUCCAAGUUCUGGAUAGCAUUCCAGGAAGCUCUUGGUACGAGAUUGCUUUAUAGUACAGCAUAUCACUUUUAGACAGAUGGACAAUCUGAUAGAACUAUUCAGACAUUAGAGGAUAUGUUGAGAUCUUCAAUGCUGCAGUUUUGAGAUAGUUGGCAUGAUUGUUUGGAUUUGAUGGAGUUCGCCUACAACAACAGUUAUCAUUCGAGUAUUAGUAUGGCACCAUUUGAGGCACUUUAUGGGAAAUCUUGUCGUACGCCUCUAUGUUGGUCAGAGGUUGGCGAAAUAGUUUUAGUGGGCCAGAGAUUGUGGAUGUGACUACUCAAAAUGUUCAGGUAAUUAAGUCUAACCUGAAAGCGGCCCAAGAUCGACAAAAGAGAGUAGCAGACAAGCACGCCACUGAUCGGAAGUAUAAUGAAGGUCAUUGGGUACUUCUAAAGCUAUCAUCUUGGAAGGGUGUUGUACGAUUUGGAAAGAAAGGAAACUUGAGUCCUAGGUACAUUGGACCAUAUAUGAUCACCGAACGAGUUGGUGAGGUUGCUUACAGGCUUGAGUUGCCUCCAGAGUUAUCCAAAGUGCACGAUGUGUUUCAUGUUUCGAUGCUCCGACAUUAUGUUUCAGAUCCUUCACAUGUGAUUCCUCCUCAACCUUUGGAAAUUAAUCCGGAUUUGACUUAUGAUAAGGAACCAAUGACUCUAUUGGAUUGGAAGGAUAAGGAACUAAGGAAUAAGACUGUGCGCUUGGUGAAAGUAUUAUGGAGAAAUCAUUCAGUGGAAGAAGCUACUUGGGAGACCGAGGAUCAAAUGAGAGAGAUGUAUCCAUGCUUGUUCUAUGAUUAUUAGUGGAUGUAUUGGUUGUAUGUAAUUUCGAGGACGAAAUUUUAUAAGGUGGGGAGAUUGUCACAGCCUGUCCCGGAAGAUUAUUCUCGAUGACGUGAAGUGACAAUUUUACCCUUGGACGUUAAAGUAUGUUGUGUGAUUUAAAUUGGAUUUUGGACCCAUUCAUUAAUUUCCUAAGUCUUUGGACCCAAUUGGAAGUAAGGAAAUUGUUUGUUUUGAUUGGUGACCCAAAAAUCUGGACCACACAUCUUUUCUCUCUCUCACUCUCCCGUACUUUCUCUUUUCUCUCUCGGACUCACACUCUUUUCCCUCUCCUCCGUACAGACAACCUUGAACCAAGCCAAAUCUUCACAGAUCGAGGAAGAAAAUGGUACCAUUGUGUUCGUGAGGACCAUACGAGUUCAAAGGUACCCAUUUCAGGUAAGUACUCGUUCGAUAUCACGUUAAAAACUCAAGCUUCGAGUUGAGCACUAUUCAUGAACUUUUGAAUGGUUAUGUUUUAGGACAAUCCAAGCUCACAGCGAGCUCUAGGAGGUUCUCACGAAGCUCAGAGUGCUUCGUUGGCUCGGUUUUGACGUCGGGAUCACGAGGUUCGAAGGUGGCCAGUUUUGGUAGAAUUUUCCCGACUAGUUUUCGAGGGAUUUGAAGCUCCCAAGAGGUAUAACCUUCUUCCUCUCGUGAUUUAUGGCAUUCUGGUGAAAAUUGUGUGAAAAAUGGUGCAAAAACGAGCGAGAAAAAGGCAGUUGCAGGGUAUGCCCAAAAUCCGGCGUCGGCGACACUGUUCUGGCGUUUGGAGGUUGAAGAUGAUGCGCGUGGGGCCGUGCCCUCCCCGGCGCGUGAGGGCUCGUGAGCCACAGAAAAUUUAUUUUAAAAAUAUCACGAUGUUCGUGAGGUUGUGUAGGUCGCGUUGGUAUAUUCAAAUACCAAAAUUGAGCUUUGUAUGAGAAGUUAUUAGCUAGUUUUGUGUAUGUGCUUUAAAAUAACGUUUUUAUCGUUAAUUCACAUAUAGGUGAGACUUAUCCUGAGGACGAGCGUAUCCACGGUCGACUCAGGGGUUACGACCCGUCGACAUACCAGUGAGUGGGCUUUUAGUUUUCAGUAUAUAAUUAUAUACUUGAUAUUUUCCCAGAAAAAUAUGUUUAAAUGAUAAUAUGCCAUAAAUGCCAUGCAUAUACAAUUAUGUUUCGUGUAUGAAUUGGUGUGUGAUACCUUAUAUAUAUAAAUGUGGUGUUGUGGAGGCACAGGUAAGUUCAGAUAAGUUAUGUUUGGUUAUGUGAAUCAUCGAUGAUGUGAUAUGUGAUUGAAUAAUGUUGAGCUCAUUAAACUGCACCUAGGGUGAUUGUGAUUUAGCCAGUGAUAUGAAGUACUUACCUAUUUAUUUACGUCACCUCCCGCACUAUAUGCUCAUAUUGGAUCCAACUUAAGUGCACAGUCUUGUCGUACAAACCUUAUUUAUGGUUCCGACUCGUAGGUGACUAGCGAUUUAUCUCCCGGCUAUUAUGAGAGUAAAAUUGAGCAUAAUUAUAUUACAUCCAAUCUUGUCGUACAAACCCCUUUUUAGUGGUUCCGACUUAUGUGCAAUAUAUUGUCGUAUAGGUCAUUGUACUGACUCUGACUAGAUUGACUUUUGAGCUAUGAAGUCAGCCGUACAGACUACCACAUGGGUUCCGGCUAACAUAUCAUAUUUCUAUGAAAUCAUUCUUACCUGGAUUGUUUACUUUGUUAUAUUUUGGAAUGGCAUACAUAUGCUUAUGAUUAUGUGAAGUAUGAUUUGAAUUGAUAUAUUUUCAUAUUCAUUUAUGUAUAUGCUUAUAUUCUGAUUCUGGAAAAAAUUAUACAUGUUUUACAACGAGGGGUUAUAUAUGUUAAUAAAUGAAAUGGUUUUGUAAAACAUUUGUUUUUGCCCACUCACGUUUUCUGUUUUGCGCCCCUCCAGGUUUUAAGUAAGCUUGAUGUUGGUGGCUUGAUGACGUCGGCAAUUCUGACCUAUCUAAAUAAUAGUAGGACAUUCCUGGUACUGUAUAACUAGUAUUUGUCCUACUGGACUACACCUAAACUUUAUGCUCUGAUUAGGAGUGUUUACUGUUGUAACUAACUCCUAUCACUCCCUGUUUAAUAGUGCACUCUAGUAAUGUGAUUCUUAAUUAUUCGUAUAUUUUCUUAUCAUUAUUGUUUCCGCACUGUGCACAUGGCUACGUCACUCUCACGUGACGGCCAGCAUGCUUUUAUCUCGGUCGGGGUGUGUCAAUUUAUUUUUAAAUUGACUAAAAUGCAAAAUUCUCAUAUAUUAAAAAAAAUUGCGGUAAUUAUAAAGGAAUUUUAAUGAAAAACCCGCAGUACUAUUUAUUUUAACGAAAAAUUACAUUUUUACAUUAAAAAGUCAAUCCUUAUACUAUUCACUUUACUUUUUAUUUUGUCCUUAUCGUUAAAACUCAAAAAUUUUAAACUAUUUUUAUUAGUUUUCCUUAAUUAUAAAGGAUCCAUCCAUCUGAACUAUUUGCAGUUUUACUUAAAAAAAUUUAGUUCACAUACGUCUCCGUCAUCCAUUUAUGAUUACAUGACUAAAAUUUCACAUUCGUCUCAAUCAACCAUGUAUGUUAAAAUUGACUAAAUGCAAAAUUCUCAUAUAUUAAAAAAAAUUAAUUGCAAUAAUUAUAAAAAAGUUUUAAUGAAAAGUUUGCGGUACUGUUUACUUUAAAGAAAAAUCACAUUUUUACACUAAAAAAUCAAUAUUGAUUCUAUUCGUUUUAACCUUUAUUUUGUCUUUAUGAUUAAAACUCAAAGUUUUCAAACCAUUAUCAUUAGUUUUCUUUAAUUACAAGGUAUCUAUCCAUCUAAACUAUUUGCAGUUUUACUUAAAAAAAAUAUUUCACAUACGUCUUAGUCAUCCAUUUAUGAUUACAUGACUAAAAUUCACAUACGUCUCAUCAACCAUUUAGGUUAAAAUUGACUAAAAUGCAAAAUUCUCAUAUAUUAAAGUCUUUAAAUUGGAUCCUUAUGAAAGAAUUUCACUUGGGUGUGUAUGCAUAUCUUUAGCUGAAUCUGACCGGCCUUCGGUAUCGGUAAAAAAAAAGGUUUUCAAAAUCAUUUUUAUGAUAUUUUUCUACUAGAAUUUGUCUUUGAUUAGUAUUUUGCAUGGACUAUGUUCGAGAGAGAGCGACCAAACUUGAUAUCGGCAGGCGUUCACUGUUUAGUAAUACAUAGUCCAUACAAAUUUUGGUGCUGAUUAUCUAAAUUACAUAUUAAUAAAAUUUUCAUUGUCAACCAAAAGUUUAUGAAAUUACCAUUCUAACCCUUUAAUUAAAACUAAACAUAUAUAAGGAAUGUAGGCAGUAAUAUAAUUUUACACAACCAAAUUUUUUUUUUUUUCAAAGCCGCACUUAUAUGUGAUUCUAAUAUAUCUCUAAUUUAAAAAUUAAAAAGUAAAGCUCUCUCCUCUCUCUCCCUAUCCCACGCUCUCUCUCCCUCUUUUCCUCUCUCCUUCCAUUUUAAAUACAAAAAAUACAAAAUUUUCACACACAUUUUGUAUGUGGUCAUAUGCUAGUAUUCCACAUUAUGAUCCAAUACUUUUUGGUAAUUUAGGUCAACUACAUAUUAAUAAAAUCCUCAUUGUCAACCAAAAGUUUAUGAAAUUACUAUUCUAACCCUUUAAUUAAAACUGAACAUAUAUAAGAACUGUGGGCAGUAAUAUAAUUUCACACAAUCAAAAUUUUGUUUUUUUUUUCAUAGCCUCACCUAUAUGUGAUUCUAACAUAACUCUAAUUAAAAAAUAUAAAAAGUAAAGCUCUCUCCUCUCUCUCCCCAUCCCACGCUUUCUCUCUCUUUUCCUCUCUCCUUCCAUUUUAAAUACAAAAAAUACAAAAUUUUCACACACAUUUUGUGUGUGGGCAUAUACUAGUAUUCCGCAGUAUGAUCCAAUACUUUUUGGUAAUUUAGGUUAUGAUAAUCAAUUCAAUAACUCCCAACUUAUACCUAUAUAGCCAAAAGUAAUAUAAGGGGCAGAUUUAUGUCACCAUAUUUUUACACAACUUUUGAUACUUGUUUUUGUGAGGCUCAUUCCGUAAUGUAUUUCAAGGAUCCAAACGUCUAUAUUUUAGGUUUCCCUCAAAUAUUAUGUUUACCAAAAAUCACUUAAAUAUGAAAUCAUAUGACCGUUGAAUGUCUUAACGGUUUUAUAUUUGGUUCAUUUUUUGCAAGAAUGAUAUAUGAAAAAAUUUCUCAAAAAUAGAUGGUUCAUUUUUUGGUUUUAAGGGCAAGUAAGGUAACACAAGUCAUUGACUUCCGUUCGUGUCCUUCGAGGUCCACUCAUUCCCUCCCCUCAAGCGAAUAAAAAGCUGUAUUUCAGACUCAUUCUCCUUACAAGUCUGUCGUCUUUCUUCGCCACUCUCACAAAUUUUCAUACAUACAAUCCAACAAAUUCCAAAACCUCUCAACAUAUUCCAUCCAGCUAGCUGCACAAACUGAUUCUUUUGUCUCUGGUUUUCUCUUCAAAUGUGAAAGACUUUGCCUAGAAAAAUGAUGAUUAUGUUCUUCCCUCGACUUCUUCCUCAUUCUCUUUUCUUUGUAGCUUGCUUUGUAACUUUUGCCUUUGGAGCUACUCGAUUGCCAAAUGAUGAAGGUACGAGUAUAAAUCUUUCUUAGUUUCCUUUUCUUCAUUCUUUAAAUGAUAGUUUUAAGUUCGUUUGAUAAUUUUUUUUGAGUUUUCAAAUUUGGUUUGGGUUGAUUUUGGUUUUCAGUUUACAUUUUUCCGAGAAGUGAAAACGGUUACCAUAAAUUAAAAAAUCAAAAUAAAAAUGUUUAUCAAAUGGACCUUAGGCAAAGAGAUAUUUGUGUGAACUUAGUAGAAAUUUUCAAUCAUAUGAUGCUGAGGUGCACUCUGUAGUUCUUGUCUAUGCGUCAAUUUUAUUUUAUUUUUACUAUUUUGUUCAGCACGAUGUUAAUUUGUUGCAUUUUAUUUUGGCGUAUAUGCAGUGCAAACUUUGAAAGGCAUAGCAAAGACACUGGGGAAGACGGGCUGGGAUUUCAGUGGAGACGCAGAUCCAUGCAGCGGCCAAUCUCCAUGGACUAAUACAAGCUCACCGAAAGAAAUUCAGAAUACCAUCAUCUGUCAUUGCUCCGAUGAAAACUCCACUGUCUGCCAUAUUACCAACAUGUAAAUCUCUCUCUCUCUCUCUCUCUCUCUCUCUCUCUCUCUCUCAAAAACAAACAUGCCCGACUCAGAACUCAGUGAGAUUUUUAAGUGUGCUUCCGGAACAUGAUAUAACACGUGUUAUUAUAUAAAUUGUGGGUUACUUGUGUGAAAAAGUAGCACAAUUUGAAAAAUAAAACCUCAUUCUACUUAUAUAACAACAUGUGAUGUACGUUCCGAACACAAUUAAAAAUUUCUGGAUAAACAGUUUACUCGUUGUGUGUUUGAACGAGUUCCAUCUCAUGCAAUAUAUAGAAAUAUUAAGAGCAAAAUAAAGAAAAAGUUGAGAAAAUAAUUAGCCAAUUAGGUGCUAAAUUAGUCGAAUAACUUGACUAAGCAAAAGCAACGUACAUAUUAGGCUCCUUUUGUUGUGAAAGGUUGAGAAGGAUAGGAUCAAAGUUGUUCAGUCUUUGUCAUACCAAUCACAUUAAAGAGAAAAAACAAGAAAGGUCUACGUCCACGUACCAUCCAGUCGAUGAGUGAAGAAAUAUUAAAAAAAAAAGUCAUUGUUUUUCACUUAUAUUAUGAUAUGUGAUGUACUGCUUGAAAAAAUCUCUACUUAAUGAGUGCUAGUAGCACAAUUUGAAAAAUAAAACCUCAUUCUACUUAUAUAACAACAUGUGAUGUACGUUCCGAACACAAUUAAAAAUUUCUGGAUAAACAGUUUACUCGGUGUGUGUUUGAACAAGUUCCAUCUCAUGCAAUAUAUAGAAAUAUUAAGAGAAAAAUAAAGAAAAAGUUGAGAAAAUAAUUAGCCAAUUAGGUGCUAAAUUAGUCGAAUAACUUGACUAAGCAAAAGCAACGUACAUAUUAGGCUCCUUUUGUUGUGAAAGGUUGAGAAGGAUAGGAUCAAAGUUGUUCAGUCUUUGUUAUACCAAUCACAUUAAAGAGAAAAAACAAGAAAGGUCUACGUCCACGUACCAUCCAGUCGAUGAGUGAAGAAAUAUUAAAAAAAAAAGUCAUUUUUUUCACUUAUAUUAUGAUAUGUGAUGUACUGCUUGAAAAAAUCUCUACUUAAUGAGCGCUAGUAGCACAAUUUGAAAAAUAAAACCUCAUUCUACUUAUAUAACAACAUAUGAUGUACGUUCCGAACACAAUUAAAAAUUUCUGGAUAAACAGUUUACUCGUGUGUUUGAACGAGUUCCAUCUCAUGCAAUAUAUAGAAAUAUUAAGAGAAAAAUAAAGAAAAAGUUGAGAAAAUAAUUAGCCAAUUAGGUGCUAAAUUAGUCGAAUAACUUGACUAAGCAAAAGCAACGUACAUAUUAGGCUCGUUUUGUUGUGAAAGGUUGAGAAGGAUAGGAUCAAAGUUUUUCAGUCUUUGUUAUACCAAUCACAUUAAAGAGAAAAAACAAGAAAGGUCUACGUCCACGUACCAUCCAGUCGAUGAGUGAAGAAAUAUUAAAAAAAAAGUCAUUUUUUUCACUUAUAUUAUGAUAUAUGAUGUACUGCUUGAAAAAAUCUCUACUUAAUGAGCGCUUUCUCCUACAUAGAAUUUUUUUUUGUCAAAAAAUAGAUUUUGUUAGGUUAAAUGUUAAAUUAGUCAGCAACGGGGUUUGAAUCCACGUCAUCAUGUAAGAGCUCAACACUUUUCUACCACUGUGGUAAAGGGUCACUUGCCUCCUAUAGAUAAAAUUAACUAUGCAUGUAGACUAAGCGAGACGAAUAACUUACAUUGAACAAGUUAAAUAUCAUAAAAUUAAUACGUGCAAAUUUUUCUUAGCAUGAUAUAUAAUAUUAUAUCAAAAAUAUUAAAAAUAAUAAAUUUGUUCGAUGUAAACUGAUCACAAUUGUGCGGGAGAGAUGUUUUUAUUUCAGAGAGGGGAUUAGCUGGUGAUUUCGUCACAACAGUUUACCCUUUCAAAAGUCGAGAAAAUUCAUAGAGACAACAAUAGAGAUGUUGAUUAGAUGGUUGGAAUUCGGUUUAGUGGACCCCAUGUCUAUUUGGUAUAAAGUAUCAAUCAAUUUUUCAUUACAUGUCCCCUAACCUAACCCCAAGCCCAUGAAACCUCCAAAAUGAUCACAAGUGUGCGAGGAGAGAUGUUUUUCUUUCAAAAUGGGAAUUAACUAGUGAUUUCGUCAGGAUAGUUCACCUUUUCGAAAGUGGGAAAAACUUAUAAAAACAACGAGAGAUGUUGAUUAGAUGGUUGGCAUUCGGGUUUGUGGACCCCACGUCUAUUUAGUAUAAAGUAACAAUCAAUUUUUCAUUACAUGUCUCCUAACCUAACCCCAAGCCCAUGAAACCUCCAAAAUAAAGUAGGAAUUAUAAGGUCUAGUGUGGGCCUCAUCGAGUUGCAUAUUGGCAACUUAGCACGUCGCAUUCACUCAUUCAACCUUAUGUCGGGCCAGGUAGCUAGACCGAUUGAUUUCAAUUAGAUUUGAAGGAUGUUAGUUUAAAGGGUGUGAUAUCCACACAUCACAUUUUAUUUCUCACACAUCUCUUUAAUUUUCGGCCGUCGGAUCGGAUGAAUUGAAGACUAUCAAUGGACAUAAAUUAUCAAAGAUGUGUGGGCCUCAUCAAGUUGCAUAUUGGCAACUUGGCACGUUGCAUUCACUCAUUCAACCUUAUGUCGGGCCAGGUAGCUAGACCGAUUGAUUUCAAUUAGAUUUGAAGGAUGUUAGUUUAAAGGGUGUGAUAUCCACACAUCACAUUUUAUUUCUCACACAUCUCUUUAAUUUUCGGCCGUCGGAUCGGAUGAAUUGAAGAAUAUCAAUGGACAUAAAUUAUCAAAGAUGUGUGAGAAGUAAAAUGGGGUGUGUGGAUAGCACACCCCUAGUUUAAUAGCACAAUCGAGCUCGUUUGUUUCUUUGUGAUUUUCUCACGCCCCGACCCUAGCUUCAGAGAGAUUUUUUAGUGUGCUAGGAGUACAGUCCGGUACAUCAAGUAUCAUAAUACAAGUGGUUAAAUACUUGAAAAAGAACUUCCAACCGUUUGUAUUAUGACACUUAAUGAACCAGAUUUGUUCCUUACACACAAAAUUUCUCUUAGCUUCGGGGGCGUAAAGAUUUUAAGGCUCUUAUUUUAUAUAUGUAAAGCAAGUAAAUGUUGCUACUGUUUAGAGCUAUGAAAAGUGAUCAUCACUCGUCAUUUUCUCUUCAUGCACAUUAUUGAUUUCUAGCCUUUCACGUUUCAAGGGACAUGAAUAAAACCAAGUUAUGCAAUAAUCAUUUUCUUAAAGCUAUAAGUUAUUUUUGACAUGUAAGUUGGAUUGAAAAUUUCGAUUUCAACCAAUUCUGUUUUUGUCGGUUUACGAACAAAAAUAUGAAGAAAAUUGGAACGCAUCUUAAAAUUAGGCUACUUUUGCCGUCGUUAUACAAUCACUAAUUUGUGAUCCAUCAGUGGGUAUAAAGCCAACGUUAUUAUGAUAUCUCUAGACCCUAGUGGGGUUUCCAUUUUCCCAAAUCCUUUACCCUCGGGAUUUUUAAUUUUUCUUCAACCGGCAACCAAUUGGAAGUUUUUCUUGGUCUAAUAAGACCUUGUUGCGCCUUCAAAUUCAAGAAAUGCAGAAGGACUGAUCCAUUUCUUUUAUUGAAUGACCAAUUAAACAUCAAUUACAACCUACCAUGGACCGCAAUUCAAGUUUAGUUUAUCUGCAAAAUCGAGUUCAUGGGAUGUGACCAAUUUGCUCAAUUACUAUAGCAAUGUGUUUUUGAGCUGGCCAUGAGCCAGCAUAGGCGUUCUGUGGUACGCUGAGUUGUUAGAACUUGGUAAUACUGCUGUGCUGUAUUUAGGCUUGAUUCUUACAUACUUGAUCAACGUACAAAAUUUCGCAGUCACGAAGAUUCUUGCAUACUUCUUAUACACGAACAACUCUGUAUCGGCCUAGUUAUUCGUUACAAAGUCAAUGAAAGAAUGAUUCAUAGUGUGCUUGUAACAAAUACACAUUUACCGUUUGUGUAAUUCCUCAAGUUUUAUUCUUUCUAAAGAACAUUGGACAUUUUCCUUCAGUUUUAAAGUAUGAAAACCAGUUCCUUCUUCCUAUUUAAUUCCCUGACCAAAAGUAAGUAUUUUCUGUGAUAAAUUAGUGUUUUACCUGUUUGGUCUCAUUUCUGUGGCAGCUUUUCCUUUUAGUCACAGUAUAGAUGCAUAAUGAAUAUCUGUUAAUUUGCAACUAAUCUUUGAAACAUUAUUUUCUGAAAACACAGAAUUCUAAAAGCCCAAGAUUUGAAAGGAACACUCCCACUAGAGCUGGUAGAUCUCACCUAUCUUCAAGAAAUGUAAGCACAUUUUUACCCCUCCAAGUUUACAUUAUUUAAAAGAAAAUAACUUUGUAUCGUGUAAAUCGUUUAUUCUAAUUUCAUAUAUAGCUUACCUUUAUGUCUGUUGCCAAUGAGACAAUAACUGGUUUCUUUCUUUCUCCUUCAGCGACCUGACCCGCAACUACCUGAGCGGUACCAUCCCUCCAGAAUGGAGCUCUCUUCCACUUUUGAACAUGUACUGUCUUCUCUCAAACUGCAUGCACUUCUGUGUUUGAUGUUCGUGUCAUGUUCUUAUUGCUUCAUUUGGUCACUCCAAUGUUCUUCAGCCAUUUCUUUCUUAAACUAUAAAUCUACUACAUUUGGUUUUGUUCAUGAUGAUGGGCUUCCGUGGUCAUGAGGCGUUUGAAUCAUAAAUAUUGAAUCGAACACAUGGGGUUCAUUGCCUUCGUAUUGACGAACAUGUUAAUGUUAUUGAGCCUCUUGCUUGAUAAAAGUGAUAUUAAGACUAGUUUUUGAUACAGAUCCCUUCUUGGAAAUCGUUUGACCGGUUCUAUCCCCAAAGAGCUCGGAAACAUCACCACCCUGAAGAGUUUGUGAGUGUUGAUUGCGCAUUUGUUUCUUGCUUACCCCAUUUGAUUCCAUGGAGAUCCUUAAUGAUGUUUUUUUAAUCAAUGGAAUUGAAUUUGUUUGUAUAGGGACAUCAGUUUCAAUAAUUUCUCUGGACCUCUCCCUCAGGAGCUUGGAUCUUGGGCCCACAUAGAAAGAUUGUAAGAGUCCUUUUCGAAUUUUACCGUGUUAAAAAGUAUUUGGUUUAUUUGGAGUUUUCUUUCUUGUAGACAAAUUCUGGAUGUUUUCACUAGUAAAUCAUCUACUUCUUUAUCAUUGAUAUAAUGGUUAUAUCUAUUUCGUACUUAGGCUGCUUUGCUCAAACAACUUUACUGGGGAGUUGCCAGAAACAUUUGCAAAGCUUACCAAAAUAAAGGACUUGUAAGUUUCUGUGGUUCUUUCUUCUUAAAGGUUUCCCGAGCACUUAUACAUUUUUUUUACUGCUUUCUGAUACUAAUUCGUAUUUUCCCUUUUCUCCAAUCAUUAUGCAGUCGGGUUAGUGACAGUCACUUUUUCGGGCAGAUACCUGAUUUUAUUAAGAACUGGGCAAAUCUUGAAAAACUGUGAGUGUUUUUCUUUUGUGUGUCAUCUUUCUGCUAUUUGAUUCUGAAUAUUAUCUCUAAUUCAUAUGUUAUGACUCGUUGAAACAGAGUGAUUCAGGCUAGCGGUUUGACAGGGCCAAUUCCUCCUGGCAUUUCUCGUUUGACAAACUUAACUGACUUGUUAGUAUAUCCCGUCUCUAUUUUUAAAUACAAAACGAUUAGCGAUAUGUGUAGUUUAUGUUCAUGGCUCAAUUUUAACAUGCAGGAGAAUCACUGACUUGAGUGGACCUGAAUCACCCAUUCCUUCGCUCGAGAAGAUGAAAAACAUGAAGACACUGUGAGUUAAUGGUUCCAUGACACACAAUUUCUGUCUGUACCAGAAGUCUUCUGUAAACUCAUAGCUUUGGAGUCUGUUGCAGGAUGUUGAGGAGUUGCAACCUUACUGGAAAGAUACCUCUAUAUCUUGCACAAAUGAAAAACUUGAAAACUUUGUAAGUACAAAUGUCUUGGUCCCUAUUUUUUCCGUCUUCAAAUAAAAAAUUUCUUCUAGAUGUGAUUCUACUAAUUCAAGAAUUAUUGAAGUGACUUAGACAAUGUUGGGCGGACUUUAUGUUUCUGUAUUUAUUAAGAGAACAUCUCUUUCAGAUGUCAUUUCCCUCUCUGUAGAGAGCACAACUAAACUGCGUUUGCUAUUUGUUUGUGCAGAGACCUCAGCUUUAACAAGCUGACCGGAGAAAUUCCAAGCAGCUUCGAUAGUCUACCAAAUGUGGCUUAUAUGUAAGCAAUUGGAAUGACCAAUCCAGUCUUUCUUACAUGAAAUUCAAGCAGACAUUCUUCAAUGGUUUUGUUACACCCCAGCCUGACAAGCUGGAAGUAUUUCAAAUCACGAUUACUAUAAUUAUGAGUCACGGAUUAUACUGCAAUGAAAAUGAAAACGGCUCCUCUGCUCAGAAAUGAAAUGUUUAGUUUAUUCAUUAGAGUCAUUACUGCUUAUGCAAUUAAUUAACAUAAGGUGAUCACCUUUAGAUGUGUCUUUCAGAUGGAAGUACCGAUCUAAUCCACUUAGAGUUGGCAAACUCAAGUUUUCAAACCUUUACAGAGAAAUUCCUAAGAACAAACACUAUAUUCUUUACUGAGUUUUUUUCUGUAUUCAUUAUUUUUAGAUUCUUAACUGGAAACUUGCUGACUGGACCUGUACCUGCUUGGCCAAGAGUCAACGUGUAAGCUUCUCUUCCAAAUGCUACUCUUUAGCUACUAAGGAAAUUUAUGCUGUUUUUUUUACUAAGAUAGAUAUAAAACUAUUAAGCUCAUAACUUAUUUCACUAAUUCUAAUCAGCUAGAGACCUACAAUUCAACAGAAUUUGCAUCAUAGCUCUUUUUGUGCAGUGAUCUUUCGUAUAACAACCUCGCCAUAGAGGAUGCAAGUUGUCAACCACGAGGUGGCACGUAAGAAUGUCUUCAUUAGCUUGAAGUUAAUCUGUUUGUGUUAUGUGGAGAUAAGCUUAACUUUUCAUUUGUGUUAAUUUCUGCAGUAACUUGUUUGCAAGCUCGUCAAAAGGAAAUAGUUCGUAAGUUCAAAUUAAUCAUCUCAAAGCAUGCACCUAUAAAUUUACUUCGGUAUCCAAUGGUGUAUUCUUUACUAUUUUUUUUUCCAAUUUCGUCUCAUUUAUGAUUGCUGACAUUUUUUGUACCCUGAAUUACUAUAUCCGGAGAAUUAUUUCAUGUUUCAAAACUUCAGAGUGUCCAAAAUGUAAGCCGAGUUUCUACACAAAUAAUUACCUUUAUUUUUUCGAUUCAUUCUUUUUUAGUUUUCCUCCUCAAUGCCUACUAAUCUCCAAUUUAUUUUUUCAUAGAUUUGUACUACUCUCUCCAUAUAAAUUGUGGUGGGAAACAAUUUACGGUCCCUGGAGGAAAAGAUACAGUAUAUGGUGAUGACACAUUUUCUGCUGGACCUUCAUCAUUUUACAAGAGCACAACAAAUUGGGCAUUAAGCAGCACCGGUUACUUCCCUGAUGAUGACCGCCCUUAUGACACCUUUACAUGGACUAAUGAAACUAGACUCUCUAUGGCCAAUCCUCAACUGUACAUGAACGCACGCCUUUCUCCCAUAUCUCUAACUUAUUUUGGGUUUUGUCUGGGAAAUGGAAACUACACCGUAAACCUCCAUUUUGCAGAGAUAAUGUUUAGAAAUGGCAAAACAUAUAAAAGCUUGGGAAGGCGCAUAUUUGAUAUUUACAUUCAGGUAAGUAUCGCAUCCACUUCCAUAUAUACCAGUGAAUUAUUCUAAUUUUCAACAAGC
rnacentral:lncRNA from 1 species